GCGGCUCUGUUCUUCCUGCACCUAUUUAUCGUCCUCUUCUACAUCAGUGCUGCACGGGCACUGUGGAGGAUGAACCGCAGGCCAGCAAUUGGCAUGGUGGCAGCGUAGCGCAGCAUCACCUACUCUACUCAGGUAAUUAACAGGCAUUAUGCCACACAUCAACAUCCCCCUUCCUCAAAGUAUCGUAUCGGAAUGUUUUGUGGCUUUGUAUCAACAAAUUGGUAGAAGAUUGUGCAAGUAACUAAUGUUCAGGUCCAAACUAAUUUUCAGUUGGUUCUGCUUGUUUGCUAAUAUGAACUGAAAGUGUAGUUGUUCUCAUCACCAACCAUCAAUGUUAUUCUUGAACUAAAUUAUCAGUUGUUGCACCCUGUUGCAAUUUUUCAUCUGUCUUUUGUAUGGAUAAAGCGGUGUUUCCACCGAUGGUAGAGGCCGAUAGAAUAGCCAUGUUUUCUUAUUAUUAUUAGUCCUCUAAUCCUUGCUUUAAUUAGUUUUUUGCUUUGUCUCAACUUGAAAUGUCAUCUAGCUAGACAUGAAAAAGGAUUCACACAGCCACAAAGAACAAAGAGUGCAAGAAUAGAAUCACCUCAAAGGACGGAUAAAAGUAGAUGAUAUAUUUUCAUGUUUGUAAACCUAAUUUGUCAUCUUGGAACAGCCGUUUGAAUGAUAAUGACGUGUGAUUUAUUUCUACCGUUUAGUUGUCGCCACAAACUGCUCACCAUUUGGUCUUGAUCAAGGUUUUGGUUACCGAUGAGGCAUUUUUACCGAGGGGGACUGAUAAACGCGGUUACCACGGUUUCCCAGAAAUACGGAGAAUAUUUCGAAAGAAUUUUAUAGUUGAAUUUUGAAUUCAAAUAAGUGAAUGAACGAACAUUUGAAUCAGAGACCUUUCAAAACAGGAACUAGGUUGCUACCAACACGCUAGAACCAACUCUCAUGGCAUUAAUUAGAUCCUACGUGCUUUACUAUAAAUAGAGUGUUUAAAUUCAAAAAUUUCAAAAAAACUGUUUUUUUUUUGCUUGGUUCGGGGAUUUACCGAGGGGCACGGAAAUACGUGGUAACCAUGGGAAAUCUUGAAAUUUCGACUGGUAACCAAAACCUUGGUCUUGAUAAAAUUACAUCAUUUAUUGACCAGGUGCGCAGAGGCAGGGUUUCGAUCCGGCUGCAGCAAGAAGAUGAUGGAGGGCACUGGUUAUACUACUAGUGCAGGACUGCUUCUGUUUCCAGCUAGUAGCUAGUACCUACCUAUAUGUUGCUGUUGUGAAAAAUAAGAGAUGGACAUGUCGUCGUGUGAUGAGUAGUUAUCUAUCUGCUAGUAGUAUAACUAGUACUAGCUAGUAAGCUUGAUUCGAUGCUCGGUGAGAGCUGCCACUAUGGUAGUUAAUUUGGUUAUUUACCAUACCUUUGGCUGUGGGCACAUAUGAUUUGACGUACGCUCUGAUGAAGGGUUUCUAUUCUAUGUGUACCAUAUAUCAUUUUUGCUGCCCUCUGCUUUAUACAAUUAACUUGCUUGUGUCCGUUGGGUUAAUGGGUGCGGAAUCUGUCUAGGAUAUAUAGCAGCUAGCUAUCUAGGACGGGGGAAAGCAGCCAAGCAAUUUCCUCCGAUCCUGCAGGUGAAGUGGUGUCGCUGCAGGUUUCACGUUCCCUUUGCUUUCGCGCUUCCGGAAAUAUAAUGGGCCUGGAGCGUGAGUGAGUGGUUGUACGUACCUAUGUUGCUCUUGUGAAGAAAUAAGACUAUAAGAGAUGGACAUGUCGUGUGAUGUGUAGUUAUCUAUCUAGUGGUAUAACUAUAGUACUCCUUGUAAGCUUGAUUCGAUGCUAGGUCAGAGCUGUCACUAUGGUAGUUUGGUUAAUCUGAAGUCUGAACCGGACCUCUAGCAUAUGUGCUUUACCUUACCUGUGGCUGUGAGCAUAUAUAAUUUAACUUAGGCUCUGAUGAAGGGUUUCCAUUCUAUGUAACCUAUCUCAUUUCACUGCCCUCUUGCUUUAUAAUUAGUUUGCUGGAUGGAUUUGUAAUUUUGUAUCCGUUGGGAAGCAGCUAGCUAGGACGGGGGGAAGCGUCCAAGCAAGUUCCUCCUGCAGGUUUCACGUUCCCUUGUUGCUUUCGCGCUUCCGGAAAUGGGCCUGAAGUGGCCAGAGAGAGAGGACGAUGGAUAGGUUAGUGAUGCGUGUGGUAUGGCGCUAACUGGCUAUGCUAGCCAUGGAUGGCACAUGGCAGUGGGUUCACCAUGGUCAUCGAUGCUAGUGGAGUACGUAGUGCUAGCGAUGCUCAACAGCCAAAUCAGAAUUGGCUAUGCUAUGCACGCUACUUAACUUCCUAUAAUCAGUUCCUCUCACCUAACUGAGGCACACGCGCUCUCACUCCGGAGUAAAGAUGGACCGUUGGAAGGAGAAACGGGCACCAACCACCGCUCCACUUCACUCAGCUCACCUGUGCGUGAGCAGAAAAAAAUUCCUUUCUCGGCCUGUUAUUGAUGGUUGCAUGUGAAUGUCUACUCUUUCAGCAUUUUUUUCUUUUUUUUCAAAAAAGGUUUUACCCCAGCCUCUGCAUCAGAAAGAUGCAACAGUUCAUAUUAUUAAUAAAAAUAUCCAGCAACAAGUCUCCAAGUCUCGAAGUAAAAACAAAAACAAACGCUCAUAAGAGCUAAACAGAAAGCCACAACCGGCUGGCAAAUAAAAUAGGAGCACUACAUGCCUAUCCUAUUACAUGACCGCCAUCCAAACCGGUUGAAAAUAUCCCGAGCUACCAUCUCCCAUCGGGUAGACGCAGUAACCAAACGCUCCCUGGCCUCCGUCGGAGUGAGUAGCGACCACAUACGGAUCAACGCUGUGGCCCUGAAGAUAACCUGCAAAAAGUGAAUGUUUGUUGAUCUGUUAAAAACCAAAUCAUUUCUGCAGUUCCAGACUGCCCAAAAAAAAGCACAAACGCCAACACGAAUGUGCCUCGCUGUAUCGGAGUCAACCCCAUCAAGUCACGUUCCAAAUAACAUGUUGAUGAAAGUAGGCGGAUUAAUAUUAAAGGCAAUAUGAAUCGACCGCCAUAUGAUCUUAGCCAGCGGACAAUCAAGAAAAGGUGUUUGAUAGUUUCGUUAUGGUCACAAAAAGUACAUCUAGCAGAACCCACCCAAUUUUGUUUGGCCAGAUUAUCCUUAGUCAGAAUAACUUGUUUAUGCACGAACCACAUAAACACUUUGAUUCGCAAGGGUAUCUUUACUUUCCAAACGUGCUUCAAGGAAGGAAUGACGCUAGAGUUUAUGACAUCCAGAUACAUGAAUUUGACCGAGAACACACCGUUCUUAGUUUCCAAUAUAACUGAUCUGGCUGCUGAGACAGCUGGACAUCCAUCAAACGUCUUACAAGAUGAAGCCAGGUCUCCCAACGAUUUCCAACUAGCGUCCUUCGAAAACUAAUAUUGAGAGGAGUGGAUUGUAGAACUGUUGCAACGUAAACUUCUCUUCGUUGAACAACGUUGUACAGAGUAGGAUAUUGAAGUGCAAGGGGAGUCUCCCCAAGCCACGUAUCCUCCCAGAACCUCGUAUUAGCUCCAUUUCCGACUAAGAACCUUGUCCUGUUGAAAAAGAGUGGCUUGACUCUCAUCAAGCCUUUCCAAAAAGGUGAGUCAAUCGGCCUCACUGUCACCUGGGCCAAGGUUUUAGAUUGAAGAUACUUAUUUCGAUAAAUUUGAGCCCAAGCAGCCUCCGUCUCGGACGAAAGUUUAAACAACCACUUGCUAAGGAGACAUCUGUUUUUGACUUCCAGAUUCUCAAUGCCUAGACCCCCUUGGUCCUUCGGCCUAUAGAUUAUAUUCCAUUUAGCAAGCCUAUACUUUCGUUUAAGCUCAUCACUUUGCCAAAAGAAACGAGAUUGAUAGAAGUCAAGCCUCUUCUUGACACCCACCGGGACCUCCAAAAAGGAUAAGAGAAACAUGGGCAUACUGGUGAGGACCGAAUUAAUCAAAAUUAAUCGCCCUCCAUAUGACAUUAGCUUCCCUUUCCAACAGCUCAGUUUCUUCUCAAAAAGAUCCUCGAUGCAUUUUCACUCUUUAUUAGUCAGCUUACGAUGAUGAAUGGGUAUACCUAAAUACGUGAAUGGUAACGUACCCAAUUCACAUCCGAACAAUUGUUUAUACGCUUCCUGGUCAUCAUUAGCUCUUCCAAAACAGAACAGCUCGCUCUUGUGGAAGUUAAUUUUGAGCCCAGACAAUUGUUCAAAUAAGCAUAACACAAGCUUCAUGUUUCUCGCUUUCGCCUAGUCAUGCUUCAUAAAGAUGAUAGUAUCAUCAGCAUACUGAAGGAUGGAGAUACCGCCAUCAACUAGAUGCGGAACAAGGCCACCUACCUGCCCCGCAUCCUUAGCCCAUCCUAUUAAAAUAGUGAGCAUAUCAAUCACUAUGUUAAAUAAGAUCGGUGUCAUGGGAUCUCCUUACCUUAACCCUUUGUGCGUCUGGAAAUAGUGACCUAUAUCGUCAUUCACUUUAAUCCCUAUACUCCCUUUUUGCGUAAAGGAUUCAAUCUGGUUUCUCCAGGCCGUGUCAAAUCCUUUCAUACGCAAAGCCUGUUGAAGGAAAGGCCAUUUAACUUUAUCGUAUGCUUUUUUAAAAUCCACUUUAAAAACAACGCCAUCUAGUUUUUUUGAGUGAAUUUUAUGGAGCAUUUCAUGCAAGACGACCACCCCUUCAAGGAUAUUUCUAUCUGGCAUGAAAGCGGUCUGGAACGGUUGCACAACUAAAUGCGCAAUCUGCGUAAGUCUGUUCGUCCCAACCUUGGUGAAGAUUUUGAAACUAACAUUAAGCAGACAUAUAGGCAUGAACUGCUCAAUGCGAACGGCCUCUGUCUUCUAAGGAAGAAGAGUUAUCGUUCCAAAAUUCAGCUUAAACAAGUGAAGCUGUCCAUUAAAAAACUCAUGAAACAUCGGCAAUAGGUCUCCCUUAAUGAAGUGCCAAACACUUUUUAUAAAAAUCCGUCGGGAACCCAUCCGGUCCUGGAGCCUUAUUAUUUUCCAUUUGUGUGAUGGCCUCAAACAUCUCUUUCUCCGUAAAGGGGACAGUCAAAAUCUCAUUCUCUUCAGUCUCAAGUUGAGGAACAUCCUCAACCCUUGACUCAUCUAAAGACAAAAAAUUCUCUUUCGGAGGUCCAAACAACUGCUUAUAAUAGUUGGUAAUGUAAACUUUUAGGUUUUCUUGACCAACUAUUGUUCCUUCGUCUUGUUCUAAUUGGAAAAUUCUCUUCUUACGAUGCUUCCCAUUAGCAAUCAUAUGAAAGAAUUGAGUGUUAUCCUCGCCUUGGACAAUUUUUGCGAACCUUAGCUUGCAACGCCCACUUCAAUUCCUCCUCGCGGAGAAGCUCUUUCAGCCGCAACUCAGCCUCCAUCUUAGUUUCCAGCUCACUGGUACCUAAGACAGAAGAUUCAGCUUUUACUUCAAGGGUCUGAAUAAGUAGAAGUGGUCGCUCCUUCUCCGCCUUAUAAAUGCCAUGCGUAUGCUUAGCCCAUCCACGAAGGAACCUUCGAAGAUGACGAAUCCUACAUUGCCAUCGCUCAAUGGGUGACCUUCCUCCUGAGUCUUUAGCCCACUCUCUAGCUAACAACUCGAGGAAACCUUCUCUUUCAAACCAUGCAAGUUCAAACGAGAAAAUAUUCUUGUUACCCACAUGAGUUUGAGCCCCCGAGUCAAAAAGUAGCGGCAUGUGAUCCGAGAUACCUCGUGUCAACGCCUGCACUGUUACCAGGGGAAACUUCUGCUCCCAUUCGACACUAGCUAAAACACGGUCAAGAUUCUCGAAAGUCGGUACCGGUAACGAGUUAGCCCAAGUGAAUUUCCUACCCGAGAGCUCUAUCUCUCUGAGAUCCAAGCUUUCAAUGAUAGUAUUGAACAUAAACGACCAUCUGCCGUCAAAAUUCCCAUUAUUCUUUUCCUCCCUUCUUCGAAUAAUGUUGAAAUCACCCCCACUAAAACAGGGAGCUGCUCAUUACCGCAUACGCGGACGAUAUCUGCCAAGAAAUCUGGCUUGAGUUCUGGUUGCGCGGCUCUGUAAACCGCGACCAAAGCCCAAUCAAAGCCAUCGGCUUUAGUUCUUACCCGAAAUUUUACCGCAAACUCUCCCAAGACUACAUUCUGAACUUCCAAAGUUUCACACUUAACCCCAAGUAAAACCCCACCGGAUCUUCCUCGAGGUGGGAGGCAAUGCCAGUCGAAAUCUACCCCCCAGAUAAAGUGCUAAGAAAUUGUGUAGUGAAGUUGCCUCUUCCAAUCUCGGACAAAGCAAUAAAAUCCAAAUGAUGUUCAAGAGAAGCAUCCGCUAGAAACCUUCUUUUAGCCAAGUCUUUAAGACCUCUGCUAUUCCAGAAAAUGCCUCUCAUAUUUCAUCAUGAAAUAUUUUGGAGGUACGAAUCCUAGCACUUCUACGCACAGCCGACACAGGAUAAACCUUGUGUUUCCAAGUUCGUUUCGGCUUAAUGCGAUCAUCAGAUCGGUCACCACACUCGGGCUCUGCCGCAAUCACCAAAGACUCAUCUACAUGGUUAGAGGUCUCAGGAUAGGCAUACCCCUCCUCCUCCUCUAUCUCUUGUAACGCAGGGUCAAGAUCGGCACACAAACCAUCAAGAACCCUAACCCCAAGCGCAUCAAUCUCCGACUCGUUCAUAGGCUUAACGGCAGCUAUGUGACGAAUCAUUUCUAACGCUUGUUCCGCUUCCAAAUCAAGAAUGUCAUUAACAGACCUAGCUCUAUAUCAUUAUUACCAAGUGAUACUCCUAGUUGGUUUGCAUUGUGAACAAUCUCAUCAUUGGUAAAAUGCAUAAUUGAAUUCGAUUUAUUAACAGACAUACCAGUGGAGAUCUCGGCGUCACGCAGCUUGGCCGCCCUCAUAGCAGACCUCAGCUACAUGUCAUCAACGUCCGGCUGCUCCUGCAACCUCCCGCUGAUCCGCCUCCCCUCAGAGACAGGAUCCGGGAUCCGACCAAAGGCGAUGACCUCCUCGCGUGAAGCUCUGCUAGGGGAAAGGCCUCCUGCCCGUCCCCCAACAGAGGUGACCUAGGCCGGGACCACCGGUGCAGCACCACAAGAUGAUGACAACUCCCGCGGCCUGUCCACGGGAGUCCCACCGAAAGCCGAGACCAGCCUAGGGCGAUCUGGGGAUUGUGGCAACAAAACGGUCAUGCCCCCGACCCGCCCUCCGAGGCCAAGCGCGACCUGGCCAGUGGGGAAACGGUGGCCUCCUGCACGCCCACCCCUCCGCAAGCAGCUAGCCUCAAGGGAGGGAACGCCGAGUUUGCCCUCACGGCGACGGCAACUCGGAGCCCCGGGCCUCCUGCCCGUUACCUCCAACCGAGACCACCGUCGCAGCCACCUCCAUCAUCGACGAAACCACCUACACGCAUGCACCUCCAAGGUCCGCCCGAGCCUCCAAGAUGCCCAAAGCCACAGGGCCAGCCUUGGGCCCCUCCGAAGCAGGUGAAAACUCGGUGAACGAGGGCCGGGCCACCUGCUCGCGACCGACCGCUGAACCAUCCAGACCGUCCGUCACCUUCAACCUAAGCAACGACGAUGAAGGGGGAGUAAAGGAGAACUCCUGCCCACCGGAUCCUCCCAGUCCGUCCAUCCCUACCAACAAUUCAGACCCCACAAACACCAGCGGGGAGUGCUCCGACGGAUCGUCCAAAUCCACUCGGUCGCUCCAAAGACGAGGAGGCGCUGAGAAAGCUCCUAAAGAUCCAAGCUGCAGCAUAUUAGUCAGAACAGACCCAGAUGCCUUCUCCUUAGCAGUCUCUCCUGCCUGAGUAGAAUCCAUAGGCCCUGUAGCCUUGUCCCCAUCAUUGUGUGUACUACCAUCCUAGUUCCCAGAAGCACCUCCUCCCUCAGAAGUGUCCAUAUGAUGCACCUCCUCAAACUCCUUGAACAAAUCAGGGUCCUCAUACUCAACAUCCAGCAUACACGCGACUCCCUCGCGAGUCCAUCUUACCACAUCUGGCAAGAACUCAAUGUUAGCCACACUAACCAGCAAAUGUGCCACACCAUGAGCACGCGUGAAAGGCAUAUCUACCUGCUCCGUCUUGCCGAGCAUAGAUCCCAGGCUCCAAGUGACCAGGAAGCUAUCCAAGGGCUCAGAAGGUGCCCCCGAAAAACGAACCCAAAUCUGAGUCAGCGGUUGACCCUGAGGCUCCUUCUUUUUCCACUCAUCAAACUGCAACACAAAACUUGUACCAGUAACCCGACUCAUGCCAAACUUCAGAAUUCUCAUCUGAUCCUCCUUGGACGGAAACUCCACUUUGUAAGUAUGAUCAGAUAACUUCAACAAAGACCACUGGAACUUACCCGGUGCCAACUCCCGCAACUGCUGAAUAAUCUGGGCUUCCGUGAGAGGGCCAUGAACCACCUUAACCACGCCUGGGAAGGAAGUUUGAACCAUGGGAGCCACCGGAGCCACACUUGGCGACUCGAAAAACAUCAACUCAGCGUAACAGAUCCCAUAAAUGCUAACCGUAGGCUUGGGCCCCAGAAGAAGUGGACAUUCCGCCGCCGUAUGUUUUGGUUUCCGACAUAAAUCACAUAACUCAGCAGAGCAAUCAACCAUAAAGUGACCCAGUUCUCCGCAUCGAAAACAUGUCAACUUCUUCCUCUUAGUCGCCCACUUGGACGAUUUAUCUCCCUCGGACUUCUCCAUACCUUUGUCUGACAUAGCAUCACCCGAUUGGGAGUGCUCUGGCACCGUUACAUCAGCAAGGGCUCGAAUAGUCUCCACGGCAACCUGUGGCAGAACCGCACCAUCUGUGAUCCCCUCCUCAAUGCUCGAUGCCGAACCCGUAGCAACAGGCACAUGGCGAGGUGGAGGGGGACACUGGUAGCCACCACGACCACCACGAAAACAGCCACGGAAGGAGCGGUUAUUGGGUCCAGCCGCCCCUUCCACAAAAUUGUCGGGCGGCCCCUGAAAACCAGCCCAAGCAUAGCCACGACCUCCUCCGGUCGACGAAGAACCUCGAUGAAGCCCUUCACCAUAGGCAUUGAAACCGUCAUCACCCCACUGACCAUGCUGGGGAUAGCGGCCGUCUCCCGCGAAACCGCCCGAGCCGCGGCCACCCGCUCCCUGAAUAGAGUCUCCAUGCCCGUCGGCCAUCUGCUUGGGCCAAGGGCGCUGCGGCGGCGGGGGGCAGCCCUGUGCUGCGGUUGCGGAGUCUGGGAAGCCGACCUGGGCUGCGGUUGCGCAUGCCUAGCCGGCGGCGGCGCCACGGCCGGCCCCGCACCCAGCGCCGGGGUAGCUCCAGCCGCCCUUGACCCCGCCAUAUGAACGGGCUUCGGCGGUGGGUGACCCUUCGGCGGCAUUGCGAUCCCGUGUACCACCGGCGCCGCGACCAGUCCGGAUUGUCUGCUCGCGCGCCCAACAGCAGCUGGGAAACCCUGCUUACCACGACAACGAACCCUAACCUCCGCGCCGCAACGACCUAAGGAAGACGAACAUGCAUGAUUCACGCGCAUCGAUACAAAGCCAUGCACGUCGGCCCUCGCUGGCAAAAUGCCUGGGCCUGGUUUUGCCUGGGCCACCAGCCCUGCUAAUCCUAGCUCUAACGCAGCCCGCUCACCCUGACCAGACUGCCUGGCGCAUGCCCAAAAGUGCACGGCAACGCUUCGGCCCGCUUAGCUUCAGGCCCAACCUGGCCCAGAAGCAGGUUCAAACGCGUUACCCUGGCCGCCCGGAUCUCAUCCGCUGCGACGGCCAUCGGGGCCGGCGUCCGAGCCGCCAACCUUGCCAUUCUCUUCUUCUUUCUGGUCACUCUAGUCCACGAAUCCGGCAAUAAGAAAUUUGACAACGUAAUUGUCUGAAGACAUACCUUGGGUAAAGGGCCUUUCCAUGGCCGGAUCGCGGAUGCCGCCAUCCUCCGGUGAACUAUCCGGCGAACCACCUCCACCUUGUCCUUAGCAUGAACUCCUUACCUAGCCGGAUCGUCGAACGGAACGACAUCAUCAACAAUCGUAGCGAUUUCCCCCACCGAAUAUCCGGGAUUGAAGGCUUUGCAGAUCACAUCCGAUGGCGUCGGCGAGUACAACUCCGGCGAGUCUCCGGCGGUGGCCCCAUUGUUGUCAUCUUCAUCGUCUGAUCCCGCUAGCGCCCAAAACCUGCCGCCAACCUGACCUAGGCCGGGGACUACGAUGGCCGCCGGCCGACGCACCGCGGUCACGGUGCGAGUCGCUCCCAUCGCUGCUCGCUGCCCAUCUACUCUUUCAGCAUGUUUUCCUUUUUCUUCUUUUACUUUCUUGAUUUGCACUUACAUUCUGUGAUGUCAUUUCAUUGUUUGCCGUUUCUUUCAGCUUGGUGAAGGCUCGCCAGACAUAACAUUUAUAAUUCAAACGACCACCUCUCUUAGGGUUCGCAAGACACGCGGCUAUCCCUCUGCUGGAAAGAUCAUGACUGGCCAGGGAAAUUACAUUAUAAUGGCUGGGAGGAGCACGUGGGUGAAGUCGGUUAUCACAUCGCAGGCCAUCCACCACCUCACUUCGCUUGUGGUGCCCAAAGGAAUGAUGGCGUCCAUCGUCAAGCUGCAGCGGGCUUUUCUUUGGGGAGGCACGGAUAAGGUUUUUAGGGGCAAAUGUAAGAUAAGAUGGGAGAAAGUUUGUAUGCCCAAGGACAUGGGCAGCCUAGGCAUCCUGGACAUGGGAAAAUUCGCGCGUGCCUUAUGGCUCAUAUGGCCUUGGUUGGUUUGAAAGGACGCGGAAAGAGCUUGGGUUGAUUUGGGGCAGCCACGCGAUGAAGAGGACAUGACGCUGUUUUAUGAGUGCACUUCCAUUACUGUUGGCAACGGGCAAAGGGCCUCUUCCUGGCACUCCCCUUGGCUUGGGGGUCGCAAGCCAAAAGACAUCGCUCCCUCCAUUUUUGCAAUUUCCAAACACAAGAAUGACAGCAUCCAUAGGGUUUUGGAUCUCAACAAGUGGAUUGCCAACAUCAACACAAAUUCUGGGCUCACAAUUCAGCACAUCCUUGAAUACUAUGAGCUUUGGGUUGGAUUACGAGAGAUCCUCCUUGAUGAGGGGGUGGAUGAUGAGAUUGUUUGGAAGCUUUCGCCUUUCGGUGAGUACACGACAUCGUCGGCUUACAAAGCUCAACUCUAUGACUCCACUGCAUCGAAAAUGAAGUCUGCAGUGUGGAACAAUUGGGCGCCGCCAAAGCACAAAUUCUUUGCUUGGCUUAUCAUUCAAAACCGUGUUUGGACGACAGACAGGCUUCAACGGAGAGGAUGGCCAAAUUGCGGCCUAUGCCAAUUAUGCAAGAGGGAGCCAGAGACGGCGGCACACAUCAUCUUCCGGUGUCGAUACACGGUACACAUUUGGACGAAGAUCAAGACUUGGAUGGGUGUGACCGGUGUGGACAUCACCGACUAGAGUAGCUUCGAUAGCGUCAAUGAUUGGUGGCACCACAUGGUAGGCGUCAACGGCAAUGUGCAAAAGGGCCUCGCAUCUCUCGUCAUGUUGGCUUCAUGGGAGAUUUGGAACAAGUGGAAUGCGAGAGUAUUUAGGAAGGUGUCCUCCAUACCAAAUGUAAUCACGUCUAGAAUCAAGGCGGAGGUCAGACUUUGGGGGUUGGCAGGGGCCAAACGUCCGAGUUCUCUUAUGCCUCGAGAGUAGGCUUAUCUGUUUCAGGCCGUCUACGGGCGGUCAGUCGUGUAAUUCAAAACUCUUCUUAAUUAAUGAGAUGAGGCAAAUAUUUUGCCCCCGUUUCAAAAAAACUGCAAUACAAGUUAGUAUUUAUCGUAAAAUAUCCAAUUAGAAUAAAAAGAAUUAGCAAGAUAAGCCAAGCAUUUGCAGAUCAAAGUUUUCCUUUUUACAUUUACUAUUAGCUUGAAUUUUAUUUUACAGAAAACCGGAUGAAUUUAUUCACAAAACACCACAUGUUACAUUGUUGAAAAGGUUAUUUAUCUUUACGGGAGACUAGGUCUUCAUUGUUUAUGCCUAAUUUUCCCCUUUCUUACAGAAACAAAUUGCUAGUCACGUGACGACUCUAUGCCUCUUCUUGAGAGCAAAGCUUUUGUCGGCUAUGUUGUUCUGUCUUGUCUAUGAUCCGUUUUGGCUCUCACAACAUGUGAGAAAGAUCGUGGACAAUGGUUGAUGUUUCUGUUUUAUGUUCACAAAUUUACAAUGUCAUGGGAAAGGGGCCGACCAUGAUGAAAAUAAAAGUAUCAUCNNNNNNNNNNNNNNNNNNNNNNNNNNNNNNNNNNNNNNNNNNNNNNNNNNNNNNNNNNNNNNNNNNNNNNNNNNNNNNNNNNNNNNNNNNNNNNNNNNNNNNNNNNNNNNNNNNNNNNNNNNNNNNNNNNNNNNNNNNNNNNNNNNNNNNNNNNNNNNNNNNNNNNNNNNNNNNNNNNNNNNNNNNNNNNNNNNNNNNNNNNNNNNNNNNNNNNNNNNNNNNNNNNNAUUCCAUGUAUUUCAUCCGUGCUAAAGAAACAAGACUUAUGCAUUUUUUAUUAAGACAAAAUUUGACCAAAUUUUUAGAAAAAUUUAUCAAAAGCUAAAAUAUAACUUUAUUAUAAUUUAAUAUGCAACAAGAUGUAUUUUGAUAAUAUAUAUUUAUUAUUGUAGUUGUUGGUAUUUUUUCCUAGAAACAUGAACCAUUUGACUCCACAGAAAAUUUAUACGCCUUCUUUUCAAGCGGGGAGGGACUAUUCUCUUUAAAAGGUUGGUAGAUUCAUUAAGAAACAUAGAUGGAAUUGCAAGUAAACUUUUUUUUGUAAUACUCUUUGAAUACGUGGCAAAAGUUGAUUGAUGGAGUUUAAUAAUAAAUUUAGGUUUCUUUCAGUCGAUACUCAUUCGUUGGAGUAUAUAUAGGUUUCCAUCAAUAUAUAUUUUUAAAUCGCCAAGAAUUAAAUAUAAAUCAUGCGUUCCCUUCUUCUGCCCACCACACUAUUUUUUCCAGUUGGUUCUGCUUGUUUGCUAUGACCUGGAAGUGCAGUUGCUCUCAUCAUCAACCAUCAAUGUUAUUCUUGAACUAAACUGUCAGCACCCUAUUGCAGUCUUUUCGUCUGUAUUUUUAUGGAUAAAGCGACGUUUCCAUCCAUGCUAGGGGUCGGUGGACUAGUGUUAACUUUUCUUCUUAUUAAUCCUCUAAAUUUUGCACCAUAAUUUUCCUUGUAUCACUUGAAACGUCAUCUACAAAUGAAAAAGUAUUCACAGCCACACACACACAAAAGGGUGCAAGAAUAGAAUCACCUCAAAGGACAUUAGAUGAUAUCUAGAGCAGAAUAUUACUGUAAACCUAAUUUGUCAUCUUGGAACAGCUAGCCGUUUGAAUCAUGCUGUGUGGUUUAUUUCUACCAUUUAGUACUCACCACUCACCACCAAAAUUUGCUCACCAUUGGUCUUGACACAGUUUACUGGCCAGGUGCGCAGGCAGAAUUUGGAGCCCGCAGCAGCAAGAUGAUGGAGAUCGAGUACUACUAUACCACUAGUGCAGGAGUCCUUCUGUUUCCUAGCUAUAAUACCUAUGUUGCUCUUGUGAAGAAAUAAGAGAUAGACAUGUCGUGUGAUGUGUAGUUAUCUACCUAGUAGUAUACUCCUAGCACUAGUAGAAAAGAGGGCUUUGGUCCAGGCCGGGUUAGCCCAUUAGUCCCGGUUCAAUCCAGAACCGGGACUAAUGGGGGCAUUAAUCCCGGUUCAAUCCAGAACCGGGACUAAUGGGGGCAUUAGUCCCGGUUCGUGAGCCCAGAGGGCCGGCAGGGCCAAGUGGACCAUUUGUUCCGGUUCGUCUGGACCUUUUAGUCCCGGUUGGUGCCACGAACCGGGACUAAAGGGUGCGAUGCCCAUUAGUACCGGUUCGUGGCACCAACCGGGACUAAAGGGUUAGACCUUUAGUCCCGGUUCGUGCCACGAACCGGUACUAAUGGGGUUCGAGGCAUUAGUACCGGUUUAUGGCACGAACCGGUACUAAAGGUCCCAUUUUCAAACUCUACCCCCCCUGAUCGCCUUUUCAGUUUUCAAAAAAAUAAAAGAAAAUGAUGAAAAUGUAAAAAAAAGUAAAAGAAAAUAAGUUUCCCAUGUGAUAUGUGGUCUAUUUGUUGGGAAAAUUUGCAAAUGUGAAUUUCGACUUUAUUUGCAAAAUCUCUCUAGAAUUUAGUAACAUGGGCAUAACUUUUGCAUACUAACUCGGAUGAAAAAGUUUUUUAAAUGAAAAAUCAUCUACUCGAAAAGUUACAUCCAAAUUUAACGGGGGGAACCCCGUUAAACAUUUUCAAAAUCCCCAAAAACCAAACAGAAAAAUAGUUACGGGGCUUUUAAGAUCUAGAGUGGAAAAAAUCGAAAAAAUUUCAAACUGUGUGGUCAAACUGUGGUCAAACAAUGGUAUAACUAAUUAUUCUAGAAUAUUAGUGUUACUAAAUAAUUAUUUCAGUUGUUUUGAAUUUUGGUCAAAUCUGGUCAAACUGUGGUCAAACAUAGGUCAACAAUGGUCAAACUAAUUAUUCAAGAAAAAUUAGUGUUACGAAAUAAUUAUUGUUUUUUAAAACAAUAGUUUCAAACUCAAACAGUGAAAUGUGUCACUUCAUGCUCACGCAAAACUCCUGAGGAUUAAUAGGAUUGACAUCUUACUAUUGUCAGGAAAACAACAAGUGCAGACUUGGAAACGAGGAAGAAUAGAACCCGGAAGUUAAGCGUGCUCAGGCUGGGGGAGUGGGAGGAUGGGUGACCGUUCGGAAAGUUAGAUGAUUAGGAAUGAUGAGGGGUGAUUAGAGAUUAGAGGAUAAACUGAGCAGUGACGAGGGGUGGUGCAAAAAAAAAUUAAAAAAAAUCCAAAAAAAAUUUCAAAAAAGAAAAAUCAUAAAAUUUUCUUUAGUCCCGGUUGGUGUUACCAACCGGGACUAAAGGUGGAGCUCCACAUGACCGCGACCUUUAGUCCCGGUUCCAGUUUGAACCGGAACUAAAGGGGGGAGGCAUUAGUAACGACCCUUUAGUCCCAGUUCAAGAAUCGGGACUAAAGGCCCUUAUGAACCGGGACUGAUGUCCCCUUUUCUACUAGUGUAGUAAGCUUGAUUCGAUGCUAGAUUAGAGCUGUCACUAUGGCUGUUUCGUUAGUAUGAAGUCUGAACCGGACCUUUAGCUAGCAUGGGUUAUUUGCCUUACCUGUGGCUGUGGGCAUCCUAUAUACUUAAGAAGUUUAUCCCCACUACUUUAUUUAUCUUCACAUGCAGGCUAUCCACGUCAUCAAGUAGUCCCCACAUGUAAAAUGAUUCCCCACUAGCCAAUGCAGUCUGCCAUGUCAUCACAGUCCUUGAUUUUCUCUAUAUAGUAAAGGAACCCGAGGCAACGAGCUGCAGUUCCAAAGCAUGCAGGAGCAGCAGGUUCGCCUCCUCCGCUUCCCCUCCACCUAAAUUCCAGGGUGUCGUCUCCCCUUCACUUCUCGAACCAGUUGCUUUCCAUGUGUAUAUAUAUUCACCUCAUGUCCACGCCCCUCCAGCGCCAGUUGACUGGCUUCCGUUCAAGCUUCCUGCGAUUGUAGGCACGCCUAGGCUCUUGCUCUCCUUGAAGCGUUAGCUCUAGCGUCAAAUAAGGGUCGACACAGUCCGGGCCGGUCCGGUCCUUGACCGAGCUGCUGUUUGGACCGGCCGCCGGCGGUCCGGACCGGACCGGACCGAGCAGUGCCGCGGUCCUCUUUUUAGGGACCGAACCGGCGGGUGUAAAGACCGACAGGCUCGGCGGUCCCUACGUUGGCCAGUCACUGUCAUGUGGGGUCAGCACGUCGGAAAGGUGGUGGGAGAAGUAGCAUGGUGGCCGGGGCCGAAGAAGAUGCACCUGAUGCUUGCGGUCGAUGGGCGACGCUGCGGAGGAGAUGCGCCUCAUGCUUGUGGUGGUCGGACGACGCUCGUAGGCGACAAGGAGGUGGUUGACUAAGUCAAGAAGUUGCCAAUGGCGGCCGGUGUGGAGGAGGCGCUCUUGAAGCCUCGUGAUCUCAUGGGACGCGGAGCUCCCUCCAUGGCUCUUACUUCCCCGUGUCGACGGCGUGUUGGCGACGAGAUGGAAGCUCCCCGCGUCGAUGGCGAGCACAAGGAGGAGGUUGACGGAGGCCGCGCUCCCUCCUUCAGACUACGCAAUCAGCUGCGGCGGCGGGAUAGGGGAGACGGGGAAUGGAUGACGCCCUGCUUUGUCCUUUCCUUUGCGGCUGUGCCCUAGCUAGAGUAGACUGAUGUGUUGGGCUGGGCUAGAAUUCACAGUCCGCCGAGCCGGCUCGGUCAAAACCAGGACCGGACCCAAUGUGAAACGGGCCCAUAUUUACAGACCGGACCGUCCAUUAUAUUGAGCGGGCCAAGACCGAACGGGCCAUGAGCGGGCUGAAAAGCCCGCUCGCUGCGUCCAGCCUGAGCGUCAAAUCCACUCCAUCAUUCCUGGAAGGAGAGAUCGAUGCCCCCAACCAAUAGUCAUGUAUGCACCUUCAGCUACGCUGAUGAACCCCAUGGCUAUUGCCCUCUUCCUUAUCCCCCAGAGUAUGUUUCUUCCCCGCCACACCAAUACUGAUCUCGUGGGGAGCAGAUGACUUCUUCUAUGCAGUUUCUAAUGAUAUUAUCUUCCAUAUGCAUGUGUGCAGAUCGGUGAAAAAGGGGAAACAUUACUCAGCUGGCUGCCCCCGCAGAUGUGUUCGUUGUGUUUUUUGACAUCCUGUUGUUCUUUGUACGCGAUGAUGUGAUGGAUGCGUGUGGGUGGUUUUGAUCCCUUAUCCGAUGGAUGCAUGUAUGGUGCUCAUCCUUGACCUAAUGGAUGCCUAGGUCCUGACUCCUGAUCGAUACAGUAGCUGCAAUCUCCUGCGGCUCAGCUACCUCCGCUCUGCAUUCUGUCACAAUGGAGCGACCUAAGAGCACGGCCGGCGUGGACGGGCGCGCGAGUGCGCUGGGGAGGCCAGCGAGCACGAAGGGCGGAGUAAGCUGACGAGGUCCGCAGCAAAACUACAUGGACGUACAGGGCGUUUCUUCUGGGGAGAACCCCAGCGAUUAUUUCGGGGUUGAUCUCCACGUACAACUAGCCCCAACUUUCUUUUAGGGAUUAACUAGCCUCUAAUUAAUUAUCUAACUAGGGCAUUACUCUUUUAAUUGAUGUAAGUGGAUGAAACUUCUUAGAGGGAGGGGGUGUAAGGGAGGGGGUGGAACGUAAAUAUCAAUUAAUGCGUUCUAUUCUACAAUUUUGGUCUAUCCAAGCUUUGAUAGAUUGCGUUAGGCUGGUUGUAAUGGCAAGUAUCAUAUACUAGUAUCAUGCAUAUGAUACUAGUGUAUGAUACUACAUCCGUAGUGCACAGUAUCAUAUGUUAGUAUCAUAGGUGACUUCAUUUAUUAGCAUGCAUGACACAUAGUAGCACAACAUUUAAUAUGAUACGGUAUCAUGAUAUGAUACUCAAUCCCCUUUUUCUUCAUUUAAUUCUAUGCCACCUCAUCAAAUUUGCCUAGUUGGCAUGUAUGAUACUACCUAUGAUACUCCCAUUACGAUCAGCCUUAGAUGCUAGGCAAAAUUCCUCGACUACCUAACAAAUUUCUAAGAAAACAAGAAUUAUUACUCCCUUCCCUAGAAUAUUAUCGAGGUAGCUAUGCUACUUGCUAGAGUUGGAAUCUUCCUAAUAUGUAAUUGCAACUUUACAAGUAAUCUAGGGAAGGGAUUGAAUAUACUAUUUUUCUGUUUCUUUUAGUCUUCUUUGUACAUAUUUUUGGACAAUAUAAUAGAAAUUACCGUAGAACAAUUGUUCUACUGUUUGUGCUUAAAAUAAACUUCACAGUAAUCAACGUUGAUCCGAAUUUUCAAUACUUGGACACUCUGCCCUCCAAACGGUGGGAUGAAUGGACAAUUGAAAAAUAUGUCUAUUAACUUUUUUCACUGCACAUGUUUCUAUUUUUGCAUAUGUGCUUCUACCCUAAUGAAUGAAACACAAUACACUUUACCCUAGGGUACCACCUAAUUGACCCGCAACAAAAAAGAAUGCCACUGAAUUCAUGAAACUUACAUAUAUUGCUAAAAUUGGGAAGUUGAGAAUACUAUGGAAGAACCACAUCCGUAUGAUUAUCCACAUGUAAAUGUUGAUUUUGUACGAGAAGGAAAAAUAUAUUACCGUCGAUUUUACAGAGAUCACCGAUCAUAAUUCCAAAGCAUUAUGAAAAUUAAUUUUGAAAAGGAAUGGACGCGGUCUAACUGUCUAACAUGUUUUAACAAUGUUACUACAAAGUGAUCAUGCAAAUAUUCUGAAUUAUAUGUAAUCACUUAUCCAUGUUUUAUCUUUCCAUGUUGUGAGUCUAACUACUAUUCUUUUUUUGCGGGUGAACUACUCUUCUUCACUAUAUGAACAUUGAUCCUUUUUUUAUCCUAUACAUUGCUAUGAAUUUUAGCAGCAACGCAUGGGGAACGUAUUAUAUUACACACAAUCAAACCUAAUUAAAAUAUUGCAACCGAUUCCCGCAGCAACGCGCGGAGUAUCAUCUAGUAUUAUAUGAUUUGACGUACGCUCCGAUGAAGGGUUUCCAUUCUAUGUAAUCGUAUAUCAUUUCACUGCUGAUUUGUAUCCGUUGCGUUAAUUGCUUUGCUGGGCGUGGAACUCGUCGGGUAGCAGCUGCUAGCUUAGCUAGGACAGGGGGAAGCAUCCAAGCAACUUCCUCCCGCGGAUGGUACGGUCUUGUCGCGCUUCUGGAAAUGGGCCUGGAGUGGCCAGAGAGAGAGAGCGUGAUGGUGUUGUUUCUCAGAUGUAGCACCAUUUUCUUGCCGCACACAAAAAUGAGGAAAAUUUCGAGCAUACAUUCCAUGUAUGCUAUGGCUGACUGGAUGGCAGGGGGUUCAUGAUGGUCAUGGAUGCUAGUGAAGUACGUAGGACUGUUAGUGCUAGCCAUGCUCAACAACUAUGUAAAUCAGAAUUGACAAUACUAGCUAGUUACAGUACUUCCUAAUCAGCUCCUCUCACCUAACUGAGGCACAUAUGCGGUCUCACUCCGUCCCUAGUAAAGAAGAGACGCACGAGUCCAAUUCACUCCACUCCAUGUGCGUGCUGAGCAAAAUUCCUUAAUUUCUCGGCCAGUAAUUGAAGGUUGCAGGUGCGUGUCUACACUCUUGGUCGUUGCACGCUUCAGGAAACGAGCACACAUGAUUCCAUGUGCCGCUGUGCUUAGCAUGGUUCCUUUUCGUUCUGUUGCUUUCUUGCUUUGCACUUACAUCAAUUUCUUGCCUUAUCGUUCGGCUUGGUAAAGGCUAGCUAGCCACACAUGACAUUUAUCAUAAAUAUAUACAGUGGAAUUACAAAAACAAUAGCUAUCAUUACAUCCUGUGAUGUCACUUUCUUGCCUUAUCGUUCGGCUUGGUAAAGGCUAGCUAGGUAAACAUGGUAUUUAUCAUAAAUAUAUUCAAUUAGAAUCACAAAAAAGUAGCAAGGUAGACUGUGCAUUUGCCCAGCUAGAUUUCUGUUUUUACAUUUAUCUGAAUUUAUUUUGAUGUUACAUUUACUUGAAUUUCUUGUAUAAAAAACUACUUGAGUUUAUUCAUGAAGCACCACAAUUUAUAUUUGUGAAAUAACUACUCGAAGGCCAUGCUUCCCCCGCACUUUUUCUUCUUCAAAUUUUCACAACCUAUAUACACUCUUGUUUAGAUUGAUUACUAACCUGCCGAUGUGGUUUAGGCCUAUAUGUAUAUUGUGUGGAAAGUGUGCACAUAUGUGACAAAGGAAAAUUCAAGCACAAAUUCCAUCUAUAAAUCUAUCUAUAAAUAGUUAAAUACAAUAUGCUCUCGAAUUUUUCAGGCCUCACAUUCAAUUGAGACCUCCAAUAUGAAAUCGGCUCACCUGAUUUUGACCGGGUCAACAAUUUCUCUUGGAGCUCUCUCAUUAAAUGCUUUUUGAUUUACUGUGCCCCCUAAUUUUGAAGCUUUCCCAUUCGAUUGAGGUAUUCAAUUUUUUAUUUGUUUCACGAUUUUAAUCGGGUUAAUGCAUGGUUUUUCAAAUUAAUUGGCAGCAGUCGGCCUAUAAAAACAUAUCAAUUCCAUGCACUCUCCCAUCAGCUAGAAAGAACCACAAACAUGUGCUACAAUAGCAUCAAUAUAGUACAUGCAACCAACGGUGAAGAAAAUGUCCCGACAUAAGUAUGGGUUGACUAGCAGAUAACACACUUGGUUCCGCUUGGUGAAGGCUAGCUAGACAUAACUUCUAUAAUGCAAACUACCCCCUCUCUUAGGGUUUGCGUGGGUAGCCCUAUAUUGACAAUUUGACAAACGGAAUACAAGUUAUUUAUCUUAAAAUUAUACAGUUCAAAUAAAAAACUUGGGAUUUGAGUCAACUAGUAACUAGUCAAACAUAGCUACUGUGAGCGGUGCUGGUAGGCCUACUCUUUUACAACAACUAUAGUAGAGUGGCACAUCCGCAGUGUCCUUGUUGCGUGUAAAACAUGGUUCAUAAUAUUUUGGAGGUGACGCGCGAGUCACCAUAAUGCAGCUGUUUCUUACUUUUAUUUCUUUUAUGCUUGCAUCAACUCAAUACUCAUACACUCAUUUGGAGGGAUUCUACACUUCAAUUGACAUAACAAAGUUCUUACAUAGGAGAAGAAACGUCAAUUAGUGUCUUCCUCGUACAUAAUUAGUAGUGAAGUUGUUCAAAAUUUAUCCUUUUAUAUAUGUAGCAACUUUAUAUCAUGCAUCUUGAUCCUUAGUCAAUGGUGAAACUUAAGCACGAGUACAUGCAUAUUUGACGAGUCAGCUCGAUGACUAGUUGCGACAUUGUGACGGUGGUCUGGCAUGGUUGAUGUCAGAGUGGUACUUGUAGGGGACAUGAGUAGCUGGUAGGCGCUACCACGGUCCCUAGCACAACGAAAUUGGGCUAUCUCACCUUCAUCCCAUGCCUCCUUUACAAUGAUGGUCCAAGAUGGUGCACUUUGUUUCCGCUGCUACCGCAUGUACCGCCUCGAACUCACACUAGAAGGCACACUGCCUCUCUGCCACUUCCGCUUGAGCCACCUCGAACUCGUACCAGGAGGCUUGCUUCCACUGCACCGCCAAUGCCUACCGUUGACAGUCUCCUCAAAUAUAUCACACAUCACAUAGGUGAAAGGACGAGGCAUAGGGGCGUAGCAAUCAUCACAUGCCUCCUUAAUAGAGAGAUGGCGAGGAACCUGUUGUGGUAGGGCAUUUAAGCUGCCUUGGUAGACUUAGGCAUGGUGUCGGGAGAUCUUCGGCCUGGCACCACACCAUAUAGGGGAUACCAAUCUAGCACGUACCAACUACCGAGGAUCCAACCCCUCCCACUUAGCGACGAUGGAGGGACCCUCCCGAAAGGCAUCUCGCGUGUCACGACUAUCCCACCCCUCCUCAGCCAUGAGGGCAUCCUCCUCCUAUGCGGCCUCCUUAUCCAGCAUAUGCCCCCCCUCUUCCUCCAUGAGCGGCACUCAAUCAGGCUGUAGGGGAAGCAGGAUGGUGCUGAUGUACGAAGUAGACGCGAAGAGGGAGGUGUAGCUUUGGACAGCUGCGUGAUCAGCCGGGAUGGGGAAGCAUCGGCCUUGUAAUAGCCACGGCGUUGGGCGGCUGCAAAUGGCAUGCACAACAGGAAACAUCAGUAAUAGAAAAAAUAGGCAUGAAAAGCGGCCCCCGAAAGUGGUUGUGACAUAGAGGGACAAAGCCCCCAGUAAUGCUGAACAGCAGAGGUAGUUCCACAUGAGUAACCGCAUGUAGUUAGAAAAUCGCAUGUAAUACUUAUUUAUUCCAGGUGGUUAUAGAAUGGAUCCGCCUCCGAAAAUACAUGAUGCCAAUUACAAUAUGCUAACCACCUCCAAGAGUUUGCUAACCAACUUACUGACCCUGAGUUCACUAGGAAAGAGUCCAUUCGCUAGAGGGGGUAGUGUUGUUGCCCGUUGACCGUGUUGAGUGGGCACUUUGUUCUUUUGAAAUAUGAGAGAUUCUGGAUUCCCGUGGAUAGGAUGAUUUCAAGAUUCACAAUGCACUCAGUCAGAAAGGUUUAUUCUCUUCCCUAGAAAAUGUUUAUUCUUUGAAGAGUUAGGGGAAACUUAUGUGUUGUAAAAUGUAAACCAAUCACGAUCACUAUAAAACACUACUAUUGAAUAUGUACCUUUAAGGAUCAUCUAUUUCUUUUAAAUGUACAUAUAAUGCCAAAAAAGGCUUUCGCCCAGCUUUAUAUAUAAAGCAACCAUCACAAGGCGAGACCAACAAAGUAGCAAUACAGAAGACGACACACACACCAAACACAAACUCCUAAGGUAGCACAAGAAGGGGUUCCGCUGAGGGCACCAGCUCAACGAGUCCCAAAACAAAAAUAACCAGAGGAUACAUAUAGUUCAAAGUUACAUGUAAUGUACUGGUGCGGCGCUGCAUCAUGCUAUUGCCAAAAAAUAAAACCUACCAAAAUUUCUAAUUGGGCUAUCCCAAAAUGGCACAUAUAAGAUGAGACGAUAUCUACGCAAGGAUGGGUUUUGUCUUUUUCGUUCAUCACAAUCAGUCGAGUUCUGUGGGACGGAUACUUGAAAUGUGGUUGUUUUUUUGUCAAAUACUCCAAUCAGUCACUCCACAAUGCGAGAGCAGUGAUUCAUGGCUACAGUUCAUCCUUGGUGCAAGGCACUAAACACCAACAUCAACCACAAAAAACCAUAAGCACCGUGGAGCGAUGGCAUACCGGCCAGGACAACGAACUCUAGUCCAGAGAAAAGAAAUGUGCCAUUUUGGUGCGUGAGGACCGUUCACGGGUGAGUAGACACUGUUAAGAUAGUACCCCUAACACCAGAAGCGGAGGAACGGCUUGCGCAAGGAUCAAAUGAUUGUAUAUUCAUUUCUACACCUUGUUGCCUAUAAGAGAAACUCAAGGUCUUAUAACCUCACAUGCCAGAUUACUAGUGGUGCAAUAAGAGAACCCCACAUCAUUACUUCAUUGUCUAUUUUGCUUGUAAGGUCACUAGAAAGAGAAGAAAACGAGGGAAAAGCCUCUAGGUACGGUGCAUCAAUAUAUCAAAUCUACCAUUGCAGUCAUUUUUGAAAUAUGAGAAAUUUUACUUGAAGAUUCACAGUGUACAGACUCAAGCAGUUUUAAUUAUUCUCGGAGGAGUUUUUGGGAGAAACUUUUGUGCUAUAAAUUGUAAACCGGUCAUGGGCGCUGUAAACAUUACUGAACGUAUAGCCCUAAUGACCAUUUCUUUCCUUUAGAUGUCAAUAUAAUUCAAACUCUCUGAGAGUCCAUUUCCUAAAUUUUUCCUCUGUUAUUCACGAUGCAUGGGAACCUUUUACUGCUCUGCUUUUUCACAAGCACGCUUGCCAGAGCGAGAGAGAGAGAGAGAGAGAGAGAGAGAGUUCAUUCAGCAUAAAAGGACCCCCAAAGGCUGCUGGCCGUAACACAACCCAGCCACAAGUCACACUCACACCGAGUCACCGACCACUCCACUACACAUCCGAAAUGGCGGCCGUGACGUUCGAAGAGGAGGUCUCCACGCUGGCUGCCAGCGCAGCGGCCAUCUCGCCGGCGGUUGUGAGGACGGCCGUGGGGCACUGUCACGCAGCAGCGCCGCCCGUGCCGCUGCCGAUGCCCUGUUCCAUCUCUUCGCCGGCACCAUCAGCGUCGUCUUCACGGCAACAUUCCUCUACCUUGUCGUGUUCCGGGCCUGCGUCGAGAACUGCACUGUGGCCUCGGUAGUUUGGGAGAUCUUUGUUUAUUCUGGUAUGCUCUCCCUGCUACUCAUGGUACCAGCGAUGGUGCUCUUCUUCCUGCGCGCCGCCGGCAGUGGCAGCGAGGUACUCGUCACUCACUCGUCAAACCCUCUCGCCCCGCGAAGCCAAUUUCGCUUAUGAUGUGAUUGUCAAAUGUUGUAGGUCAAGAAUGAUGUGGAGGGUCGCGUCCGUCGGUGGCCGCUAAUCUGGCACGCGUCUGUGGCGUUCUUCCACUUGGCGCUCUUGGUGGGACUCAUCGGGCUCGUUCUUCAAAUCUGUGGCGGGUCUCAAGAGGUUUCUUACCUUCUCCGCAUUGCGGCUGUGCUGUGCAAGCUCCUACUCACCGUGCUCUUCUGCAUCCGUGCUGCUGUGGCGCUGUGGAGGAUGAAUCCUCAACAGCCGGCCGCAGUUGGUGCUGCGGUAGUGUGAUGAGUGUACGGAGUAGUAAUCUAAUCUAUCUAGUAACUACUUGUAGUAGGCUUGCUUCAAUGCUAGGCCGCCAAGAAGAAGUACCGGAUCUAUCUAUCUAACACAGCUCCAUUGUUUACCCCAGUGAUGAACAGCGUCCAUUCUAUGUAAUCAUGUACUCGUAGCCACAGUGAAUUCCAGUAUAUGUUAUCAGGUCCCUUAAUUCUCUGCCUAUAUGACUUGACGUACGCUCUGAUGAAGUGAUGAAGAACUUCCAUUCUAUGUAAUCAUUUUGCAUUUCACUCUACUUGUAUUAAGUUGCUAGAUUUGUUUUUGGCUGGGUUUUGGCGCAGAGGGACGGAUCGAGCAGCUAGGAGAAAGCAGCCGAGCUGCUGCUUGCUUCUUUCUGUUCCUGGUGGGAUUCUUUCUGGCCAAUUCCACCGCGUGACCCUACCCUGUCCGUCCCCGUCCGUUUGGGAUAAAAGGUACAAAAGAAACGGCCCAGCGCGCGGGCGCAAACGGACUUUGUGUCCGCUUUGUGUCCGUUUUCGACCCAUCCCCGGCCCAAACUUGCGCUGGUUUUGGGGUGAAACGGACAGCGCGCGGACGGGCGGGAUGUGCGCCCUUGUCCUCCCCUGGCCCGCCCNNNNNNNNNNNNNNNNNNNNNNNNNNNNNNNNNNNNNNNNNNNNNNNNNNNNNNNNNNNNNNNNNNNNNNNNNNNNNNNNNNNNNNNNNNNNNNNNNNNNNNNNNNNNNNNNNNNNNNNNNNNNNNNNNNNNNNNNNNNNNNNNNNNNNNNNNNNNNNNNNNNNNNNNNNNNNNNNNNNNNNNNNNNNNNNNNNNNNNNNNNNNNNNNNNNNNNNNNNNNNNNNNNNNNNNNNNNNNNNNNNNNNNNNNNNNNNNNNNNNNNNNNNNCCCAUUUGGCGCCAUUUGCCCCAAACCCUCCCGCCUCCCUCCCGCCGCCCUCUCUCUCCUCCGUCCAUGGCCGACGCCCCGCCGAGUACCGGCGGCCUGGCCGCCGUCCCGCCCGCAAAGGUGAAGAAGAAGGCUCGAAGGAAAGCGCGGUCGGAGUACACGCCGGAGGAGAUCGCCAAGUUGGACGCGGAAUCGGCGAAGAGGAGGGAACGGAGAGCGGUAGUCAAGCUCAAUGCCGCCGCGGCCAAGAGAGCUGCCAUGCGCGAGGAGCUGGAGGCCGCGCGGCACAAGGCCGCUGCCGACGAGAAGGAGGACAUCGUCGUCAGCAAAGCUCACGUCAUCCUCAUGCUUGGCAUGGGCCGUCCUGCCGGGUUCCCUGCAGCGGACGUCGCACCGGCGAGCACCAGCUCGUCGGUUGCGCAAUGACAAGCCAUUCACUCUUACGCAUUGUUGGACGCUCAUCAACAUGUGCCCUAAGUUCAAGGACCAAUACCGUGAACUACAAUGGAAAAGAGGACUGAAGACGGCCAAGUUCGCCAGAGGUGGAGAUGGCAAGGCGUUGAAGAGGCCGAGGGGCAAGACCAACUCCAAGGUGGACGGCAUACGUGACACCUCAUCCAUGGCCUUGCAUGAGACUUUGCAUGGCAUGAUAUCCCAAAAGGAUGUGAGGGACAAGAAGAAGCGGCAAAGCAAGGACGAGCAAAUGAAGCAAUACCUAGACCUUCAAAGACAGAAGCUUGAGAUGGAGGAGGCGGCCAAGAAGAGGAAGCUCGACAUGGAGGAGGCGGCCCGGCAAAGGUAGCUCGACAUGGAGGAGGCGGCCCGGCAAAGGCAGCUGGACAUCGAGGCCGACAACGUCAAGGCCAGGCAGAGGCAGCUCGACAUCGAGGCCACCAAUGCCGCCACCAAAGCGAAGGAGGUGGCCCUUGCGAUCAUGAGCGUGGACUUGUCGAAGAUGAGCGACAAGACGAGGGCCUGGUUCGAAGCCAGGCAGAAGGAGAUGCUCGACGCCGAAGGCCUGAACUAGGUCAUCCGAUCGGCGUGGCCGUUCUUUUUGAGGCUGACAUGGGUGCCGCCCGCCCGUCGGGGGCCGCUGGCAGUGCGCCGGCGAGAAAACAUUCAUUUUGGAGGUUGGCUGUGUUGCCGGCGAGAAAAACUAUUCAUUUUGGAGGCUGGCUGUGUUGCCGGCCGCUGGUUGAUGCCGGCGAUGGACGUGUAGGCCGGCGUGAACCGGGAACGCUAGCUGAAUUAGUUUUUUAUGGAUGCGGACAGGAUGGGGCAAAUGGAUGCGGCCUCGCGCUGCGCGCACGACCACCGCAUCCCAGGACACGCCCGGACACGGCCCCAAACCCCUACUCAAACGGACCGAAUCUGGACAAAACGGACGUCCGUUUGGGAUCGCGCGGUGGAGUUCCUCACGCUUCCGGAAAUGGGCGUGGAGCGUUGCACAUGGCCUGCCGAGAAGAUAGAUAGCUACGUAGUGCUAGCUAGCUAGCAAGUUCAACAAUCAAUCAAAUCAGUAUCAGAUACAGGAAGUGCUAUAAUCAGCUCCUCUCACCUAAUAUUCAGGCACACGCGCGCUAUCGGUCACUCCGGCGUAAAGAUUGGACCGUAGGUUCAACGGAGAGGCGCCAACAAACCCAACACCUCCACACCAGUCCACUUCACUCCACUCCCCUAUCCUUGCUCAAAAAAUAUCCAUUCUCGGCGCUUUCUUCCAGGACGUUUGCUGGUGCAUGUGACGUUUCACGCAUCUGGAAACAGGCACAUGGCGCUUUCCUACGUAUUAGCAAGUACAAAUGACAAAAUUAAUUUAUGUACAUAACUACAUAAUACUAUGCAAUGUGAGUUUCGGUGUUAUAAUACUACUUAUCUUGCUAACAUGUGGCCUCUAUACCUUUUCUUUUGAGAAACUGCAUCCUUUAUUAAAGUUCAAACAUUCAUGUGUUUUUUUUUGAGAAAAGUUCAAACAUUCAUGGUGACACAGAUAAUGUUGGGCAAAAGGGAGAACCACACAUGACUCACAAAAGGAAUGGAAGAAGUUGCCUUUGCAAGGGAAUGAGCUUCCCCAUUAUAUUCCCGCUUCUCGUGGAUGAACUUGAGAGCUUGAAACGAGCCACACACAACAAUGGUUAAUUUUCCAAAGGCACUACUAGGAAAAGGGCUAUAGAUAGGAUUGAUACUAAUGGCGCAUCAUGGAAAUAGUGCGCCACUAUUAUAUACUAAUGGCGCACCUGUUGGUGAUGCGCCGUUAGUGUGGAAGACACUAAUGGCGCACCAGAAACAGGGUGCGCCAUUAGUAUUAAUUUUUUUUCCAUUUUCCAUACAUACUAAUGGCGCAUCAGGUCGAACUGCGCCAUUACUAGUUCUAACUAGUAAUGGCGCACUACCACGCGGUGCGCCAUUAGUAAGCUUCCCCCUCACUCCACCUGUUCCCCUCCUUCCCUUCCUCCCAGCCCACUCGACCUAAUUUGCCCCCUCCGCCCCAACCGUACGCCCCCGCCGCCGCCGCCCCCUCCGUCCCCUCCGUCCCCUGCCGCCGCCGCCCCGACCCCCGCCGGAAUNNNNNNNNNNNNNNNNNNNNNNNNNNNNNNNNNNNNNNNNNNNNNNNNNNNNNNNNNNNNNNNNNNNNNNNNNNNNNNNNNNNNNNNNNNNNNNNNNNNNNNNNNNNNNNNNNNNNNNNNNNNNNNNNNNNNNNNNNNNNNNNNNNNNNNNNNNNNNNNNNNNNNNNNNNNNNNNNNNNNNNNNNNNNNNNNNNNNNNNNNNNNNNNNNNNNNNNNNNNNNNNNNNNNNNNNNNNNNNNNNNNNNNNNNNNNNNNNNNNNNNUCCCUCCCCUUCCGCCGCGCCCUCCGCCUCCCCACUGUCCUAGCACCCACGGCGACGACACGAGGCCUCGCGCCCCCGCACCGCCGCAGCCCCGUCGUCUCUGCUCCGGCUUCGGGCCUCCUCCCCUCUCCAGAUGGAGCGCUGCCGGACCUCCGCCCGGCCGCCGCAGCCGCAGCCCGCUCCCGCCUCGGCUCAAACCCCAGGUGCGGCGCCGAUCCACCCGCCAACUCACUAGCCUGCUCUGGCUUCGGGCCUCCUCCCCUCUCUAGAUGGAGCGCUGACGGACCUCCGCCCGGCCGCCGCAGCCGCAGCCCGAUCCCGCCCCGGCCCCAACCCCAGGUGCGGCGCCGCUCCACCCGCCCCGACCCCGGCUGAGGGGCCUCCUCUUUGACGUCCGGGCCAAGAUCGACGCGGAGGCCGCGGCGCCUUCCCGUUCCAGAAGCAGUGCAGCGUCGGCUCCGUGGCGUGCACCGACCCGACCCUCUGCUUCAACAAUGGCAACUCUGAGGUCGGUGGCGCCUGUUGGGAGGACAACUCCGAGACGGCGUCUGCAGACUGCAGGUUCGGUGAAGAUGGCAAUUGCAAUGGCAAUGGCGGUGCGUCGCGGGAGGUCGAUGCUUCGGAACAACCGGUGCGUUCCAGGGAUGUCGUUGAGCUCUGCUUCCCUAGCUGAAUCCAUGAAUGUGGUCAGUGAUUAUUUGGGGUUUUUGCUUCGGUAGUUCUUGCAUGGGAGUUGUUUUACAUUUUUGGUGAAAAUACACUCUCAUGGAACGAAAGGGCAAUCAGUGAGUACAACUGAUAUGAUGUUCUUAUGUCUUGAUACUAUGCUUACUCAUAUAAUAGCAAUAGAAGGAGGUUAAUAGUUAUGCUCAGGAGGAUGUUUUCUGGUACAAAAUUGUAAUGCCAAUAUGCGCUUGAUCUCUGGUUUGGAUUCGUGAGUAUUCAGGCAAUCGGAUGGGACCAUGAUACAGAUAAAAAAAUGCACCGUCUUCGGCUCUUUCUCGCUGUUCAAUAUCAAUUUCUUAGUUAACUUGAGCAUCGAUUCAGAAAAAUUCUUCCACACAUAACCUGAUGAUAUAAGCCUCAACCAAAACUGAAGUAGCAGCAAUUGGUACCGAUAGCUAGCUAGCUUGACUGGAUUAUGUGCUUAAUUCACUGAGUUUGGUUGGUGAAGAUGAAUUAGCAGCUCCCCCAUGUAGCUAGAAUUGGUAUGAUUUCUAUGGAGAAUGACCAAUUCAGCUUCUUACCCCUAAAAAAAAUCAGCUUCUUUAAAACUGACAGCAGGUUCCUCCCAUGUUUCACUUUUUUCUAGUUAGUUUCUUCCAGCUAUAGGUUAGUUUACAGCUAGAAUUAUGUAUUUCAACCAUUUAUAUGUUUAGUUUCCAGCUAUAGGUUAGUUUACAUCUAUUUGCUGCUAAUACAACAUAAUAUUUGAUAUGAGCAGGGUGAACAACCUUCAGGUCCCGGGAAUCUACUCAAGGCUGCAGACACUUCUUGUCUCACUUCUUUUAUCAUCGGUAUAAUAUUCAUAUUAAGGAGUUUCUAUAAGUUCAUUGUUCUUACCUGCAAAUUUCAAAUGAAAGCACAAUCAAUCCAUAUUAAGUGCUCAUCCUAGUGGUAGGCAAAAUAAUUAGGGGAGUGUGUCAUUCUUGCUAUGGUCAUGUAAGAGAAAUGCUCUGCCUUGCUAAUUUUACCAUGAGAUUUGGGGUAAUCAGCUAGUUCUGGUCAAAGCAAGUGGUUUUCCUGAGCUAUGCCUUGGUUAGAAAAUGAUGCAUGAUGGGCAUCAUGCAUGUUAUCAUGCACGUUUCAUGAUCUGUUGUAAGGGUACUAAUUGGUCUCUUCUGCUGCUUAUCAUAGAUGGCGGGCAGCAGCCACCCCCUCUGCGACACCGCAGUACAAGUUGGAUGCUUCCGAGUUCUUCACUAUCAUACUUGAGACUUCAGUAUCAUCCAUGACGCAGGUAUAUAAAACGAGAGAUCUCCCCUUCACCCAUCUCAUUAUGAUAUCUGCUAUUUGCUACAUCAUGAAGGAAAUAUGCCCUAGAGGCAAUAAUAAAGUUAUUAUUUAUUUCCUCAUAUGAUGAUAAAUGUUUAUUAUUCAUGCUAGAAUUGUAUUAACCGGAAACAUGAUACAUGUGUGAAUACAUAGACAAACAUAUAGUCACUAGUAUGCCUCUACUUGACUAGCUCAUUAAUCAAAGAUGGUUAUGUUUCCUAACCAUAGACAUGUGUUGUCAUUUGAUUAAUGGGAUCACAUCAUUAGGAGAAUGAUGUGAUUGACAUGACCCAUUUCGUUAGCCUAGCACUUGAUCGUUUAGUAUAUUGCUAUUGCUUUCUUCAUGACUUAUACAUGUUCCUGUAACUAUGAGAAUUAUGCAACUCCCAUUUACCGGAGGAACACUUUGGGUACUACCAAACGUCACAACGUAACUGGGUGAUUAUAAAGGAGUACUACAGGUGUCUCCGAAGGUACAUGUUGAGUUGGCGUAUUUCGAGAUUAGGUUUUGUCACUCCGAUUGUCGGAGAGGUAUCUCUGGGCCCUCUCGGUAAUGCACAUCAUUAUAAGCCUUGCAAGCAAUGUGACAAAAUGAGUUGGUUAUGGGAUGAUUCAUUACGGAACGAGUAAAGAGACUUACCGGUAACGAGAUUGAACUAGGUAUUGGAUACCGACGAUCAAAUCUCGGGCAAGUAACAUACCGAUGACAAAGGGAACAACAUAUGUUGUUAUGCGGUUUGACCGAUAAAGAUCUUCGUAGAAUAUGUAGGAACCAAUAUGGGCAUCCAGGUUCCGCUAUUGGUUAUUGACCGAGAAUAGUUCUAGGUCAUGUCUACAUAGUUCUCGAACCCGUAGGGUCCGCACGCUUAACGUUACGAUGACAAUUUUAUUAUGAGUUUAUAAGUUUUGAUGUAUCAAAGUUUGUUCGGAGUCCCGGAUGUGAUCACGGACGUAACGAGGAGUCUCGAAAUGGUCGAGACAUAAAGAUCGAUAUAUUGGAAGCCUAUAUUCGGACAUCGGAAUCGUUCGGGGUGAAAUCGGCAUUUUACCGGAGUACCGGGAGGUUACCGGAACCCCCCGGGGGGUUAUUGGGCCUACAUGGGCCUCGAGGGAGAAGAGGGAAGGAGGCAGGAGGGGGCCACACGCCCCUCCCCUUCCUAGUCCGAAUAGGACAAGGAAAGGGGGGCGCCCCCCCCCCCCUUUCCUUCCCCUCUUCCUCCUCUUUCCCCCCUUCUCCUAUUCCGACUAGGAAAGAAGGGAGUCCUACUCCCGGUGGGAGUAGGACUCCCCCCUUGGCGCGCCCUCCUUGGCCGACCGCCUCCUCCCCUUGGCUCCUUUAUAUACGGGGGCGGGGGGCACCCCAUAGACACACAAGUUGAUCUACGGAUCGUUCCUUAGCCAUGUGCGGUGCCCCCCUCCACCAUAUUCCACCUCGGUCAUAUCGUCGUGGAGUUUAGGCGAAGCCCUGCGCCGGUAGAGGAUCAUCAUCGUCACCACGCCGUCGUGCUGACGGAACUCAUCCCCGAAGCUUUGCUAGAUCGGAGCCCGGGGAUCGUCAUUGAGCUGAACGUGUGCUGAACUCGGAGGUGCCGUACGUUCGGUACUUGGAUCGGUCGAAUCGUGAAGACGUACGACUACAUCAACCGCGUUGUCAUAACGCUUCCGCUUACGGUCUACGAGGGUACAUGGACAACACUCUCUCCUCUCGUUGUUAUGCCAUCACCAUGAUCUUGCGUGUACGUAGGAAAUUUUUUGAAAUUACUACGUUCCCCAACAGUGGUAUCAGAGCCUAGGUUUUAUGUGUUGAUGUUAUAUGCAUGAGUAGAACACGAGUGAGUUGUGGGCGAUACAAGUCAUACUGCUUACCAGCAUGUCAUACUUUGGUUCGGCGGUAUUGUGAGAUGAAGCGGCCCGGACCGACAUUAUGCGUACGCUUACGCGAGACUGGUUUCACCGUUACGAGCACAUGUGCUUAAAGGUGGUUGGCGGGUGUCUGUCUCUCUCACUUUAGCUGAAUCGAGUGUGGCUACGCCCGGUCCUUGCGAAGGUUAAAACAACACCAACUUGACGAACUAUCGUUGUGGUUUUUAUGCGUAGGUAAGAACGGUUCUUGCUAAGCCCGUAGCAGCCACGUAAAAUUUGCAACAACAAAGUAGAGGACGUCUCACUAGUUUUUGCAGGGCAUGUUGUGAUGUGAUAUGGUCAAGACGUGAUGCUAUAUUUUAUUAUAUGAGAUGAUCAUGUUUUGUAACCAAAGUUAUCGGCAACUCGCAGGAGCCAUAUGGUUGUCGCUUUAUUGUAUGAAAUGCAAACGCUCUGUAAUUGCUUUACAUUAUCACUAAGCGGUAGCGAUAGUCGUAGAAGCAAUAGAUGGCGUAACGACAACGAUGCUACGAUGGAGAUCAAGGUGUCGCGUCGGUGACGAUGGUGAUCACGACGGUGCUUUGAAGAUGGAGAUCACAAGCACAAGAUGAUGAUGGCCAUAUCAUAUCACUUAUAUUGAUUGCAUGUGAAGUUUAUCCUUUAUGCAUCUUAUCUUGCUUUGAUUGACGGUAGAAUUUUAAGAUGAUCUCUCACUAAUAAUCAAGAAGUGUUCUCCCUGAGUAUGCACCAUUGCGAAAGUUCUUCGUGCUGAGACACCACAUGAUGAUCGGGUGUGAUAGGCUCUACGUUCAAAUACAACAGGUGCAAAACAGUUGCACACGCGGAAUACUCAGGUCAUACUUGACGAGCCUAGCAUAUACAGAUAUGGCCUCGGAACACGGAGACCGAAAGGUUGAACGUGAAUCAUAUAGUAGAUAUGAUCAACAUAGUGAUGUUCACCAUUGAAACUACUCCGUCUCACGUGAUGAUCGGACAUGGUUUAGUUGAUUUGGAUCACGUGAUCACUUAGAUGACUAGAGAGAUGUCCGUCUAAGUGGGAGUUCUUAAGUAAUAUGAUUAAUUGAACUUAAAUUUAUCAUGAACUUAGUACCAGAUAGUAUUUUGCUUGUCUAUGUUUGUUUGUAGAUAGAUGGCUCGUGUUGUUGUUCCGUUGAAUUUUAAUGCGUUCCUUGAGAAAGCAAAGUUGAAAGAUGAUGGUAGCAAUUACACGGACUGGGUCCGUAACCUAAGGAUUAUCCUCAUUGCUGCACAAAAAAGUUACGUCCUGGAAGCACCGCUGGGUGCCAGGCCUGCUGCUGAUGCAACUGACGACGUUAAGAACGUCUGGCAGAGCAAAGCUGAUGACUACUCGAUAGUUCAUGAAGGAAAUAUGCCCUAGAGGCAAUAAUAUAGUUAUUAUUUAUUUCCUUAUUUCAUGAUAAAUGUUUAUUAUUCAUGCUAGAAUUGUAUUAACCGGAAACAUGAUACAUGUGUGAAUACAUAGACAAACAUAUAGUCACUAAUAUGCCUCUACUUGACUAGCUCAUUAAUCAAAGAUGGUUAUGUUUCCUAACCAUAGACAUGUGUUGUCAUUUGAUUAAUGGGAUCACAUCAUUAGGAGAAUGAUGUGAUUGACAUGACCCAUUCCGUUAGCCUAGCACUUGAUCGUUUAGUAUGUUGCUAUUGCUUUCUUUAUGACUUAUACAUGUUCCUGUAACUAUGAGAUUAUGCAACUCCCGUUUACCAGAAGAACACUUUGGGUGCUACCAAACGUCACAACGUAACUGGGUGAUUAUAAAGGAGUACUACAGGUGUCUCCAAAGGUACAUGUUGGGUUGGCGUAUUUCGAGAUUAGGUUUUGCACUCCGAUUGUCGGAGAGGUAUCUCUGGGCCCUCUCGGUAAUGCACAUCACUAUAAGCCUUGCAAGCAAUAUAGCUAAUGAGUUAGUUACGGAAUGAUGCAUUACGUAACGAGUAAAGAGACUUGCCGGUACCGAGAUUGAACUAGGUAUUGGAUACCGACGAUCGAAUCUCGGGCAAGUAACAUAUCGAUGAAAAAGGGAGCAAAGUAUGUUGUUAUGCGGUUUGACCGAUAAAGAUCUUCUUAGAAUAUGUAGGAGCCAAUAUGGGCAUCCUGGUUCCGCUAUUGGUUAUUGACCCAGAAUAGUUCUAGGUCAUGUCUACAUAGUUCUCGAACCCGUAGGGUCCGCACGCUUAAGGUUUCGAUGACAGUUAUAUUAUGAGUUUAUGAGUUUUGAUGUACCAAAGGAGUUCGAAGUCCUGGAUGAGAUCGGGGACAUGACGAGGAGUCUCGAAAUGGUCGAAACGUAAAGAUCGAUAUAUUGGACGACUAUAUUCGGAGUUCGGAAAGGUUCCGUGUGAUUCGGUUAUUUUUCGGAGUACCGGAGAGUUACGGGAAUUCGCCGGGGAGUAUAUGGGCCUUAUUGGGCCAUACGGGAAUAGAGGAGAGAGGCCGAAAGGAAGGAGGCGCGCAGCCCCCCUCUGGUCCGAAUUGGACAAGGGGUGCGGCCCCCUUUUCCUUCCUCCUCUCCCCCUCUUUCCCCCUUCUCCUACUCCAACAAGGAAGGAGGGAGUCCUAUUCCCGGUGGGAGUAGGACUCCCCUUGGCGCGCCCCUUCUAGGCCGGCCGCCCCCUCCCCCCCUUGAUCCUUUAUACACGGGGGCAGGGGGGCACCUCUAGGCACAACAACACAAGUUGAUCUACGGAUCGUUCCUUAGCCGUGUGCGGUGCCCCCCUCCACCAUAUUCCACCUCGGUCAUAUCGUCGCGGUGUUUAGGCGAAGCCCUGCGCCGAUAGAGCAUCAUCAUCGUCACCACGCCGUCGUGCUGACGGAACUCAUCCCCGACACUUUGCUGGAUCGGAGUCCGGGGAUCGUCAUCGAGCUAAACGUGUGCUGAACUCGGAGGUGUCGUACGUUCGGCACUUGGAUCGGUCGGAUCGUGAAGACGUACGACUACAUCAACCGUGUUGUCAUAACGCUUCCGCUUACGGUCUACGAGGGUACGUGGACAACACUCUCUCCUCUUGUUGCUAUGCCAUCACCAUGAUCUUGCGUGUACGUAGGAUUUUUUUUGAAAUUACUACGUUCCCCAACAGUGGCAUCCGAGCCAGGUUUUAUGCGUAGAUGUCAUAUGCACGAGUAGAACACAAGUGAGUGGUGGGUGAUACAAGUCAUACUGCUUACCAGCAUGUCAUACUUUGGUUCGGCGGUAUUGUGAGAUGAAGCGGCCCGGACCGACAUUACGUGUACGCUUACGCGAGACUGGUUUCAUCGUUACGAGCACUCGUGCUUAAAGGUGGCUGGCGGGUGUCUGUCUCUCUCACUUUAGCUGAAUCGAGUGUGGCUACGCCCGGUCUUUGCGAAGGUUAAAACAACACUAACUUGACGAACUAUCGUUGUGGUUUUGAUGCGUAGGUAAGAACGGUUCUUGCUAAGCCCGUAGCAGCCACGUAAAAUCUGCAACAACAAAGUAGAGGACGUCUAACUUGUUUUUGCAGGGCAUGUUGUGAUGUGAUAUGGUCAAGACGUGAUGAGAUAUAAGUUGUUGUAUGAGAUUAUCAUGUUUUGUUGAAGUUAUCGGCAACUGGCAGAAGCCCUAUGGUUGUCUCUUUGUUGCAUAAGAUGCAAGUGCCAAAUAAUUGCUUUACUUUAUCGCUAUGCGAUAGCAAUAGUUGCAAGAGCAAUAGUUGGCGAGACGACCAUGUAACGACACAUUGAUAUAGAUCAAGAUGAUGAAGAUCAUGGUGUCGUGCCGGUAACGAUAGAGAUCAUGACAGUACUUUGGAGAUGGAGAUCAAAGGCGCAAGAUGAUCAUGGCCAUAUCAUGUCACAUAUUUUGAUUGCAUAUGAUGUUUAUCUGUUAUACAUCUUAUUCUGUUUUGUUUGACAGUAGCAUUUUAAGAUGAUCUCUCACUAAUUAUCAAGAAGUGUUCUCCCUGAGUAUGCACCAUUGCGAAAGUUCUUCGUGCUGAGACACCACGUGAUGAUCGGGUGUGAUAGGCUUUACUUUCAAAUACAACGGGUGCAAAACAGUUGCACACGCGGAAUACUGAGGUUAAACUUGACGAGCCUAGCAUAUACAGAUAUGGCCUCGGAACACGGAGACCGAAAGGUCGAGCGUGAAUCAUAUAGUAGAUAUGAUCAACAUAUUGAUAUUCACCGUUGAAACUACUCCAUCUCACGUGACGAUCGGACAUGGUGUAGUUGAUAUGGAUCAUGUAAUCACUUAGAGGAUUAGAGGGAUGUCUAUCUAAGUGGGAGUUCUUAAGUAAUAUGAUUAAUUGAACUUAAAUUUAUCAUGAACUUAGUCCUGGUAGUAUUUUGCAAAUUAUGUUGUAGAUCAAUAGCUUGCGUUGUUGCUUUCAUAUGUUUAUUUUGAUAUGUUCCUAGAGAAAAUUGUGUUGAAAGAUGUUAGUAGCAAUGAUGCGGAUUGGAUCCGUGAUCUGAGGUUUAUCCUCAUUGCUGCACAGAAGAAUUAUGUCCUUAAUGCACCGCUAGGUGACGGACCUAUUGCAGGAGCAGACGCAAACGUUAUGAACGUUUGGCUAGCUCAAUAUGAUUACUACUUGAUAGUUUAGUGCACCAUGAUUAAUGGCUUAGAAUCGGGACUUCAAAGAUGUUUUGAACGUCAUGGACCAUAUGAGAUGUUCCAGGAAUUGAAGUUAAUAUUUCAAGCAAAUACCCGAGUUGAGAGAUAUGAAGUCUCCAACAAGUUCUAUAGCUAAAAGAUGGAGGAGAAUCGCUCAACUAGUAAGCAUGUGCUCAGAUUGUCUGGGUACUUCAAUCACUUGAAUCAAGUGGGAGUUAAUCUUCCAGAUAAGAUAGUGAUUGACAGAAUUCUCUAGUCACCAUCACUAAGUUACUAGAACUUUGUGAUGAACUAUAGUAUGCAAGGGAUGACGAAAACAAUUCCCGAGCUCUUCGUGAUGUUGAAAUCGAUGAACGUAGAAAUCAAGAAAGAGCAUCAAGUGUUGAUGAUUGACAAGACCACUAGUUUCAAGAAAAGGGCAAAGGGAAAGAAAGGGAACUUCAAGUAGAAUGACAAGCAAGUUGUCACUCCCACGAAGAAGCCCAAAGCUGAACCAAAGCCUGAAACUGAGUGCUUACACUGCAAAGGAAAUGGUCACUGGAAGCCGAAAUGCCCUAAAUAUUUGGUGGAUAAGAAGGAUGGCAAAGUGAACAAGGGUAUAUUUGAUAUACAGGUUAUUGAUAUGUGCUUUACUAGUGUUUAUAGUAACCCCUGAGUAUUUGAUACUUGUUCAGUUGCUAAGAUUAGUAACUCGAAACAGGAGUUACAGAAUAAACAGAAACUAGUUGAGGGUGAAGUGAUGAUGUGUGUUGGAAGUGGUUCCAAGAUUGAUAUGAUCAUCAUCGCACACUCCCUAUACUUUCGGGAUUAGUGUUAAACCUAAAUAAAUGUUAUUUGGCGUUUGCAUUGAGCAUGAAUAUGAUUUGAUCAUGUUCAUUGCAAUACGGUUAUUCAUUUAAAGUCAAAGAAUAAUUGUUGUUCUGUUUACAUGAAUAAAACCUUCAAAUGGUCAUACACCCAAUGAAAUUGGUUGUUGGAUCUCGAUCGUAGUGAUACACAUAUUCAUAAUAUUGAUGCCAAAAGAUGCAAAGUUAAUAAUGAUAGUGCAACUUAUUUGUGGCACUGCCGUUUGGGUCAUAUUGGUGUAAAGCGCAUGAAGAAACUCCAUAAAGAUGGAUUUUCGUAAUCACUUGGUUAUGAAUCAUUUGAUGCUUGCGAACCAUGCCUUUUGGGCAAGAUGACUAAAAACUCCGUUCUCCGGAACAAUGGAACGAGCUAGUGACUUAUUGGAAAUAAUACAUACCGAUGUAUGCGGUCCAAUGAGUGUUGAUGCUCGUGGCGUGUAUCGUUAUUUUCUGAUCUUCACAAAAUGAAUUGAGUAGAUAUGAGUAUAUCUACUUAAUGAAGCACAAGUCUGAAACAUUUGAAAAGUUCAAAGAAUUUCAGAGUGAAGUGGAGAAUCAUCGUAACAAGAAAAUUAAGUUUCUGCAAUUUGAUCACGGAGACAAAUAUUUGAGUUAUGAGUUUGGUCUUCAAUUAAAAUAAUGUGGAAUAGUUUCACAAACUCAUGCCACCUGGAACACCACAGCUUAAUGGUGUGUCCGAACGUCAUAACAAGUACUUUAUUGGAUAUAGUGCAAUCUAUGAUGUCUCUUACCUAUUUACCACUAUCGUUUUGGGGUUAUGCAUUAGAGACAGCUGCAUUCACGUUUAAUAGGGCUCCAUCUGAAUCCGUUGAGACGACACGGUAUGAACUAUGGUUUAGCGGUAAACCUAAGUUAUCGUUUCUUAAAGUUUGGAGUUGCGAUGCUCAUGUGAAAAAGUUUCAACCUGAUAAGAUUGAACCCAAAUCGAAGAAGUGCGUCUUCAUAGAAUACCCAAAGGAAACUGUUGGGUACACCUUCUAUCACAGAUCCGAAGGAAAAUUAUUCGUUGCUAAGAUGGAUCCUUUCUAGAGAAGAAGUUUCUCUCGACAGAAGUGAGUGGGAGGAAAGUAGAACUUGAUGAGGUAACUGUACCUACUCCCUCAUUCGAAAGUAGUUCAUCACAGAAAUCUGUUCCUGUGACUACUACACCAAUUAGUGAGGAAGUUAAUGAUGAUGAUCAUGAAACUUCAGAUUAAGUUACUACAGAAUCUCGUAGGUCUUACAGAGUAAGAUCCGCACCAGAGUGGUACGGUAAUCCUGUUCUGGAAGUUAUGUUACUAGACCAUGACGAACCUACGAACUAUGAAGAAGCGAUGGUGAGCCCAGAUUCCGCAAAAUGGCUUGAGCCAUGAAAUCUGAGAUAAGAUCCAUGUAUGAAAACAAAGUAUGGACUUUGAUUGACUUGCCCAAUGAUCGGCGAGACAUUGAGAUUAAAUGGAUCUUCAAGAGGAAGAUGGACGCUGAUAGUGUUACUAUCUACAAAGCUAGAAUUGUCGCAAAAGGUUUUCGACAAGUUCAAGGUGUUGACUACGAUGAGAGUUUUUCACUCGUAUCUAUGCUUAAGUCUGUCUGAAUCAUGUUAGCAAUUGCCACAUUUCAUGAAAUCUGGCAAAUGGAUAAACAAAACUGCAUUCCUUAAUGGUUUUCUUAAAGAAGUGUUGUAUAUAAUGCAACCAGAAGGUUUUGUCAAUCCUAAAGGUGCUAACAAAUUGUGCAAGCUCCAGGGUUCCAUCUAUGGACUGGUGCAAGCAUCUCGGAGUUGGAAUAUAUGCUUUGAUGAGUUGAUCAAAGCAUAUGGUUUUAUACAGAAUUUUGAAGAAGCCUGUAUUUACAAGAAAGUGAGUGGGAGCUCUGUAGCAUUUCUAAUAUUAUAUGUGGAUGACAUAUUGUUAAUUGGAAAUGAUAUGGAAAUUCUGGAUAGCAUGAAAGGAUACUUGAAUAAGAGUUUUUCAAAGCAAGAUCUCGAUGAAGCUGCUUACACAUUGAGCAUCAAGAUCUAUAUAGAUAGAUCAAGACGCUUGAUAAGAUUUUUCAAUGAGUACAUACCUUGAUAAAUUUUUGAAAUAGUUCAAAAUGGAACAGUCAAAGAAGGAGUUCUUGCAUGUGUUACAAGGUGUGAAGUUGAGUAAGACUCAUGACCCGGCCAUUGCAGAAAAUAGAAAGAGAAUGAAAAGUCAUUCCCUAUGCCUCAGUCAUAGGUUCUAUAAAGUAUGCUAUGCUGUGAACCAGACCUAUUGUAUACCUUGCUCUGUGUUUGGCAAAGGAAUACAAUUUUGAUCUAAUAAGUAGAUCACUGGACAUGGGUCAAGAAUAUCCUUAGUGAGGACUAAGGAGAUGUUUCUCGAUUAUCGAGGUGAUAAAAGAGCCUGUCGUUAAUGUUACAACGAUGCAAGCUUUUACACCAAUCCAGAUGACUGUAAGUCUCAAUCUGGAUACAUAUUGAAAGUGGGAGCAAUUAGCUAGAGUAGCUCCGUGCAGAGCAUUGUGGACAUAGAAUAUUUGCGAAAUACAUACGGCUCUAAAUAUGACAGACCCGUUGACUAAGCUUCUCUCACGAGCAAAACAUGAUCAUACCUUAGUACUCUUUUGGGUGUUAAUCACAUAGCGAUGUGAACUAGAUUAUUGACUCUAGUAAACCCUUUGGGUGUUGAUCACAUGAUGAUGUGAACUAUGGGUAUUAAUCACAUGCAGAUGUGAAUAUUGAUGUUAAAUCACAUAGUGAUGUGAACUAGAUUAUUGACUCUAGUGCAAGUGUGAGACUGAAGAAAAUAUGCCCUAGAGGCAAUAAUAAAGUUAUUAUUUAUUUCCUUAUUUCAUGAUAAAUGUUUAUUAUUCAUGCUAGAAUUGUAUUAACCGGAAACAUGAUACAUGUGUGAAUACAUAGACAAACAUAUAGUCACUAGUAUGCCUCUACUUGACUAGCUCAUUAAUCAAAGAUGGUUAUGUUUCCUAACCAUAGACAUGUGUUGUCAUUUGAUUAAUGGGAUCACAUCAUUAGGAGAAUGAUGUGAUUGACAUGACCCAUUCCGUUAGCCUACCACUUGAUCGUUUAGUAUGUUGCUAUUGCUUUCUUCAUGACUUAUACAUGUUCCUGUAACUAUGAGAUUAUGCAACUCCCGUUUACCGAAGGAACAUUUUGGGUGCUACCAAACAUCACAACGUAACUGGGUGAUUAUAAAGGAGUACUACAGGUGUCUCCAAAGGUACAUGUUGGGUUGGCGUAUUUCGAGAUUAGGUUUUGUCACUCUGAUUGUCGGAGAGGUAUCUCUGGGCCCUCUCGGUAAUGCACAUCACUAUAAGCCUUGCAAGCAAUGUAGCUAAUGAGUUUUUUACGGAAUGAUGCAUUACGUAACGAGUAAAGAGACUUGCCGGUAACGAGAUUGAACUAGGUAUUGGAUACCGACGAUCGAGUCUCGGGCAAGUAACAUACCGAUGACAAAGGGAGCAAAAUAUGUUGUUAUGCGGUUUGACCGAUAAAGAUCUUCGUAGAAUAUGUAGGAACCAAUAUGGGCAUCCAGGUUCCGCUAUUGGUUAUUGACCAAGAAUAGUUCUAGGUCAUGUCUACAUAGUUCUCGAACCCGUAGGGUCCACACGCUUAAGGUUUCGAUGACAGUUAUAUUAUGAGUUUAUGAGUUUUGAUGUACCAAAGGAGUUUGGAGUCCCGGAUGAGAUCGGAACAUGACGAGGAGUCUCGAAAUGGUCGAGACGUAAAGAUCGAUAUAUUGGACGACUAUAUUCGGAGUUCGGAAAGGUUCCGAGUGAUUCGGGUAUUUUUCGGAGUACCGGAGAGUUACGGGAAUUCGCCGGGGAGUAUAUGGGCCUUAUUGGGCCAUACGGGAAUAGAGGAGAGAGGCCGAAAGGAAGGAGGCGUGCAGCCCCCCUCUGGUCCGAAUUGGACAAGGGGUGCGGCCCCCUUUUCCUUCCUCCUCUCCCCCUCUUUCCCCCUUCUCCUACUCCAACAAGGAAGGAGGGAGUCCUACUCCCGGUGGGAGUAGGACUCCCCUUGGCGCGCCCCUCCUAGGCCGGCCGCCCCCUCCCCCCGUUGCUCCUUUAUAUACGGGGGCAGGAGGGCACCUCUAGGCACAACAACACAAGUUGAUCUACGGAUCAUUCCUUAGCCGUGUGCGGUGCCCCCCUCCACCAUAUUCCACCUCGGUCAUAUCGUCGCGGUGUUUAGGCGAAGCCCUGCGCCGGUAGAGCAUCAUCAUCGUCACCACGCCGUCGUGCUGACGGAACUCAUCCCCGACACUUUGCUGGAUCGGAGUCCAGGGAUCGUCAUCGAGCUGAACGUGUGCUGAACUCGGAGGUGCCGUACGUUCGGUACUUGGAUCGGUCGGAUCGUGAAGACGUACGACUACAUCAACCGCGUUGUCAUAACGCUUCUGCUUACGGUCUACGAGGGUACGUGGACAACACCCUCUCCUCUCGUUGCUAUGCCAUCACCAUGAUCUUGCGUGUACGUAGGAUUUUUUUUGAAAUUACUACGUUCCCCAACAGUUCAGUGUGCCAUGCUUUACGGCUUAGAGCCGGGUCUUCAACGAUGUUUUGAACGUCAUGGAGCAUAUGAGAUGUUCCAGGAGUUGAAGUUAAUAUUUCAAGCAAAUGCCCGGAUUGAGAGAUAUGAAGUCUCCAAUAAGUUCUAUAGCUGCAAGAUGGAGGAGAAUAGUUCUGUCAGUGAACAUAUACUCAAAAUGUCUGGGUAUAAUAAUCACUUGAUUCAACUGGGAGUUAAUCUUCCUGAUGAUAGUGUCAUUGACAGAAUUCUUCAAUCACUGCCACCAAGCUACAAGUGCUUCGUGAUGAACUAUAAUAUGCAAGGGAUGAACAAGACUAUUCCCGAGCUCUUCGCGAUGCUAAAAGCCGUGGAGGUAGAAAUCAAGAAGGAGCAUCAAGUGUUGAUGGUUAACAAGACCACCAGUUUCAAGAAAAAGGGCAAAGGGAAGAAGAAGGGGAACUUCAAAAAGAACAGCAAGCAAGUUGCAGCUCAAGAGAAGAAACGCAAGUCUGGACCUAAGCCUGAAACUGAGUGCUUCUACUGCAAGCAAACUGGACACUGGAAGCGGGACUGCCCCAAGUAUUUGGCGGAUAAGAAGGAUGGCAAAGUGAACAAAGGUAUAUGUGAUAUACAUGUUAUUGAUGUGUACCUUACUAAUGCUCGCAGUAGCACCUGGGUAUUUGAUACUGGUUCUGUUGCUAAUAUUUGCAACUCGAAACAGGGACUACAGAUUAAGCGAAGAUUGGCUAAGGACGAGGUGACGAUGCGCGUGGGAAAUGGUUCCAAAGUCGAUGUGAUCGCGGUCGGCACGCUACCUCUACAUCUACCAUCGGGAUUAGUUUUAGACCUAAAUAAUUGUUAUUUGGUGCCAGCGUUGAGCAUGAACAUUAUAUCUGGAUCUUGUUUGAUGUGAGACGGUUAUUCAUUUAAAUCAGAGAAUAAUGGUUGUUCUAUUUAUAUGAGUAAUAUCUUUUAUGUUCAUGCACCCUUGAAAAGAGGUCUAUUUUUAUUGAAUCUCGAUAGUAGUAAUACACAUAUUCAUAGUGUUGAAACCAAAAGAUGUAGAGUUGAUAACGAUAGUGCAACUUAUUUGUGGCACUGAUGUUUAGGUCAUAUCGGUGUAAAGCGCAUGAAGAAACUCCAUACUGAUGGGCUUUUGGAAUCACUUGAUUAUGAAUCACUUGGUACUUGCGAACCGUGCCUCAUGGACAAGAUGACUAAAACGCCGUUCUCCGGAACUAUGAGCGAGCAACUGAUUUGUUGGAAAUCAUACAUACUGAUGUUUGUGGUCCAAUGAAUGUUGAGGCUCGCGGCGGGUAUCGUUAUUUUCUCACCUUCACAGAUGAUUUGAGCAGAUAUGGGUAUAUCUACUUGAUGAAACACAAGUCUGAAACAUUUGAAAAGUUCAAAGAAUUUCAGAGUGAAGUGGAAAAUCAUCGUAACAAGAAAAUAAAAUUUCUAUGAUCUGAUCGUGGAGGAGAAUAUUUGAGUUAUGAGUUUGGUUUACACUUGAAACAAUGCAUAAUAGUUUCGCAACUCACGCCACCCGGAACACCACAACGAAAUGGUGUGUCCGAACGUCGUAAUCGUACUUUACUAGAUAUGGUGCGAUCUAUGAUGUCUCUUACUGAUUUACCGCUAUCGUUUUGGGGUUAUGCUUUAGAGACGGUCGCAUUCACGUUAAAUAGGGCACCAUCAAAAUCCGUUGAGAUGACGCCUUAUGAACUGUGGUUUGGCAAGAAACCAAAGUUGUUGUUUCUUAAAGUUUGGGGUUGCGAUGCUUAUGUGAAGAAACUUCAACCAGAUAAGCUCGAACCCAAAUCGGAGAAAUGUGUCUUCAUAGGAUACCCAAAAGAGACUAUUGGGUACACCUUCUAUCACAGAUCUGAGGGCAAGAUUUUCGUUGCUAAAAUCGGAUCCUUUCUAGAGAAGGAGUUUCUCUCGAAAGAAGUGAGUGGGAGGAAAGUAGAACUUGAUGAGAUAACGGUGUCUACUCCCUUAUUGGAAAGUAGUUCAUCACAAGAACCGGUUCCUGUGACAACUACACCAAUUAGUGAGGAAGCUAAUGAUAUUGAUCAUGAAACUUCAGAUCAAGUUUCUACUGAACCUCGUAGGUCUACCAGAGUAAGAUUCGCACCAGAGUGGUACGGUAAUCCAAUUCUGGAAGUCAUGUUGCUUGACCAUGAUGAACCUACGAACUAUGAGGAAGCGAUGAUGAGCCCAGAUUCCGCAAAAUGGCUAGAGGCCAUGAAAUCUGAGAUGGGAUCCAUGUAUGAAAACAAAGUAUGGACUUUGGUUGACUUGCCCGAUGAUCGGCAAGCAAUUGAGAAUAAAUGGAUCUUUAAGAAGAAGACUGACGCUGAUGGUAAUGUAACUGUCUAUAAAGCUCGACUUGUUGCGAAAGGUUUUCGACAAGUUCAAGGAGUUGACUACGAUGAGACUUUCUCACUCGUAGCGAUGCUUAAGUCUGUCCGAAUCAUGUUAGCUAUUGCUGCAUUUCAUGAUUGUGAAAUUUGGCAAAUGGAUGUCAAAACUGCAUUCUUGAAUGGAUUUCUGGAAGAAUAGUUGUAUAUGAUGGAGCCAGAAGGUUUUGUUGAUCCAAAAGGUGCUAACAAAGUGUGCAAGCUUCAGCGUUCCAUUUAUGGACUGGUGCAAGCAUCUCGGAGUUGGAAUAAACGCUUUGAUAGUGUGAUCAAAUCAUAUGGUUUUAUACAGACGUUUGGAGAAGCCUGUAUUUACAAGAAAGUGAGUGGGAGCUCUGUAGCAUUUCUGAUAUUAUAUGUAGAUGACAUAUUAUUAAUUAGAAAUGAUAUAGAAUUUCUGGAUAGCAUAAAGGGAUACUUGAAUAAAAGUUUUUCAAUGAAAGACCUCGGUGAAGCUGCUUACAUAUUGGGCAUCAAGAUCUAUAGAGAUAGAUCAAGACGCUUAAUAGGACUUUCACAAAGCACAUACCUUGAUAAAAUUUUGAAAAGGUUCAAAAUGGAUCAGGAAAAGAAAGGGUUCUUGCCCGUACUACAAGGUGUGAAGUUGAGUCAAACUCAAUGCCCGACCACAGCAGAAGAUAGAGAGAAAAUGAAAGAUGUUCCCUAUGCUUCAGCCAUAGGCUCUAUCAUGUAUGCAAUGUUGUGUACCAGACAUGAUGUAUGCUUAGCAAUAAGCUUGGCAGGAAGGUACCAAAGUAAUCCAGGAGUGGAUCACUGGACAGCGGUCAAGAACAUCCUGAAAUACCUGAAAAGGACUAAGGAUAUGUUUCUCGUAUAUGGAGGUGACAAAGAGCUAGUUGUAAAUGGUUACGUCGAUGCAAGCUUUGACACUGAUCCGGACGAUUCUAAAUCGCAAACCGGAUACGUGUUUUUAUUAAACAGUGGAGCUGUAAGUUGGUGCAGUUCUAAAAAAAGCGUCGUGGCGGGAUCUACAUGUGAAGCGGAGUACAUAGCUGCUUCGGAAGCAGCAAAUGAAGGAGUCUGGAUGAAAGAGUUCAUUUCUGAUCUAGGUGUCAUACCUAGUGCAUCGGGACCAAUGAAAAUCUUCUGUGACAAUACUGGUGCAAUUGCCUUGGCAAAUGAAUCCAGAUUUCACAAGAGGACCAAGCACAUCAAGAGACGCUUCAAUUCCAUUCGGGACCAAGUCUAAGUGGGAGACAUAGAGAUUUGCAAGAUACAUACGGAUCUGAAUGUUGCAGACCCGUUGACUAAGCCACUCUCACGAGCAAAACAUGAUCAGCACCAAGACUCCAUGGGUGUUAGAAUCAUUACUUUGUAAUCUAGAUUAUUGACUCUAGUGCAAGUAGGAGACUGAAGGAAAUAUGCCCUAGAGGCAAUAAUAAAGUUAUUAUUUAUUUCCUCAUAUCAUGAUAAAUGUUUAUUAUUCAUGCUAGAAUUGUAUUAACCGGAAACAUGAUACAUGUGUGAAUACAUAGACAAACAUAUAGUCACUAGUAUGCCUCUACUUGACUAGCUCAUUAAUCAAAGAUGGUUAUGUUUCCUAACCAUAGACAUGUGUUGUCAUUUGAUUAAUGGGAUCACAUCAUUAGGAGAAUGAUGUGAUUGACAUGACCCAUUCCGUUAGCCUAGGACUUGAUCGUUUAGUAUAUUGCUAUUGCUUUCUUCAUGACUUAUACAUGUUCCUGUAACUAUGAGAAUUAUGCAACUCCCGUUUACCGGAGGAACACUUUGGGUACUACCAAACGUCACAACGUAACUGGGUGAUUAUAAAGGAGUACUGCAGGUGUCUCCGAAGGUACAUGUUGAGUUGGCAUAUUUCGAGAUUAGGUUUUGUCACUCCGAUUGUCGGAGAGGUAUCUCUGGGCCCUCUCGGUAAUGCACAUCAUUAUAAGCCUUGCAAGCAAUGUGACCAAAUGAGUUGGUUACGGGAUGAUGCAUUACGGAACGAGUAAAGAGACUUGCCGGUAACGAGAUUGAACUAGGUAUUGGAUACCGACGAUCAAAUCUCAGGCAAGUAACAUAUCGAUGACAAAGGGAACAACGUGUGUUGUUAUGCGGUUUGACUAAUAUAGAUCUUCGUAGAAUAUGUAGGAACCAAUAUGGGCAUCCAGGUUGCGCUAUUGGUUAUUGACCGAGAAUAGUUCUAUGUCAUGUAUACAUAGUUCUCGAACCCGUAGGGUCCGCACGCUUAACGUUACGAUGACAGUUUUAUUAUGAGUUUAUAAGUUUUGAUGUACCGAAGCUUGUUCGGAGUCCCGGAUGUGAUCACGGACGUAAUGAGGAGUCUCGAAAUGGUCGAGACAUAAAGAUCGAUAUAUUGGAAGCCUAUAUUUGGACAUCAGAAUCGUUCCUGGUGAAAUUGGCAUUUUACCGGAGUACCGGGAGGUUACCGGAACCCCCCGGGGGGUUAUUGGGCCUACAUCGGCCUCAAGGGAGAAGAGGGAAGGAGGCAGGAGGGGGCCGCGUGCCCCUCCCCUUCCUAGUCCGAAUAGGACAAGGGAAGGGGGGCGCCCCCCCCCUUCCUUCCCCUCUUCUGUUGGAAAUAUGCCCUAGAGGCAAUAAUAAAAGCAUUAUUAUUAUAUUUCCUUGUUCAUGAUUAUUGUCUUUUAUUCAUGCUAUAAUUGUAUUAUCCGGAAAUCGUAAUACACGUGUGAAUACAUAGACCAUAAAAUGUCCCUAGUGAGCCUCUAGUUGACUAGCUCGUUGGUCAAUAGAUAGUCAUGGUUUCCAGACUAUGGACAUUAGAUGUCAUUGACAACGGGAUCACAUCAUUAGGAGAAUGAUGUGAUGGACAAGACCCAAUCCUAAGCAUAGCACAAGAUCGUGUAGUUCGUUUUUCUAGAGCUUUUUCAAUGUAAAGUAUCUCUUCCUUAGACCAUGAGAUCGUGUAACUCCCGGAUACCGUAGGAGUGCUUUGGGUGUACCAAACGUCACAACGUAACUGGGUGACUAUAAAGGUGCACUACAGGUAUCUCCGAAAGUGUCUGUUGGGUUGACACGGAUCGAGACUAGGAUUUGUCACUCCGUAUGACGGAGAGGUGUCUCUGGGCCCACUCGGUAAUGCAUCAUCAUAAUGAGCUCAAAGUGAUCAAGUGUUUGGUCACGGGAUCAUGUGUUACGGUACGAGUAAAGUGACUUGCAGGUAACGAGACUGAACGAGGUAUUGGGAUACCGACGAUCGAGUCUCGGGCUUGUAACGUACCGAUUGACAAAGGGAAUACUAUACGGGGUUGCUUGAAUCCUCGACAUCGUGGUUCAUCUGAUGACAUCAUCGAGGAGCAUGUGGGAGCCAACAUGGGUAUCCAGAUCCCGCUGUUGGUUAUUGAUCUGAGAGCCGUCUCGGUCAUGUCUGCGUGUCUCCCGAACCCGUAGGGUCUACACACUUAAGGUUCGGUGACGCUAGGGUUAUUAGGAAGACUUGUAUGUGAUUACCGAAUGUUGUUCGGAGUCCCGGAUGAGAUCCCGGACGUCACGACGAGUUCCGGAAUGGUCCGGAGGUAAAGAUUUAUAUAUGGGAAACUGUCAUACGGACAUCGGAAGGUUUCGGGGGCAUAUUGGUAUUGUACCGGGGCCACUAGAAGGGUUCCGGGGGUCCAGCGGGAGGGACCACCCCUCCCGGGGGGCCACAUGGGCUGCGUGGGGCAGGAGCCAGCCCCUGGAGGGCUGGGCGCCCCCCCCUUGGGCCCAUGCGCCUAGGGUUGGGGGGAACCCUAGAGGGGGCGCCCCCCUUGCUUGGGGGGCAAGCUCCCCCUCCCUGGCCGCCGCCCCCCCUCUAGAUCCCAUCUAGAGGGGCCGGCCCCCCUUGCCCCUUCCCCUAUAAAUAGAGGGGUGAGGGGAGGGCUGCAUACACAAGCCAAGGCGCAGCCCCUCCCCUCCCCAACACCUCUCCUCCUCCGUACGUGCUUGGCGAAGCCCUGUCGGAGCACUGCUACACCAACAACACCACGCCGUCGUGCUGCCGUUGGAGCUGUCUUCCUCAACCUCUCCUUCCCCCUUGCUGGAUCAAGAAGGAGGAGACGUCAUCCGCUCCGUACGUGUGUUGAACGCGGAGGUGCCGUCCGUUCGGUGCUAGGAUCUCCGGUGAUAGGAUCACAACGAGAACGACUACUUCAACCCCGUUCUUUUGAACGCUUCCGCUCGCGAUCUACAAAGUGGUAUGUAGAUGCAUCUCCCAUGACUCGUUGCUUAGAUGAACUCAUAGAUGGAUCUUGGUGAAACCGUAGGAAAAUUUUAAUUUUCUGCAACGUUCCCCAACAGUGGCAUCAUGAGCUAGGUCUAUGCGUAGUUCUCUAUUGCACGAGUAGAACACAAUUUAGUUGUGGGCGUAUAUUUUGUCAACUUGCUUGCCACUACUAGUCUUAUCUUGCUUCAGCGGUAUUGUGGGAUGAAGCGGCCCGGACCAACCUUACACGUACACUUACGUGAGACCGGUUCCACCGACUAACAUGCACUACUUGCAUAAGGUGGCUGGCGGGUGUCUGUCUCUCCCACUUUAGUUGAAGCGGAUUCGAUGAAAAGGGUCCUUAUGAAGGGUAAAUAGAAAUUGACAAGAUCACGUUGUGGUUAUUCGUAGGUAAGAAAACGUUCUUGCUAGAACCCAAUUGCAACCACAUAAAAGAUGCAACAACAAUUAGAGGACGUCUAACUUGUUUUUGCAGCAAUUGUCAUGUGAUGUGAUAUGGCUAGAAGUUGUGAUGAAUGAUGAAUGAUAUAUUGUGAUGUAUGAGAUCAUGUUCUUGUAAUAGGAAUCACGACUUGCAUGUUGAUGAGUAUGACAACCGGCAGGAGCCAUAGGAGUUGUCUUUAUUUUUGUAUGACCUGCGUGUCAUUGAAGAACGCCAUGUAAAUUACUUUACUUUGUUGCUAAACGCGUUAGCCAUAGAAGUAGAAGUAUUCGUUGGCGUGACAACUUCAUGAAGACACGAUGAUGGAGAUCAUGAUGAUGGAGAUCAUGGUGUCAUGCCGGUGACGAAGAUGACCAUGGAGCCCCGAAGAUGGAGAUCGAAGGAGCUAUAUGAUAUUGGCCAUAUCAUAUCACUAUUAUAUAAUUGCAUGUGAUGUUUAUUAUGUUUAUGCAUCUUGUUUACUUAGAACGACGGUAGUAAAUAAGAUGAUCCCUUACAAAAUUUCAAGAAGUGUUCUCCCCUAACUGUGCACCAUUGCUAAAGUUCGUCGUUUCGAAGCACCACGUGAUGAUCGGGUGUGAUAGAUCCUUACGUUCACAUACAACGGGUGUAAGACAGUUUUACACAUGCAAAACACUUAGGGUUAACUUGACGAGCCUAGCAUGUACAGAUAUGGCCUCGGAACACGAAGACCGAAAGGUCGAACACGAGUCGUAUGGAAGAUACGAUCAACAUGAGAAUGUUUCACCGACGAUGACUAGUCCGUCUCACGUGAUGAUCGGACACGGCCUAGUCGACUCGGAUCGUGUAACACUUAGAUGACUAGAGGGAUGUCUAAUCUGAGUGGGAGUUCAUUAUAUUAAUUUGAUUAGAUGAACUUAAUUAUCAUGAACUUAGUCUUAAACCUUUGCAAAAUAUGUCUUGUAGAUCAAAUGGCCAACGCUCAUGUCAACAUGAACUUCAACGCGUUCCUAGAGAAAACCAAGCUGAAAGAUGAUGGCAGCAACUAUACGGACUGGGUCCGGAACCUGAGGAUCAUCCUCAUAGCUGCCAGGAAACAAUAUGUCCUAGAAGGACCGCUAGGUGACGCUCCCGUCCCAGAGAACCAAGACAUUAUGAAUGCUUGGCAGUCUCGUGCUGAUGAUUACUCCCUCGUUCAGUGCGGCAUGCUUUACAGCUUAGAACCAGGGCUCCAAAAGCGUUUUGAGCAACACGGAGCAUAUGAGAUGUUCGAGGAGCUGAAACUAGUUUUCCAAGCUCAUGCCCGGGUCGAGAGAUAUGAAGUCUCCGACAAGUUCUAUAGUUGUAAGAUGGAGGAAAAUAGUUCUGUCAGUGAGCAUAUACUCAAAAUGUCUGGGUUGCACAACCGCCUGUCCCAGCUGGACAUUAACCUCCUGGAUGAGGCGGUCAUUGACAGAAUCCUUCAGUCGCUCCCACCAAGCUACAAGAGCUUCGUAAUGAACUACAAUAUGCAGGGGAUGGUGAAGACCAUUCCUGAAGUAUUUUCAAUGCUGAAGUCGGCAGAGGUUGAAAUCAAGAAAGAACAUCAAGUGUUGAUGGUCAAUAAGACCACUAAGUUCAAGAAGGGCAAGGGUAAGUAGAACUUCAAGAAGGACGGCAAAGAUGGUGCCGCGCCCGGUAAGCCAGUUGCCGGGAAGAAGUCAAAGCAUGGACCCAAGCCUAAAACUGAGUGCUUUUAUUGCAAGGGGAAGGGCCACUGGAAGCGGAACUGCCCCAAAUACUUAGCAGACAAGAAGGCCGGCAACACUAAAGGUAUAUUUGAUAUACAUGUAAUUGAUGUGUACCUUACCAGUACUCGUAGUAACUCCUGGGUAUUUGAUACCGGUGCCGUUGCUCACAUUUGUAACUCACAGCAGGAGCUGCAGAAUAAAAGGAGACUGGCAAAGGACGAGGUGACGAUGCGCGUCGGGAAUGGUUCCAAGAUUGAUGUGAUCGCCGUCGGCACGCUACCUCUACAUUUACCUACGGGGUUAGUUUUAAACCUCAAUAAUUGUUAUUUAGUGCCAAGUUUGAGCAUGAACAUUGUAUCUGGAUCUCGUUUGAUGCGAGAUGGCUACUCAUUUAAAUCCGAGAAUAAUGGUUGUUCUAUUUAUAUGAGAGAUAUGUUUUAUGGUCAUGCCCCGAUGGUCAAUGGUUUAUUCUUAAUGAAUCUCGAACGUAAUACUACACAUAUUCAUAGUGUGAAUACCAAAAGAUGUAAAGUUGAUAACGAUAGUCCCACAUAUUUGUGGCACUGCCGCCUUGGUCACAUUGGUGUCAAGCGCAUGAAGAAGCUCCAUGCUGAUGGACUUUUAGAGUCUCUCGAUUAUGAAUCAUUUGACACAUGCGAACCAUGCCUCAUGGGCAAGAUGACCAAGACUCCGUUCUCCGGAACAAUGGAGCGAGCAACCAACUUGUUGGGAAUCCUACAUACCGAUGUGUGUGGUCUAAUGAGUGUUGAGGCUCGCGGAGGAUAUCAUUAUGUUCUCACUCUCACAGAUGACUUGAGUAGAUAUGGGUAUGUCUACUUGAUGAAACACAAGUCUGAGACCUUUGAAAAGUUCAAGGAAUUUCAGAAUGAAGUAGAGAAUCAACGUGACCGAAAGAUAAAAUUCUUACGAUUGGAUCGUGGAGGAGAAUAUUUAAGUCACGAAUUUGGUACACACUUAAGAAAAUAUGGAAUCGUUUCACAACUCACGCCGCCUGGAACACCUCAGUGUAACGGUGUGUCCGAACAUCGUAAUCACACUCUAUUGGAUAUGGUGCGAUCUAUGAUGUCUCUUACCGAUUUACCGCUAUCAUUUUGGGGAUACGCUCUAGAGACAGCUACAUUCACUUUAAAUAGGGCACCGUCUAAAUCCGUUGAGACGACACCGUAUGAAUUAUGGUUUGGGAAGAAACCUAAGCUGUCGUUUCUAAAAGUUUGGGGAUGCGAUGCUUAUGUCAAGAAACUUCAACCUGAAAAGCUCAAACCCAAGUCGGAAAAUGUGUCUUCAUAGGAUACCCUAAAGAAACCAUUGGGUAUACCUUCUACUUAAGAUCCAAGGGCAAGAUCUUUGUUGCCAAGAACGGAUCCUUUCUAGAAAAAGAGUUUCUCUCGAAAGAAGUAAGUGGGAGGAAAGUAGAACUCGAUGAAGUACUACCUCUUGAACAAGAUAGUAGUGCAGCUCAGGAAAAUGUUCCUGUGAUGCCUACUCCAACUGGAGAGGAAAUUAAUGAUGAUGAUCAAGGUACUUCUGAUCAAGUUGCUACUGAACUUCGUAGGUCCACAAGGACACGUUCCGCACCAGAGUGGUACAGCAACCCUGUCCUGGAAAUCAUGUUGUUAGACAACGGUGAACCUUCGAACUAUGAAGAAGCGAUGGCGGGCCCAGAUUCCAACAAAUGGCUUGAAGCCAUGAAAUCCGAGAUAGAAUCCAUGUAUGAAAACAAAGUAUGGACUUUGACUGACUUGCCCGAUGAUCGGCGAGCGAUAGAAAACAAAUGGAUCUUUAAGAAGAAGACGGACGCGGAUGGUAAUGUCACCAUCUAUAAAGCUCGACUUGUCGCUAAGGGUUAUCGGCAAGUUCAAGGGAUUGACUACGAUGAGACUUUCUCUCCCGUAGCAAAGCUUAAGUCCGUCCGAAUCAUGUUAGCAAUUGCCGCAUACUAUGAUUAUGAGAUAUGGCAGAUGGACGUCAAAACGGCAUUCCUUAAUGGGCAUCUUAAGGAAGAACUGUAUAUGAUGCAGCCGGAGGGUUUUGUCGAUCCUAAGAAUGCUAACAAAGUAUGCAAGCUCCAGCGAUCCAUUUAUGGGCUGGUGCAAGCAUCUCGGAGUUGGAACAUUCGCUUUGAUGAGAUGAUCAAAGCGUUUGGGUUUAUGCAGACUUACGGAGAAGCCUGCGUUUACAAGAAAGUGAGUGGGAGCUCUGUAGCAUUUCUCAUAUUAUAUGUAGAUGACAUACUCUUGAUGGGAAAUGAUAUAGAAUUCCUGUACAGCAUUAAGGCCUACUUGAAUAAGUGUUUUUCAAUGAAGGACCUUGGAGAAGCUGCUUAUAUAUUAGGCAUCAAGAUCUAUAGAGAUAGAUCGAGACGCCUCAUAGGUCUUUCACAAAGCACAUACCUUGAUAAGAUUUUGAAGAAGUUCAAAAUGGACGAGUCUAAGAAGGGGUUCUUUCCUGUAUUGCAAGGUGUGAGAUUGAGCUCGGCUCAAUGCCCGACCACGGCAAAAGAUAGAGAAGAGAUGAGCGUCAUCCCCUAUGCCUCAGCCAUAGGAUCUAUUAUGUAUGCCAUGCUGUGUACUAGACCUGAUGUAAACCUUGCCGUAAGUUUGGUAGGAAGGUACCAAAGUAAUCCCGGCAAGGAACACUGGACAACGGUCAAGAAUAUCCUGAAGUACCUGAAAAGGACAAAGGGCAUGUUUCUCAUUUAUGGAGGUGACGAAGAUCUCGCCGUAAAGGGUUACGUCGACGCAAGCUUCGACACAGAUCUGGAUGACUCUAAGUCACAAACCGGAUACGUGUAUAUGUUGAAUGGUGGAGCAGUAAGCUAGUGCAGCUGCAAGCAGAGCGUCGUGGCGGGAUCUACAUGUGAAGCGGAGUACAUGGCAGCCUCGGAGGCAGCGCAUGAAGCUAUUUGGGUGAAGGAGUUCAUCACCGACCUAGGAGUCAUACCCAAUGCGUCGGGGCCGAUCAAACUCUUCUGUGACAACACUGGAGCUAUUGCCCUUGCUAAGGAGCCCAGGUUUCCCAAGAAGACCAGGCACAUCAAGCGUCGUUUCAACUCCAUCCAUGAAAAUGUUCAAGAUGGAGACAAAGAUAUUUGCAAAGUACAUACGGAUCUGAAUGUCUCAGAUCCGUUGACUAAACCUCUCUCGCGAGCAAAACAUGAUCAACACCAGAAUUCUAUGGGUGUUCGAUUCAUCACAAUGUAACUAGAUUAUUGACUCUAGUGCAAGUGGGAGACUGUUGGAAAUAUGCCCUAGAGGCAAUAAUAAAAGCAUUAUUAUUAUAUUUCCUUGUUCAUGAUAAUUGUCUUUUAUUCAUGCUAUAACUGUAUUAUCCGGAAAUCGUAAUACACGUGUGAAUACAUAGACCAUAACAUGUCCCUAGUGAGCCUCUAGUUGACUAGCUCGUUGGUCAACAGAUAGUCAAGGUUUCCUGACUAUGGACAUUAGAUGUCAUUGACAACGGGAUCACAUCAUUAGGAGAAUGAUGUGAUGGACAAGACCCAAUCCUAAGCAUAGCACAAGAUCGUGUAGUUCGUUUUGCUAGAGCUUUUUCAAUGUCAAGUAUCUCUUCCUUAGACCAUGAGAUCGUGUAACUCCCGGAUACCGUAGGAGUGCUUUGGGUGUACCAAACGUCACAACGUAACUGGGUGACUAUAAAGGUGCACUACAGGUAUCUCCGAAAGUGUCUGUUGGGUUGACACGGAUCGAGACUUUAUUUGUCACUCCGUAUGACGGAGAGGUAUCUCUGGGCCCACUCGGUAAUGCAUCAUCAUAAUGAGCUCAAAGUGAUCAAGUGUUUGGUCACGGGAUCAUGCGUUACGGUACGAGUAAAGUGACUUGCCGGUAACGAGACUGAACGAGGUAUUGGGAUACCGACAAUCGAGUCUCGGGCUUGUAACGUACCGAUUGACAAAGGGAAUACUAUACGGGGUUGCUUGAAUCCUCGACAUUGUGGUUCAUCCGAUGACAUCAUCAAGGAGCAUGUGGGAGCCAACAUGGGUAUCCAGAUCCCGCUGUUGGUUAUUGAUCUGAGAGCCGUCUCGGUCAUGUCUGCGUGUCUCCCGAACCCGUAGGGUCUACACACUUAAGGUUCGGUGACGCUAGGGUUAUUACGAAGACUUGUAUGUGAUUACCGAAUGUUGCUCAGAGUCCCGGAUGAGAUCCCGGACGUCACGGGGAGUUCCGGAAUGGUCCGGAGGUAAAGAUUUAUAUAUGGGAAGCUGUCAUACGGACACCGGAAGGUUUCGGGGGCAUAUCGAUAUUGUACCGGGGCCACCGGAAGGGUUCCGGGGGUCCACCGGGAGGGGCCACCCCUCCCGGGGGGCCACAUGGGCUGCGUGGGGCAGGAGCCAGACCCUGGAUGGCUGGGCGCCCCCCCCCCCCCUUGGGACCAUGCGCCUAGGGUUGGGGGGGAACCCUAGAGGGGGCGCUUCCCUUGCUUGGGGGGCAAGUUCCCCCUCCCUGGCCGCCGCCCCCCCUCUAGAUCCCAUCUAGAGGGGCCGGCCCCCCUUGCCCCUUCCCCUAUAAAUAGAGGGGUGAGGGGAGGGCUGCAUACACAAGCCAAGGCGCAGCCCCUCCCCUCCCCAACACCUCUCCUCCUCCGUACGUGCUUGGCGAAGCCCUGUCGGAGUACUGCUACACCAACAACACCACGCCGUCGUGCUGCCGUUGGAGCUGUCUUCCUCAACCUCUCCUUCCCCCUUGCUGGAUCAAGAAGGAGGAGACGUCAUCCGCUCCGUACGUGUGUUGAACGUGGAGGUGCCGUCCGUUCGGCGCUAGGAUCUCCGGUGAUAGGAUCACGACGAGAACGACUACUUCAACCCCAUUCUUUUGAACGCUUCCGCUCGCGAUCUACAAAGUGGUAUGUAGAUGCAUCUCCCAUGACUCGUUGCUUAGAUGAACUCAUAGAUGGAUCUUGGUGAAACCGUAGGAAAAAUUUAAUUUUCUGCAACGUUCCCCAACAUCUUCCUCCUCUUUCCACCCUUCUCCUAUUCCAACUAGGAAAGAAGGGAGUCCUACUCCCGGUGGGAGUAGGACUCCCCCCUUGGCGCACCCUCCUUGGCCGGCCGCCUCCUCCCCCCUGGCUCCUUUAUAUACGGGGGCGGGGGGCACCCCAUAGACACACAAGUUGAUCUACGGAUCGUUCCUUAGCCGUGUGCGUGCCCCCUCCACCAUAUUCCACCUCGGUCAUAUCGUCACGGAGUUUAGGCGAAGCCCUGCGCCGGUAGAGCAUCAUCAUCGUCACCACGCCGUCGUGCUGACGGAGCUCAUCCCCGAAGCUUUGCUGGAUCGGAGCCCGGGGAUCGUCAUCGAGCUGAACGUGUGCUGAACUCGGAGGUGCCAUACGUUCGGUACUUGGAUCGGUCGGAUCGUGAAGACGUACGACUACAUCAACUGCGUUGUCAUAACGCUUCCGCUUACGGUCUACGAGGGUACGUGGACAACACUCUCUCCUCUCCUUGCUAUGCCAUCACCAUGAUCUUGCGUGUACGUAGGAAUUUUUUUGAAAUUACUACGUUCCGCAACACAUCACUCAUUGUCCCAAACUGCAGAGGCUGCCUGACAGUUUUAUGAACAUGCUGAUGGGUGAAGGUCCGCCAAAUAAUGUGAAGAUGCGACAGGCUGGCAGCGGGUUUCACAGGCAGUGGGAUGUGGAGUUGGUGAUCAAGGAGGGCCACAUGUACUUGUCUCGUGGGUGGGAGAAGUUCUACCGUGCCUACGACCUGCGGCUGGGGUACUUCCUUCUCUUUAGGUAUGACGACGACGCCACCAUGCUCAUCGUGAAGGUGUUCAACACGACUAUGUGUCACAUGCGCUACGCUGACGAUGAUGAUGCCGGUACGUUCUGCCUCUUCUUAUUCCUCUACAUUUGGCUUUGUCUCACAUCGAUUGUUAACGGUCAUUGUUGCAUUUUGGACAGGUAAUGGGAGCAGCAGCAGCGACACUGGCUACAGCCAAAGCAGCAGCGACUAUGGCUGUAGCGAAAGCAGCAACGAUUCUGGCUGUAGAGAAAGCAGCAGUGAUUUUGGCAGCAGCAUAGACAACAAGAAGGAUGAUCCGGACUGGAGUGCGGGAGAAGAGGAGCAGAGUGGGGAUGAGGAGCUGCAGGAUGACGAUGGGCAUCAGGCUGAGGAUGACCUAGCGCUGAUGGUGGCUGACCAAGGGCAAGAGAUGGUGGUGGCUGACCAUGGGCAAGAGAUGGAGGUGGCUGAGGAUGACCUAGCGAUGGUCGUGCCUGAAGGUGGCCUCGCGAUGGUGGUGGUGCCUGACAAUGACCACGCACCGGUGGUGGCGCUGGCGAUCCCAGGCGACAUGACCACACCAAUUGUGGUAGAAGACUACAUCCCACUGCCUCCACCGCCUCGCCGCUCUUGGCGCAUCAGGCUGAGGAAGGAGAAGCAGAAGAACAAUGCAUGAGAACUGAACUUUGUCAGGUAUGUCAGAUCUCCAAAAUGAUAUAUAUAUACUUAGUUACCUAUGUUAUCUUUAAUAUGCUUAGUUUCCUAUAGGUUAGCUUCAUUUUACCUAAGUUGGCUCUAAUAUGCAAACUUAGAGCUUAUAUGCUUAGUUUCCUAUAGGUUAGCUCCAAAAUAACUUAUGUUAGCACAAAAUGAUCAAGUUUACAUAAUAAGCUUAUAGUCUUUUUCUUAUUCUUCUUCUUACCCAAAAUGACAUAGGUUAGCUUCAUUUUACCUAAGUUGGCUCUAAUAUACAAACUUAGAGCUUAUAUGCUUAGUUUACUAUAGGUUAGCUCCAAAAUAACUUAUGUUAGCACAAAAUGAUCAAGUUUACAUAAUAAGCUUAUAGUCUUUUUCUUAUUCUUCUUCUUUUUUAAAAUGUCAUAGGUUAGCUUCAUUUUACCUAAGUUGGCUCUAAUAUACAAACUUAGAGCUUAUAUGCUUAGUUUCCUAUAGGUUAGCUCCAAAAUAACUUAUGUUAGCACAAAAUGAUCAAGUUUACAUAAUAAGUUUAUAGUCUUCUUCUUAUUCUUCUUUUUUUCCAAAAUUCUUCUUAUUCUUCUUCUAGUGUUCUUCUUCUUAUAGUAUUCUUCUAGUCUUCUUCUUUUUCUUCUUCUAACUUCUUGUUUAUAAUUUUGCAGAUUUGAUUUAAUUCACGGAAUCUUGCAUGGAUGGAGUGCUUCUUUUCCAUUUGUGUUUUUAUUUUGUAUCAAUGUGAAACUUUUGUGAAUUGAUGGAUAACGGUGUUGGAUGAACAAUGUGAAACUUUUGUAAUAUGUAACGAUGGAACUAUGUGUUGGCUAUGGAUGUAUAUAUGAUGCAACUUGUGUGUUGGCUAUGUAUGUAUAUAUGAUGGAACUUAUGUGUUGGCUAUGAUUGUUAUAUGGAUGCUUGUUGUAUAUAUAUGUGUUGGAUAUCUCAUAGGUGAAAUAGUGAUCUGAGAUUAAGAAAAAUAAAAUAAAAAAAUUGUUACUAAUGGCGCACUAUCAUGUGGUGCGCUAUUAGUAUAGAAUACACUAGUGGCGCACUGUGGGCAAAAUUAAUGGUGCACUGCAUGGUGCGCCAUUAGUAUACCAGAUACUAAUGGCGCACCAGUGGUGCGCCAUUAGUAAAAAAUACUAGUGGCGUGAUACUAAUGGCGCACUGGUAAUGCCCAUUAGUAGGCAAAACCAGUGCGCCAUUAAUAGGCCUUUUCCUAGUAGUGAGGAUAGCAGCGUACCAAUAGAGAGCUUCAGAAUUGAUGUUCGAGACAACUUCAGCGCAGUCUGAAGCGAUGAAAAUGGAAUGAACGUGGAGGUCAGUUGCGAGAGCCACCAUUUCGUUACACGCUUAGGCUUUGAGGGUGGACGAGGCCACUGAAAACCACCGUCGACGCACCAAGAAACUUUGCAUUUUUGCAAAGAAAAAUCAACUAUUAUAUGUUUAUUCUAGCAUAUUAUAACAAAGCACAAUUCAUGUGUAUAUUAUGUGCAAAUUUGGUCAUUAUUUUGUUUUACUUUUUAUUUUAUUUCGUGGGUAAUACCAAUGCCACUAAUUCAGUCUUACUUAAAUAACUCAAUUAUUAUUUUAAAGUUGUAUUUUUUUAAAUUUUGUUUCUUGUGAAAGGGCAGUUCCAAUGCCACCAAUUUAUUCUUUCUUAGAAAACUUCAUUAUUUUUAUUUUAUUUUAUUUUUAUUUAUUUCUUCUGAAAAGGUAAAGUGAAUUCCACUAAUUCAUUUUUAAUUAGAAAAGUUCAUUAUUUUGAUUUUAUUUUAGUUUUUUUUUCUUUAAGGAUAAUAUUAAUGCCACGCAUGGCACCCGAAAGGAAUGGAAUAAGUUGCCUUUGCAAGGGAAUGAGCUUCCCUAUUAUAUUCCCGCUUCUCAUGCAUGAACUUGAGAGCUUGAAACGAUCCACACACGACAAUGGUUAAUUUCCCGAAGGAUAGCAGCGUACUGGUAGAGAGCUUCAGAAUUGAUGUUUGAGACAACUUCAGCGCAGGCUGAAGGAAUGAAAAUGGAAUGAACGUGGAGGUCAGUUGCGAGAGCCACCAUUUCGUUACACGCUUAGGCUUUUAGGGUCGACGAGGCUACCAAAAACCGCCGCCGAUGCACAAAGAAGCUUUGCUUUUUUGAAAAAAAAAUCAAUUAUUUUAUGUUUAUUCUAGCAUAUUAUAACAAAGCGCAAUUCAUGUGUUUUAUGCACUGAAAAAAAAUAGCGCGCUAUAGCGUAUUGAGAAUUGUCUCGCUAAAUAUAUUAGUGUAUACUGUCUCGCUAAUAGCACGCUAUAACACUAUAUAGCAUGCUAAUAGCAUAUUUUAAAGUCAGCGCUAUUUUGCUGUAGCACGCUAUUUUUUUCAUUGGUUUUAUGUGCAAAAUUUGUCAUUAUUUUGUUUUACUUUUUAUUUCAUUUUGUGGGUAAUACCAAUGCCACUAAUUUAGUCUUACUUAAAUAACUUGAUUAUUUUUAAAAAAUAUUUUAAAUUUUGUUUCUUAUGAAAGGGUAGUUCCAAUGCGAGCGAUUUAUUCUUUCUUAGAAAACUUAAUUAUUUUAAUUUUAUUUUAGUUUUUUUAUUUAUUCCUUCUGAAACGGUCAUGUGAAUUCCUCUAAUUCAUUCUUUCUUAGAAAAGUCAUUAUUUCGAUUUGUUUUAGUUUUUUAUCUUUCUUCUUUAAGGAUAAUACCAAUGCUACUAAUUCAUUCUUGCUUAGAAUACUUAUUUUUGCAAAAAGUUCACUAUUAUAUGCUUAUUCUUACAUAUUAUAAACAUAUUGAUUGGCCAAAAUUGUUUUUUCAGUUUGCAUCGGUUUUGGUUAAUUGCUCCAGCUCUUUUUUGGGAUGUUAAUUGCUCGAACUAGGAUGGGAAAGCAGCAAGUUUCUGGUGGGGCGGUUGUUACAGGUUUCCUUCUUCCUUUCACCCUUCCGGAAAUGGGCCUCGAUAGUGUUGCACAUGGCCAUCAGUAGUGUUCUCACAAAAUUUCUCAUUUUCAGCCUAUGUACGUUUUCUUUUCUUUUUUAGACUGGUUAUAGUAAAUCAACCCCUGACACUAGAGAGAGAUAUCAAAGGAAAAACAUACAGGAGGGCUCCCCAACGGUCCUCUCGUUCCCAAGCUCCCCCGGCCUCCAACAUCCCAAUCGGCGGCCGACGCGCCGGCCCCCACCAGCCUCACCCGUGGGUUGACCGCUCCGGUCUCCGACGGCCAGAUAACGCCCCCAUUCGGUCUGCUUCUUUUCGUGAUGUCGUCGUUUCCGGCUCGUCUUCACACGCGCCCCUGCCGGGCCGGUCCCGCGCUACUUCUGUUGAUCUGGAACCGGACAGCGACGACUAGAUUCAAGUGAGGAAUCGUCGUCACCCGCUCCGUUAUGUGGCUGCGUCCCCGGCCGUGAGCCGGCCAGCUGGCCCCAAGCCUCAGAUUCCUCGGUGGUUGUUUGGAAGGUGUUUUAAGUGCUUGGAGACGGGCCACCAUAAAUCUGAAUGCUCCGGUGUGAUUAGAUGCCACCGCUGUUGGCUAACGGGUCACAUAGCUAGAAGCUGCCGCUCCUCUCCAGAUUCGUCACACCCUCCCCCUCCGCCUCCCAGAUCUGAGCCUGGCCUCUCUGCUCGCACCUCCGCUGGCCGGUCUUCGCAAGAGGGCUCCCUCCGUCGCCCGCCGCCGCCUUGUGACUUGGCCAACUACCCUCUCCUAGCUCAGUCCCGCUUCCCUGGCGGAAUAUACAUCCAUGGGGAUCCAGUUCUGCGGCCUGAGCGGAGUGGAGGUAUCAUCUCCCGCACCUCCAGGAUGGAUGAGCUCGAGGCGGAUUUCAGUAAUCGCGCCUUGCUAGCCACUGUGCAGGGCACAAGACCGGCCAUGUCUGCGGAAGCCAUGGUCCAAUCCCUGGCUUGGCUCUAUGGGGUCGAGAGGCGACAAGUCCGGGUGGAGGUGACACACCCGGCAGAUUUCUUCAUCACAUUCGCCUCCAUUGCGGAUUGUGAGAGGGUGCUCGCCAGCUCCGGGAAGUUUCGCUGUGCUGGAGCUUCCGUCGCUUUUCGGCGCUGGCAUAGAAGUUCCCAGGCGAGCAGCGGGAAACUUUGCUUCUUCUGCAAGAUUGGAUUUGAGGGCAUGCCAGCGAACGCCUGGGAGUGGGGUGCUGUCAGUCAGCUCAUCAACAAUUUGGGUGGCCAGCUGGUGGAAAUCCUCCCCCCUAACGAUCGUUGGGAUAUGGACGUCACCGCCUGGAUGCGCAAUCCAUCAGGCAUCCCCAAGAUGUACGAUUUCGAGGUUCCAGAGCCGGCGGGGCUGCCGAACUCCUUCGACAAGGACUUUCCGCUUUCCUCGCCACCACCAGCGUCGCCGAUAGAGAGGCUCACUCUUGUCCACCCGCUCACUAUCCAUGUCCUGGACGUGGUGGAUCGCUCAAUGUCGUUCAUGGAGUUCCGCCCAAACUAUGAACCAGAAGAGGAUGAAGAUCACACCAGGCGACACGACUUCUCGCGCUUCUGCUUCAGGGGGCGAGUUGAUGGCACUGGGAUGGGCUCGACUCCCUGUUCGGGCGGGCAUCCUUUCGGUGGCCCUGGUGGUCUUGGGAUUGCUGGAGAUUGGGGCGGACGCAGGGUCAAGGGGCUGCUGGCGCCCGCUGGUGGUUUUUCUGCCCCGUUUGUGCAGUCCAGACCAACGGAUGCCCAUGCCAUGCAUGGCGCGCCAGCUCGGCGGGUCGCUCUGGGCACGACGGCCUCAUGCUCUGCUUUGCUUGGUGGCUCCCCCUCUCCUGGCUCGCUGGCAACUACGGUCGUGGGUUCUGCGAACGGUGUGCUCACGCCGGCUUUGCAGGGGCCUCUCGGCGACGCAUCUUUGGCUAUGGUCUUGGCGGCUCACGCGCCCACGGUGGAUGUGACGCAUCAACACGGUGGUGGUUCUUCUUCAGUGGGCGGUGCACAUGGACACUCUAGUUGUGCCUCUACGGCAGUGGGCUCGGCGGCCUGUGUUGCCACGCCAGGCUUGCCAUGGUCGGUGGCCUCUACGGCUGUGGGCUCGGCAGCUUGUGUCGUGACGCCUCCAUCAGGACGAGUCACGCUCCGCCAAAUGACGUCGCCGCGCCGGCUUUCCUUCGCAUCGGAGGCGUGUACACAGUGCGUGGGGGUAGACGGCAAUCUAGUGUGCGCGCCCUCUCAUGGCACGCCUCCACGCCUGCACCUGGCAUGCCCAGCACUGUGCGGAACACCGAAAGUAGUGCCUUCCUCAGCUGCUGGUGCUAUGGAGACGCUGAAAGCUGUGCCGGAUGAUGAGAACCUACAUCUCAAGGCUCUGAAGUUGCCGAGCCAGUGUGGGCAGUCAAGGUCCUCUAGCUCGAGCCCGGUGCGCACGCCUUUUGCAACCCCAUUGAGCCCGAGCAAGCUGCUUCCACCCCUGGCACCCAAGGCAAAUCUGGACACGGUGCUUGGUCCAAAGACGGCUGCUGACACGCUGCUUGAGGGGAUCGGUGCCACCCCCAUGCCAUCUAUCAUGGGGCCGAGGCCAGCUGCAUCGGCUCCGGUGAGACGCAAGAAGACUCUACCAUCGGAUUUUACCCCUCGCCGGAGUGCACGUCUAAAUAAAAAUUGUGAUGGCGCGAACAAGGGGCCAUACCACCGCGCUCAAACUGUGCUGCUUCGUCGCAUGGGUCUAAUGGAGGCUGAAGAACAGGUGACGCAGAAAGCAAUGGACGAAUACUUGAAGCUCUUCGACAAGCCGCUGGCUCCGCACCACAUCAAGGCGAUUACUGCUCUCUUCGCCCCAGAUGAAGUGGACUUUGAUGAACCUUCUCAUGAGGGCUUCAGUGCUUUCUUCCUCCCUGCGGCUGUGGAGCCUUGUGGUGUGUAGUGUCCUGUACUGCUCUUGUUGUUCUUCAGAGGUAGUAUCAUGGCGAUGUCAGAGUGUUUGUUAGUUUGGAAUGUUAGGGGGCUCAAUAACCCAGCUAGGCGCAGUUCCAUCCGUUUGUUCCUACAAUCCUAUAACAUUUCACUUGCUUGUGUUCUAGAAUCUAAGUUGGCUGUGGUGGAUGCGGUGCUUGUGGGGCAAACUUUUGGCCCGGCUUUCGAUUGCUUUGACUUUCUACCAGCAACGGGUACCAGAGGGGGCAUUCUGAUCGCUUGGAGGUCGGAUAGAUUGAGUGUGUCUACGGUGUGUAAGAAGGAAUUCUCUAUCACCAUCAAAGUCACUUCUUUGGUGGAUGGAAGGGAGUGGAUGGCUACUUCUGUUUAUGGGCCACAGGAAAAUGAGGACAAAGUCAGAUUCCUGGUGGAGAUUGUGGAAAUUGGGGGGCAUGUUCAACUGCCAUGGAUCCUGAAUGGUGACUUCAAUCUGGUGUGUAAUGAAGAUGAGCGAAGUACGAGAAGAAUCAACAGAAGACAUACGAUCAACACCUUGGGCCUGCAUGACAUGCCGCUGGUGGGGAGGAAAUUCACCUGGUGUAAUGAUCAGGAGCACUCAGUAAUGGCAAGAUUGGAUAGGGUGUUGUUCAAUAGUGACCGGGAAGACACUUACCCCAUCAGUGACUUGAUACCGCUCAGUUCCAACAUAUCGGAUCAUUGCCCCCUUCUCCUGACCUGCUCUGGGGAUAUGCCAAGAUAGCGUCGCUUUCGUUUCGAGAAUUUUUGGGUUAAGUUGCCGGGUUUUAUGGAAACGGUGAAGGCGGCCUGGGAGGAACAAGUCUCUAGUAAUGACCCCAUGAAGAUUUUCAGUGUGAAACUGCAGCGCACCGCGAAGGCUCUCAGAAGUUGGGGUCAAAGGAAACAGAGCCAUAUGACCACCCUUUUUCAGAUUGCAAAUGAGCUGAUUUUGCGUUUAGAUGGCGCACGGGAAAAUAGAUCUUUGUCAGAAGAGGAACGCAAGCUAAAGGCUUUUUUGAAGGGAAAGUGCCUGGCACUCGCUUCCCUGGAGAGGGUGCGUCUCCGACAGCAUGCCAGAGUGAGAGACCUUCAGGAGGGGGAUGCUAAUUCCAAGUACUUCCACUUGAAAGCUAAUGGACGGCGUCGAAAGCGUCAAAUUCCUUUCUUCAAGGAUGGCGAUCGCAUGGUCUCAGCCAUGGAGGAUAAAAUGAAUCUAGCAUGGAGUUUUUACUGUGGUCUUAUGGGCACGCCGGCGCCUACUACAUCUUCCUUGAGGCUAGAUGAUUUGAAUCUGCAUAGUUUAUCCCCGGAGCUGGCUUCUGGUCUAGAAGUGGAGUUCACUGACACCGAGGUCAUGCAGGUGAUUAUGGAGAUGCCUUCUGACCGGGCUCCUGGGCCUGACGGUUUCUCCGGCCUAUUCUAUAAGGCUUGCUGGGAGGUUAUUAGGGAAGAUUUGAUGGCUAUCAUGCAUGAUCUGCACAGGGGCAAAUUCUUCUCCUUUGGCCGGUUAAACUCAUCAAUUAUUUCAUUGCUGCCUAAGAUAGACAGAUCCUUGGAAGUGGCAGAUUUCCGACCGAUAAACCUAAUUCAUGGUGCUGCUAAAUUUUUUGCCAAGGUCCUGGCUGUUCGCCUUGCUCCGUUGCUACCUGGGCUGAUCUCGCAAGUUCAGAGUGCUUUUGUCAGCAGGAGAAGUAUCCACGAGAACUUCAAAUUUAUGCACAAUACCGCACGGCUGCUGCAUCAUAGGAAAGUCCCGGCUGUGCUUAUGAAGAUUGACAUCUCCAAAGCCUUUGAUACUUUGUCCUGGGAAUUCAUUCUCAAAUUGUUGAUUCGGAGAGGUUUUGGACGAAGAUGGUGCUCUUGGAUCUGUGGCCUCAUGUGCACUGCCUCAUCCUCGGUGAUGGUCAAUGGUGAGACUAGUGAUCCCUUUGCGUUGGCUAGUGGUGUAAGACAAGGCGAUCCACUGUCACCGGUGCUCUUCAUCCUGGCUAUGGACACGCUUCAGGCUAUGAUUCAUUGGGCUACCAGGCACAAUCUACUCCCGGACAUGGGGCUUGGGAGCAAUGUGCCAAGGGCUUCUUUCUUCGCGGAUGACGCGAUCCUUUUCUUCAGACCUACGCCAAGCGAUAUGCAGGUCAUUUCUGCUGCUCUGAAGCUGUUUGGUGAAGCCACUGGACUUCGUAUCAAACUACAAAAGAGCACCAUUACUUGCAUCAGGAAAAGUGACACCAUAUCAGCGGGGGUGGCACAUCAUUUUUCCUGCCAGCUGAAGCAAUUUCCCAUUCAAUAUUUGGGGCUCCCUCUAUCAAUUUUCAGAUUACAACGCCAACAUAUACUGCCCCUCAUCGACAAAUACUCCAGCAGGAUGAAAGGAUGGAAGCCAAGGAUGCUUGCGCCUGCGGGACGGUUGGCACUUACGCAAUCUGUGUUGAUGGCAUUGCCCUUGCAUUUUCUUUCAGUGCUGCCACUGCCGGCAUGGGCUUUGGAAAUCAUCAACAUGAGGUGUAGGGGCUUCAUUUGGAAAGGGGAAAAUGAGAUCAAUGGAGGUCAUUGUCUUCUGCCUUGGGCGAGAGUGUGUAUGCCGAAGGAGUGUGGUGGCCUGGGCAUCUUGAACUUGAAGUGGUUCGGCUCGGCUUUGCAUUACCGAUGACCCUGGCUGCUCUGGGACCCUGAGGAGAGACCAUGGCAGAUGUUGCAGGACGAUCAGGAGGGUGAUGUCACGGCUAUCUUCAGUGCGGCCACGUCCGUCUGCUUGGGGGAUGGAGAGCGGGCCAUGUUCUGGACGGACAAUCGGUUACCGGAGGGCGGCUCCAUUGUGACCAUGGCCCCGACCCUCUUUUCUUUUGUCAAGAAGCCGGGCCGCACUGUACGGGAUGCCCUUCAGAAUCGUAGCUGGGUCCGAGACAUCUCAGGAGGAGUUUCAGUCGUAGCCAUUGCACAAUAUCUCACUAUUUGGGAUAUUACUCAGAAUAUCUCGUUGACGCCUGGUGUGCCGGAUCGUCUACAAUGGAAGCUGACUGAGGAUCAUCUCUUCUCUGUUAAGAGUGCUUACAACAUGUUCUUUGUUGCCUCGGUGCGCUUCGCAUGCUACAAACUAAUUUGGAAAUCCAAAGCUCCUCCAAGAUGCAAGUUUUUCAUGUGGCUAGUGGUUCAUCGCCGGUGCCUGACUGUGGACAACUUGGAGCGGAGGGGCUGGCCCUCAAACGGCAACUGCCCUCUGUGCCUUGUGACGCUGGAGGACUGCACUCACCUGUUCGUGCACUGCAGGUUCACACAACAGGUUUGGCUACUGUUCAGAGAUUGGACACGGGCGAAUUUUCAGGUGCCGGAUGAUCAUUUCAUCAAUACGGAAGACUGGUGGCUGCAAGCACGUAAGUUAGUUCCCAAGCCUAUGCGUCGGAACUUUGACACAAUCUCCAUCUUGAUUCACUGGAGGAUUUGGAAGGAAAGAAAUUCUAGAAUUUUUGAGCAGGAAGCGACUAGUCCCUUCAGUGUUUUGGAUCGGAUCAUAGAAGAUAUUGGGAUAUGGAGGGCGGCCGGUUGUGUCACUGACACCGGCAACCUUUCUUGAGUUGCUGGUUUGCCCCCUUUUAGUUGUUUUGACGGCUGUUGCCGUCCUUUUGUAUUUUCGGAACGUUUCAGUUCUGUGGGUUCCUAGUUCUAGUUCGCCUAGACUGCUAACCUUUGUUGUACUGCUUCUCCUUCUUCCUAAUAAUAUUCGGCCUAUGGCCCUUCGACAAAGGAAAAACCUCUCUAUUCAUUGCAAUAUAUCAAAUCUCCCAUCGUCUUGGCACUUUGUUCUUUUGAAAUAUGAGCGAUCAUUUGAUUCCGUUGGUUAGGAUUAACUUGAAAAUUCGCUAUGUAUGCGGUCAAAAUGGUUCAUUCCCUUCUCUAAAUAAGGUUUACUUGCGGAAGAGUUAGGAAAAGCUUUGGUGUUGCAAAAUUUAAAUGAUCAUAGUCAUUACUUUAGGGAUCUAAACGGUUUUAUAUUUCUUUACAGAGGGAGUAGUAUAUAUAACACCAAUGACUAUAUGUUUCCUGUAAAUGUCCAUAUAAUUAAAAGUUAUAGUUUAACUAUCCUACUUUCUUCUUUACAUGCACUUUCUUUAGGGGAAUUCUUUACAUGCACUUGUGCAUCUUUGGUGUACCGCCUUAAGCACCAAACAACAACCACAAGAAGCCAUGAGCACCGUGGAGCGAUGGUAGGCCAGAACAAUCAACGCUAGUCCAGAGAACAGAAAUACGUGUGCGUGCGCUGUUAGCGUAAUCUUGAUUAUAGCUUAAUUAAUUAGUUAGUGCUAGUUAGGUGCAAGUUUGCUGGCUGCCAUGUAGACGCGUAGUAGUAGUGCUGCUUGGCUUGCAUGUUGUGGCUACGUGAAUCUUGUACUAGCUAGUAGAGUCCGGCUAGGAUUAGUACGUGAAUCAUGUAGCAGUAGUUUAAGUCAGAUUCAAAGUCCAAGUAGGUAUCCGAGUAGGAUUAGGAAAAGUUGGACGUGAGGGCUUGGCUGAACGUGUAUAUGUAUACACGGGCAGACCAUGAUUAUAGUAACACCGUGGCGAGAAAACAGGAAAUAAAGAGAAUCAAAGGGCACGAUAACAGUCCUUGGCUAUCAGUUUUCGUGUGCGUGUGUUCGUCCUGAUUUGAUGUGAUCGAUCCGUGGACGGAGUCCCAACAAUUGGUAUCAGAGCAAGGUUCAGGAGUCGAGCGCUUGCCCCGGGGUUGCGACCCGACUAGUGCCUCGGGGCGGGCGAUAUGGUCGCUGGAUGGUGCAGCGACGAGGAGCUGGCCAUGAAGUUGCUGGGUGGUGCAGCGAUGAGGAGGAUCUGGCGAUCGUCGUCCGGCGGAGCGACAUGGAGGGAGACGGCGGGCUGUCGUCGGGAAGGCGGUGGAUGAAGAUCGUUGAUGGGUCAGGUGUUUGCCUUUCGGCCAUAUUAUAAUUGACAUUAUUCAACAUGCCUCAUUUGUGUACCCGCAACAGAGCCAAAUUGCCUUUCGGCCAUUGGCGUAGGUGUUUGUCAUUCUUCACUAUGCGAAGGCAAUCGAGUAGAACACGCAGGGUGAAGGCAUUCCAGUUAAUCUUUGAAAUACGUUUCACAUCAUGGACCAAAGCGUAGUACUGCUUUGGCACAAUCUUGCUCGACAUGGGAGCAAUAAUUGUUUCUAACAGGACAAGGACUAAUUUCCGAAGAAAAUCGUCGUCGGUGGCUUUACUUUUAAUUAUGUCCUCAAUGAGAUUAUCUAUCACUAUGUUUUCUGAUGUCUUACUGAGAAAUUGUGGCGGCACCCGCUCCAUCAUGUCCUCUCUUUCUUCAAUCAGAAUGUCUGAAGCGGAGAGUCCUUAGUUCUCGUGGUUAAAGAUGCACUCGACGUCGACCGCACCGAGAGUCACCUCCCCAACCUGCUCUUGUAUAAUGAAUCUGGACUUGCUGGCAUCAAAAUUCUCAAUCAUAUACCUAAUCAGAAGGGUACGCAUCUUAAUAGAUGGUAUCUGCAGCAUGCUGCGCAAUAUUGUAUCAGCCACUCUAGUGCGUUGACCGCUCGAUAGAGCGGCAACAAGCUUGCACCAUUUUUCAACAGCGCACACUAUUUCUCCAUUCAGCUUGUCCAUCCUAUAGAAAAAAAAUAUAAAACUUCGUUACAUUUGCCAACAGAAAUGCAAAAAUAACAAUAGACAUGCAAAAAUAUAAAACUUUCUGGCAGCAGCAAACAAAAAUGCAAAAAUAACACUAAUGCAAAUAUAAAACUAGCACCAUGUAUACAGCAACAUGCACUCAAGUGUGUUGUGAUAUGAGGCAAUAAAAAAUAACAUUCUGUUUGCAUAAUUGUUUUUUUCGACAAGAUCUUUAAAACAAGACUAAUAUUGAAUAUAUUUUUGAAAAUUAGUUUUUAGACAACUAAAUAACCAUGCUUCAAUCUUGUUUUGUAUAAUUGUUUUAGUUCCAUGCAUUUUUUUUAAUAAUGUUGCCUUCUAUUUCGUAAAGAAAAAAAAUCUAACUAACACUAUGGCUCGCCGUGUUACAUUGUGUAUCAUAAUGUUACAUUGUCUGCCGAUUCUUCUUAAUUUUACAUUGUUUCAUCAUGUUUCAGAACAUGAAUCUUCAAACUUGUUAAAAUAUAUUCAAAAGUGGUCUCGUAUUAAAGUUCUCAUUGUCAUAAACACAAAUAUGCAUCGGAUCUUCAAGAAAAAUCAACGGCUCUUCCAUGCACGGUACCUCCCGUGCAUGGGAGAAUUGCUUUUCUCUAUUCUACCCUGAUAUGAAAGAUUUAUUUCAUGUACGCCUUCUGGUCAGAACGCAUCUAGUCGAGUUGAUACUAGCUACUUGAAACUAUGUGGUAAACCUAAGUCCAUGAAAGCAACAAGAUGAUAGAACUAGCUUGCUAUGAAGGCGUGAGGUAAGGAGGACAACUUACUUGAUCGGUCGACGAAGAUGAAAGAAGUCGGCGAUGCGUUGUCGACGUACUUCAUCGACGGCGGCCAGCAUGUGCGGACGACCUUGAUCUCUCGGGGUUUUUGUGGCGUGUGUGAUGCGGCGGACGGAGCUGUCGACGACUCGCCGGCAGGAGGCGAUCUAGACGACGACAUGUGCGAGGAGGUUGAGAUUAUAUACGAGGUCGUCUCCUAGGUCGUUGUAACUUCCCUGUGGCCAAUCUCGCGAUCUAUAUUUUUCUCCGGUCGUUGUAACUUCCCUGUGGCCAAUCUCGCGAUCUAUAUUUUUCUCCGUUGAAUCGAGGCUGAACGUGCUCCUCAAUCGUAGGGAUUAGGAACAUAAGGAUUAGCAGGAUCCCAGAAUUGUGUAACCGAACGGCAACUACUCCCAUGAUCGACGUGCAUGGAAAGCGCAGCGUGGUGGGCCCCCACAAUAUGGAUCGGACAGUUAUUUGCGGUCUGGGCCGGCCCACCUACCUCUACAUUGUUUUUUCCUCAAAAUUAAUAUCAUUGUUUCUUCCCUCAAUAAAAAAUAUUUGUGACACCUAUUAGUUAUUGUAUACUUGUAUAUGUUCAACAAUAUUUAUAGUAUCUCUAUCAUUUCUGCAAUAUUAUAUAUUCAAAUGUACUAUUCCUCUUUCCCUUUUAAUUAGGUUUUCCUGUUAUUUUAUGUUUUCUCCUUCUUAUUCCUAAUUGUUUUUUCAUGUUUCAUAAUUCCAUAUCACUUCUUCUCAUAUUUUUCAAAUUCAUAUCAAAUAUGUAUGAUUAAAUGUUGUCCUAUUUAUGAGUUGUUAAUUGGUCGGUCCGGGAAGGUAAACCACUUUCAGACCUGCCCUCCGGCAGACCCGAAUGACCCUGCUUGUACAUAGUGCAUGUGGAGGCAUGCAUGAGAUGACCCCAACUUUUGGGACCAUAUGGGCAUGGCCAAUGUGGUCCCCCCGGCAAGGUGUGCACAAAUUCGGACACAAAACGCACGUUGCGUCACGUGGGGGUAGUGUUCUAGGGUUUUGUCGCCGGAUAAACCCUAGAAAAUGGUUCGAGUGUCGGAAAUGAACGAUACUUGUCAUGCAUGCAUGCCAUGAUCAUCCUUGGGUAUGCAUAAAGUUUGGGAUCAUUCGGUGGGACCGGAAAGGUAAACCACUUUCAGACCUGCCCUCCNNNNNNNNNNNNNNNNNNNNNNNNNNNNNNNNNNNNNNNNNNNNNNNNNNNNNNNNNNNNNNNNNNNNNNNNNNNNNNNNNNNNNNNNNNNNNNNNNNNNNNNNNNNNNNNNNNNNNNNNNNNNNNNNNNNNNNNNNNNNNNNNNNNNNNNNNNNNNNNNNNNNNNNNNNNNNNNNNNNNNNNNNNNNNNNNNNNNNNNNNNNNNNNNNNNNNNNNNNNNNNNNNNNNNNNNNNNNNNNNNNNNNNNNNNNNNNNNNNNNNNNNNNNNNNNNNNNNNNNNNNNNNNNNNNNNNNNNNNNNNNNNNNNNNNNNNNNNNNNNNNNNNNNNNNNNNNNNNNNNNNNNNNNNNNNNNNNNNNNNNNNNNNNNNNNNNNNNNNNNNNNNNNNNNNNNNNNNNNNNNNNNNNNNNNNNNNNNNNNNNNNNNNNNNNNNNNNNNNNNNNNNNNNNNNNNNNNNNNNNNNNNNNNNNNNNNNNNNNNNNNNNNNNNNNNNNNNNNNNNNNNNNNNNNNNNNNNNNNNNNNNNNNNNNNNNNNNNNNNNNNNNNNNNNNNNNNNNNNNNNNNNNNNNNNNNNNNNNNNNNNNNNNGGUGGGACCGGGAAGGUAAACCAUUUUCAGACCCGCCCUCCGGCAGACCCGAAUGGUUCGCUUGUACAUGGUGCAUGUGGAGGCAUGCAUGAGAUGACCCCGACUUUUGGGACCAUGUGGGCAUGGCCAAUGUGGUCCCCCAGGCAAGGUGUGCACAAAUUCGGACACAAAACGCACGGUGCGUCACGUGGGGGCAGUGUUGUUAGGUUUUGUCGCCGGGAAAUGAACGAUACUUGUCAUGCAUGCAUGUCAUGAUCAUGCUUGGGUAUGCAUAAAGUUUGGGAUCAUUCGGUGGGACCGGGAAGGUAAACCUCCUUCUAGUACAUGGCGCAUGUGGAGGCAUGCAUGCGAUUGUCCCAACUACAUUUAAUUUAAUAAUACUUCAAGUAUGAAACAGAAAAGAAAAUUUAUAAUUGAAAAAGACAACCAUGAAAAGUGAAAUAAAAGACAACAUUAUAUCAUACAUAAAUUUAAUUUAUAACCGUCAGAACAAAGAAAAGAGGAGAAUAUAGAAAAGAGAAGAAAAAUUUAAAUGAAUAAGUGCGAUAAAAGACAACAUAUUGNNNNNNNNNNNNNNNNNNNNNNNNNNNNNNNNNNNNNNNNNNNNNNNNNNNNNNNNNNNNNNNNNNNNNNNNNNNNNNNNNNNNNNNNNNNNNNNNNNNNNNNNNNNNNNNNNNNNNNNNNNNNNNNNNNNNNNNNACAACAUAUUGUCUUACAUUUAAAAAAUAGUUCAAAUAUAAAAAAGAUAAGAUCUAUUAGAAUGUAGAAGUGAAAUAAAAGACAACAUAUUAUCUUACAUUUAAAAAAUAAUUCAAAUAUAAAAAAGAUAAGAUCUAUUAGAAUAUAGAAGUGAAAUAAAAGACAACAUAUUAUCUUAUAUUUACAAAAUAUUUCAAAUAAAAAGAAGAGAACAAAAAUUAGAAUGAAGAAGUGAAAUAAAACAGAACAUGUUAUCUUACAAACUAAAAAUAUUUUAAAUAUAAUAAAGAUAAGAAAUAUUAGAAUUGGGCCCAAGGCUGCCCUGGGCCAGAUCAGUGUGCCGCGGGUAAGGCUGCCCUGGGCCAGCCCGCCCGAUUGGGCCCAAGGCAAAGCCGCGCAGGGCGCAGCGCAGCGCACAGCCGCGGGGUGGUGGGAGUUUAGUCCCACCUCGCCAAGCGAGAGAGCGCCGCACCGGUUUAUAUACCCGGCUGCGACUCCCCUCCCAAGCUCCUAUCAUAUGCAGGCAGUACAUUGUCUAACUCUCGUCACCUCUGCCCCAUGGGGCCUACUAGCAGCAGAGUUAUUCUGCACCACGGGCAUGCAUCCUGGCCCAUGAACCGCUGGGUUCCUAGUUGUAUGCAGUCCGUGGUGUAUGAAUGAUCCUGCUCUGGUAGGUGGGCACUUUUUUCGCAUAUUGCCAGGUGUUUUUAUCUUCAAAUCACAAACUAAAUUAUACACAUGCUCACUUGCAUUGAAUACACAAACUAAAUCACAAACUAAGUUAAUGUUUUCACCUUCAAAUCACAUAAUAAAUUUUACACAUGCACAGUUACAUGUAAUACACAUGGCUAUUAAUGAGAUUUCAACAAAAUGAGACCGUCGUGUACGAAUUCUCCUCCCAGAUGCAUGCCAUGAUCAUGGUAGGGUGUGCAUAUAGUUUGUGAACAUUUGGUGGGACCGGCAAGGAAAACCUCUUUCAAACUUGCCCUCCGGCAAACCCGAAUGGUAUGGUUUGUACAUGGUUCAUGUGGAGGCAUGCAUUAUAUGACCUCAACCUUUUGGGAGCACGUGGGCAUGGCCAAUGUGGUUUUAUCGAUGCAAAACACCUACAAGAUACAUCGAGUGUCUGAAAUGAACGAUAGUUGCCAUGCAUGCUUGCUAUGCUCAUCGUAGGGUGUGCAUAAAGUUUGGUAUCCAUUGGUGAGACCGAGAAGAAAAACCUGCUUCAAGUAUGAAACAGAAAAGAAAAUUUAUAAUUAGGAAAGACAACCAUGAAAAGUGAAAUAACAGACAACAUUAUACCAUACAUUAUUUAAAUUUAUAACCGUCAGAACAAAGAAAAUAGGAGAAUAUGGAAAACAGAAGAAAAAUUUGAAUGAAUAAGUGCAAUAAAAGACAAUAUAUUAUCUUACAUUUAAAAAAUAAUUCAAAUAUAAAAAAGAUAAGAUCUAUUAGAAUGGAGAAGUGAAAUAAAAGACAACAUAUUAUCUUACAUUUUGAAGAUAUUUCAAAUAUAAAGAAGAUAAAAAAUAUUAGAAUGAAGAAGUGAAAUAAAACAGAACAUUUUAUCUUAUAAACUAAAAAUAUUACAAAUAUAAUAAAGAUAAGAAAUAUUAGAAUGAAGAAUUGAAAUAAAACACACCAUUUUUGUUUAUUCGUNNNNNNNNNNNNNNNNNNNNNNNNNNNNNNNNNNNNNNNNNNNNNNNNNNNNNNNNNNNNNNNNNNNNNNNNNNNNNNNNNNNNNNNNNNNNNNNNNNNNNNNNNNNNNNNNNNNNNNNNNNNNNNNNNNNNNNNNNNNNNNNNNNNNNNNNNNNNNNNNNNNNNNNNNNNNNNNNNNNNNNNNNNNNNNNNNNNNNNNNNNNNNNNNNNNNNNNNNNNNNNNNNNNNNNNNNNNNNNNNNNNNNNNNNNNNNNNNNNNNNNNNNNNNNNNNNNNNNNNNNNNNNNNNNNNNNNNNNNNNNNNNNNNNNNNNNNNNNNNNNNNNNNNNNNNNNNNNNNNNNNNNNNNNNNNNNNNNNNNNNNNNNNNNNNNNNNNNNNNNNNNNNNNNNNNNNNNNNNNNNNNNNNNNNNNNNNNNNNNNNNNNNNNNNNUAAAAAGAGAAUGAACAAAUGAAAUAAAACGCAACAAAAUUUGGCAUACUUUUUUAUUUUAGUAAACACUGUUAGAAAUAAUAAAGAAAAAAAGAGAUUUGAUUUUAAAUAUUAGAGAUAUAAACAAGAAAAUAAAUUUUGGAGUUAAGAAGUGAAAAACAAAGUAAUUUAUAAAACACAGAUCAGCGCGCCGCGGGUAAGGUGCCCUGGGCGAGCCCGCCCAAAUUGGGCCCAAGGCAGAGCCGCGUAGGGCACAGAGCAGCGCACAGCUGUGGGGUGGUGGGAGUUUAGUCCCACCUCGCCAAGCGAGAGAGCGCCACACCGGUUUAUAUACCCGGCUGCGACUCCCCUCACAAGUUCCUAUCAUAUGCAGGCAGUACAUUGUAACUCUCGUCACCUCUGCCCCAUGGGGCCUACUAGCAGCAGAGUUAUUCUGCACCACGGGCCUGCAUCCUGGCCCAUGAAUCGCUGGGUUCCUAGCCGUAUGCAGGCCGUGGUGUAUGAAUGAUCCUGCUCUGGUAGGUGGGAACUUUUUUUUCGCAUAUUGCCAGGUGUUUUUGGCAUAUUCUCCUGUUCUUCAAAUCACACACUAAAUUAUACACAUGCUCACUUGCAUUCAAUGCACAUUUUUUGCAUAUAUGCCAAGUUAAUGUUUCUACCUUCAAAACACCUAGUAUUUUUGGCAUAUUGUCAUGUGUGUUUGGCAUAUUCUCCUGUUCAUCAAAUCACACACUAAAUUAUACACAUGCUCACUUGCAUUCAAUGCACAUUUUUUUGCAUAUAUGCCAAGUUAAUGUUUCUACCUUCAAAACACCUAGUAUUUUUGGCAUAUUGCCAUGUGUUUUGGCAUAUUCUCCUGUUCACCAAAUCACACGCUAAAUUAUACACAUGCUCGCUUGCAUUCAAUGCACAUUUUUUUGCAUAUAUGCCAAGUUAAUGUUUCUACCUUCAAAACACCUAGUAAAUUUUAGACAUGCUCAUUUGCACACAUGGCUAUUAAUGCGAUUUCUAUAAAAACGAGGCCGUGGUGUACGAAUUCUCGGCAGACCUGAAUGGUCCGGCUUGUACAUGGUGCAUGUGGGGGCAUGCAUAAGAUGACCCCAAAUUUUGCACACAUGACCUCUCGCACAAACAAUGCCAUGUUUUUCCAAAUUUUGCAAACUAAGCGAUGUGGGGGCAUUGUAAAAAUAUUCUUUUUCCAAAAUUUAUUUGAUAGCCAUGUUUGGCACUUGUGGGCCACCAUUUACAAGAAAAUUUGGGUGAUUUGGAGGUGGUGGAAAAAAUCACUUAUGUUCAAAAACUGGCUUAAGUUAGACCAAAUGGCCCCUCCGGAAUGCGGUGAUUUUUUUGACCACCUCGAAAUCACCUCUAUUUUGGCACACAUGACCUAUUGCACACAAAAUGCUAGGUUUUCAAGGUUUUAUAUUUUUUUGAUUUUUUAUUCAAUUCGUACUGCCCUCUAGACUGGUUGCUCAAAACAUCAGUCUAUACCUCAAGGGGGCCUUGUAAAAUAUUCUUUUUCCAAAUUUUAUUUGAUAGCCAUGUUUAGCACCACUAGUAGAGAAAGGACCUAAUGUGAGACACAUUAGUGCCGGUUCAAUUUUGGCCGGUACUAAUGGUACCAUUAGUGCCGGUUCGAGCGGCUAUGCAUUAAUGUCGGUUCGUUUUGAACCUUUAGUACCGGUUCGUGCCACGAACCGGUACUAAAGGGGUUGUGGCAGGCUCGCGUCAGGUCGGGGCCCUGCGAUCACCUUUAGUACCGGUUCGUGGCACAAACCGGUACUAGAGGGCUAACCUUUAGUACCGGUUCGUGGCAGGGGUUUGACCUAUAGUACCGGUACUGAAGAGCAAUAUUCAAUCUUCUACCNNNNNNNNNNNNNNNNNNNNNNNNNNNNNNNNNNNNNNNNNNNNNNNNNNNNNNNNNNNNNNNNNNNNNNNNNNNNNNNNNNNNNNNNNNNNNNNNNNNNNNNNNNNNNNNNNNNNNNNNNNNNNNNNNNNNNNNNNNNNNNNNNNNNNNNNNNNNNNNNNNNNNNNCCAUUUCAGUUUUGAAAAAUACAAAAGAAAAUGCUAAAAAAUUCAAAAAAUAAAAUUCUUUGAGAUGUAAUUAUAUUACUACAUUUACUAGUUAGGAAAAUUAAAAAACUUAAAUUUGGACAUGAUUUGCAAAAAAAUGUAGGGAAAAUGUGAAACGGCUAUAACUUUUGCAUACGAUGUCGGAAAAAAAUGUACAAUAUAUCGAAAAAUUCAACACGAAAAACCGCAUCCGAUUUUGACCGCCUACGGCCUGUUUGCAAUUUUUUAGAAUCCUCAAAUUCCAAAAGGAGAAAAAGAUAUGCUCAAAUUUAAGUUUUUUUUAAUUUUGGUUAAAUUUGGUCAAACUACUUAUUCAAGAAGUAUUAAUGUUACUACAUACUUAUUUAAGAAUAUUAGUGUUACCAUAUAAUUAUUUCAAUUUUUUGAAUUUUGGUCAAAUCUGGUCAAACUAUGGCCAAAAAUCACCUAUGUUCAAAAGAUCACCUAUGUUCAAAAACUGGCUUAAGUUAGACCAAAUGGCCCCUCCGAAAUGCGGUGAUUUUUUCGACCACCUCCAAAUCACCUCUAUUUUAGCACACGUGACCUCUAGCACAAACUAGGCUAGGUUUUCAAGGUUUUAUAUUUUUUUGUUUUUUUUUUGAAUUUAUACUGCCCUCUAGACUGGCUGCUCAAAACAUCGGUCUAUACCUCAAGGGUGCAUUGUAAAAUAUUCCUUUUCCAAUUUUUCUUUGAUAGCCAUGUUUGGCACAUGUGGGUCACCAUGUACAAGAUAAUUUGUGUGAUUUGGAGGUGGUGGAAAAAUCACCUUUGUUCAAAAACUGGCUUAAGUUAGACCAAAUGGCCCCUCCGGAAUGCGGUGAUUUUUUCGACCACCUCCAAAUCACCUCAACUCUUGCAAACAUGACAUCUUCCAUAAACAAAGCUAGGUUUCCAAGAUUUUUUAUUUUUUAUUUUUUUUGAAUUUAUACUGCCCUAUAGACUGACUGGUGCAAGAAUCGGUCUACACCUCAAGGGGGCAUUGGAAAAUUUAUUUUUUCCAAUUUUUCUUUCAUAGCAAUGUUUGGCAAAUGUGGGUCACCAUUUAAAAGAAAACUUGUGUGAUUAGGAGGUGGUGCAAAAAAUCACCAUGUUAGCUAGACCAAAUGGUCCCUCCAGAAGGCGGUGAUUUUAUCGACCACCUCCAAAAUUUCCACUUUUUAAAAUAUAUCAGAAAUGGAAGAUUCAAUCUUGCUAACUUAUGAAUUGACAAAAAAUGAUUUUCAAAAUUUUCUAAUUCUUAUAAUAUAUUUCAAAUGGAAUAUUCAAUCAUGCUCACUUAUGAACAUUGACAAAAACAAAUUUCAACAUUUUCUAAUUUUAAAAAUAUAUUUGAAAUGGAAUAUUCAAUCAUGCUGACUUAUGGACAUUCACAAAAAAAGAUUUUCAACAUUUUCUAAUUCUAAAAAUAUAUUUGAAAUGGAAUAUUCAAUCAUGCUAACUUAUGAACAUUGACAAUAAAGGAUUGUCAACAUUUUCCAAUUUUUUAUUUUAUAUUUGAAAAGGAAUAUUCAAUCAUGCUAACUUAAGAACAUUGACAAAAAAUGAUUUUUAACAUUUUCUAAAUUUAAUAAUAUAUUUGUAAUGGAAGAUUCGAUCACGCUAACUUAUUAAAACCUCAAUUCAAUUUUUUUAGUAUCUAUCCUAUGUAGAUAAGGCUGGUUCUUUGCACACACCAUUACCAAGCACAUGCUCACUGUAUGCAGCAUGUUUCAUCAGUGAAGCAACAUUGAAGCACCUACUAUGAUCAUUGUAGCAUCAGAAUAUAAACCCUGCAACAAAGCAUAGCUGACCUGCUUCUAGACAGUUGAUAUACUUCAGAGACAUACUAGAUUAAUUAAGUCUCUGCCAUACUUAAGAGUCUGCCAUACUACUUAAUAGUCUGCCAUACUACUUAACAGCUCACAAACACUUCCACCUUCCAGAUUCACAGUUCACAACCAUACUAGCGCAAAAGUUAAACAUCAUCAACUAUACUGACGAUGAUUAGUUCCACUACCAGCUUCACAGAGGGUGACUAGAUGGGACCCGUAGCCUUCAAGAGGGCUGCAUGCUCUGCCCUGAUCUUCACAUCGCUCCCACUCGUGGUUAAACGGCAUGCAUGUGACAUAAGGUGCUCAUACAACCCAUCCUUGGGAAUUGGCUUAAUGGUGCAGUAUGGGCACCUGAACUUGCCCCACUUGAAGUACGCCGCCUUCCCCUUCUCCCUGAUCUUGUUGGCUUCAUGCUCAAUGAAGGACCUGUGGUUCCAAUCUUCCACCUCAUCUCCAGAGUUGUACGGCACAUACAAAUGAUUUGCAUAAAUACAUACUUCCCAUUUAGAGUAAUGUAAUUAACAAACAUCAGAUAAUUGCCAUUUACUGGAAUGUAAUGAACAAACAAACAUAAUAGCCCAUUUACAGCUACUUAAUGCACAAACAACAAAAUAGUUCCAUUUAGAAGAAUUUAAUGGACAAAUAAUAGAAUAGUUCAUUUAUAUGCAUUCAUAUAUGGUUUCAUGAAAAAACAUCACACAUAUCCCAUUUACAGCUAAAUAAUGCACAAACAUCACAACUUUCAGAGCAAUUAAUUGAAAGUAUAACAAAACUUUCCAUUUUAGAAUAAUUCAAUGGACAAACAACACAAUAUUUCCAUUUAUGAGCAUUCAGAUUUGAUUUCAUGAUCAAAGACUACAAAUAUGCCAUUUAGAGCUAAUUAAUGACCAAACAACACAGCUUUAUGAUAUCAGUGAAUAAACUACAUAACAUUCCAAUUUAGAGGCAUUCAUAUAGGGCAUCAUCAACAAACAACAUCUCACACCGAUUAAUAAACAGACAUAAAACAGCUUGGGGUUACCUCCUCGUCGUCGUCAGAAUCAGACGGGUCGUCGAACCCAGCGAUGUCCAGCUUCCUCUUGUUGCCAGCAGCUUCCUCAUUCUGCAAUAUAUAUAAGUAAUUAAUUCAAUUAUACUACUAACUACAUAACACAGUAUGCAAAGGUCAAGCAAUCUGCAAUGUGCUUCUAAUAAGCUAAAAUGAUACUUUGACCUAAAAUUAAACUGUAUCCAAAGGUCAAGCAUUCUACAAUGAUAGCUUGGUCAAUCUAAAAUUUUAGAUCAUGUUGACUGUGGUCCUUCAAACUAUAAUGCCAGCCUGGGCACCAACAAUAAUCUUGUGAGUGCUCAGGUCUGCCAAUGGAGGUAGUACAUUUUUUGAUGUACCCUACAACUAUAUCAGUGACCCAUUGUGGUUGACAACAAGUAAUUGCAUUUACUUCAUCUGGCUCAUGUAAUGUACAUAGUGGUGCAUCAGCUGCCCUAUUCUCUGAACCGUAUAUUGGAUGGUAUAUUAUAAUGCCAUGAGCUUCAGGAAAGUAAAUCUUUGUCCGAUUUUUGGUGCUAGGUGUGAAACUAUUUCAUAUGACAUACAUGCAUGGAGUUAGGCAACAUAAAUUUAAUAUGACUUGGUCAUCUGGCAUAGUUGCAUGUCUACCAAACCUACUUAUGGUUUACUUUAUAACUACAACAAUCCUACAGAUCAAACCUACAAUUUUAGUUUAUGGAUAAUGAAGUGAAGCUCCUAACUAUUUUAAAAUUGCACACUAGUUCAUACUGUGUUCAUUUCAAUAAUUAAUUGAUACACUUCUGUCACAGAAAGUAGGAUUUAAACCUCAUUUCUACAAUAUCAACUUUAAUAGAUACAGUGGGUAGCUGCUCAGCCCCUGUCGUGGCCCACUGAGGGAAUAUGCACAACAAAUCUAACAAAAUAUACAGCACAGAACAGAAUCUGAGCACAUGCGGCAAUCCAGAUUCUAAUAUAAAUAAUCUAACUCUCAUUAUGAUGUCUCUAGCAUUCAAGCACGAAUCAACUUGAAAAAACCCUAACUCUGAAAUGGGGUUCACCAUUCAAUCAAAAAACCCUAACAAGCAGAAGGGGGUGCCGCUAUCAAUCACAAAUCUACUAUAAAAAACACCAUCUACUAAAUCUUCUGCUUAUCUACUACAAGUAUGAAAGGAGGGGAACGAGAAGCGUUACCACAUCCACCACCUGCUUGUCGCUCGCCUCCGCACCUACAUCCAGUGUGCCGCCAGACGCCGUCACCACCAGGUCUGCCACGACGGAGUCCGAGCCCACCACCCCCUGCGCCACCAGAUCCGCCGCCACAGGGACCGGUCCAGCGACUGCCGGUGCAGCAUCUCCCGCACCGCCGAUGGCGCCACUUCUUGGACGGCAUCUGCGGCGGUCUCCGCGCCCUCGACCACAUCUCCGUGCGCAGCGACGGCAGCGCCACGACCUUGCUCCAUCGAAUCCUGAGAGAACCCGCCGGAGAGAGGGAGGCGGUGGGGUUGAACAAGUAGGUGCGGUGGCGGGGCGAUGGAGACGAGGAGGAGACGAUGCGGCAAGGAGAGAGGGAGUGAGCCGAUUUGGCGGUAAAUGGUGGGGGCGAUGCGGCCGGUGGUGGUUCCCCUCCCUCUUUAUAGGAUGUGACAUUUUUGGAAUUUUUCGUGCGCCGCGUGGCCGCGUGGCUAGACCACGACCGCCGCCGCCCAAGCCCACGACCGCCGCACGUGACAAGGGAAAACGAUACGCCCACGUACAAUACAUGUAUACCCUCAGUGUACAAAAGUAAUCGGGCCGGUGCGGGCUUGUACAGGGCUGUACGCGCGCCGGUGCGGGCUUGUACAGGGUUGUACGCGCGCUCUCCUCGGGCAUAAAAAUACGAUCGUGCCCUUCUUAACGAAUCGUUUUUGACAGAUCUCAGCCAUCCUUGUAUUUCUCCCCCUCGCGUUCAACCAGGGGGGAGCACCGGAGCAGAAACGUACAACUAGUGCAGGAGUCCUUCUGUUUCCUAGUUAUAAUACCUACUAGAUAGGAAGUGCGGCCUGCCGCACCCACCUGGUUUCAUUUUAGCUAACCCGACAGAAAGAUAAAAAACAGUAUGACGAAGCAAAGGAAAACAUAUACUUCCCAAAAUCUGAACUUGAUUGAAUCAUAUUCAGCCAAGUAAAUCAGAAUAUAUAUUACACAUGAUACAAAGGUACAAAGCGGAUACAACAAUUUAUAUAUGCAUAUGAAGCUAUGACAUGUACGCACAGCGACUCGACAUCAUCGAUACAACAGUUCAUACACCCAAAUACAUGCUGGAUAUGUUCUCCGUACACCAGUAAAAGGAUAGCACAUAUAGCUUGGUCCGCUAAUUUUGAUCUGUUCUCAUUCACUAUGCCAGGCAAAAGAGAGUACUCAGCGUACACAAAGUUCCUAUCGAUUUUGACCUAAUCAGAUACCUGCAAAGAAACACACCUCAGGGCGCAGCUGGUAGCAGGUGGCAUCCAUUUCCCAUAAUCGUACACACUUUCACCAAUUUUCCACCCAGGAUCCUGUCUUCCUCCUCGGGAUACUUCUUCCAGUCUUUGAAAAAUCUGCACCACAAUCAAAGAUCUUGUGUUUUAUGGCAGCUCACGUUAUGACAACUAUUAAAGAUUCAAUACAACUUAGUCUUAUAUGCUAACCACAAUGUUUGCUUGCCCUUGGACAGUACAACAGAAUAAAAUAGGAGGUGCAAAUCCAGAACAAUGUAUGUUGGGUGACAGGGCAUAAUAAUAACAAAUCUAUUGAGAACAAAGGACCAACUCAAGCUAGCAUGUGUUGAUAUGCCCCUACAGCCGAGCCAUCAUUUCUGUGCACGGUCAUGACCAAAAUGAUAAGGUCAUGCAUAGCCAAUCCUCAAAUGCACGUAAGAGGAAUGUAUAGCAUAUGGGUUAACUAACUAACGAAUAUGAGGAUCACACAAAACACAUCAAAAGUAUGAUUACUUUAAGAGAUACCCAGUCUAGAGCCUAGGCUUCCUGUUCGGAGGGCAAAGCUUCUUUUCCUGUUCGGAGAAAAACAGUGAAAUAAGCAGACACGACAAAGAUAGAUAUUGUUAUAAACUUAUGGGGAAAGCAAAAGUACAUACCUUGAAAUACCAUCGAUCUCAUCUGCUAAGGUAGAAGAAUAUCCACCCAGCAUUGUACUCUUCUAGAAGAACAAAGCAAAAAGGCAUAUUAAAUCAGCAUUCAAAUAAUGGUCUUUGCUCAAAUGAGAUAUGCAAAAGACCUCAACAUUAUUAACCCAUGGCGGACCCCACAUGGCCCCGUUUUAACUAACUCCGGCAAUAGAUAAUAUAUAUGUAUUACUCAAUAUAUCUCAUAAUGGAAAUGUCGAGAGGCAGCAGGGAGAUGAAAUAAUAUAACACUUUUUCAUAUCUUGCAUAAUUCCAAGAGCACGUAUAGCCUUCUCAAAGAAGAAAACAAAAUGGGUAAGAAAACAUCUAGCCAAUAAGUAGAUACAGAUGUAUAGUAAAGGAAAAAACAUUCAGCAUCUCAAUAGAGGAAAAAAUAGCACAGGUGCAUCAGAAAAGCCACAGUUCAAAGAAAUAUAUAUGUGUAUAAAAGCAAAAUCAUGCAAGACAACUCAAGAACUUUUAGCAAACCUACAACUGCAAGAAAAUUCAGAAGGGUAUGUUAAUAAUAAAGGAAGGGCACAGUUUAGGAUCUAAAUAGCGACAUUAGUGUUGUACCCGACGAUAGCUAGUUGUGUGAAAAUGAAACAAUAUCGACAGACGCGGCAUUUAACAAAAAAAAUGUAGGUAGAGCAAUACAAAAUAGGGUUUAAUUAUCCUUUUGCCCUCAGUGGUGUCCAUGUGCUCAGUUUUGCCCUCAGAUGCGAAUUGUCCUCAGUUUUGCCCCUAGUCCGUGCGCACCGACUCGUUCCGUGAACUCUGCCGUCUCCGUCAGGUCAACCUUUUGACUCGGCCCUUACAGGUGGGACCAGGCGGCAGAAACGGCCAAUUUUAUUCAGACCGUUGCACGCGUGGCUUGUGGGACCCAGCAAAGAGCCGUUGAGCAGAGAGCCGUUGGCGGGUGUGCUAUAUAAGUGGGCGACAUCGGCGGUGACCACGGCGACAGAGAGCACGGCGGUGACCACGGCGAGAGAGAGAGCACGGCGGCAGGAAGCUAGCUGUGGAGGGCGCGGCGGUGGGAAGCUAGCAGUGGAGGGCGCGGCGGCGUUGAGAUCCCCUUCGGCUCCGAGCUCCAUGUCUUCCUCAAGCUCCCGCGCCACCUCGCGGAUGCAGAGCCGGGCGCGUGUGGACAUGCCUGUCUUCGUCUGUCCGCGGUGCCGGGCGGGCGUUGAUCGAAGGGUUUCUCAGACACCGAGGAACCAGAAUCAUCCGUUCUACGUGUGCAGCGAGAAUGGGGUAAGAAUCGGGGCAAUUGCACCAUUUUCGUCGUCGGGAUGUUUGAGCAAUGGGUUGAUCUGUUUAGUGUUCAUGCAGGUGACAUGGUUCUUUCUUUGGGUCGAUGCUUUGGCCAAGACUCUGAUGAAUGAACUGCAAGAAGAGCAUGAAGAAUGGUUGCGCAUGCUGCCACGAACGGCAGUGGCCACACCACGAGCCCCGGAAGAAGAGAUGGAUGGCGAAGCACGCACUGACAGAGAGCUAGCUAUUGAGCUUAGGAUGUUGAAGAAGAAGGUUAGGAAGCUUGAAGAUCAAGCACUACCAAUACCCAUUUGCAAAUACUUUUGGGCAUUUGUAGGUAUGGUAAUCGCACUGGUUGUAAUGUUGAAAAUGUAUGGAAAGGCAUGAAUUAUGAAGGAAUUUGUAAUCUUGAAAUUGUUUGAGAAAUUCACCUAGUUUAAAUGUUGGUUAAAGUUGUUUAAAUGUUGAAACAAAAAGAGAAGAAGUGACCAACAUUUAAAUAUGUUGGAAAAAAAGAAAGGAAAUUAGGAAUUCAGAAACUUUUGAUCAAUGAAAUGCAGCUCUCUGCUCUGCCUUUCUGUCCGAAAAAAAGGUUGCUCUUGGGCCAAAUUCAGAGCGUAGAGCCAAGUGCAGGCUAGACUAAUGGGCCAACUGCAUCCAAUUAGGCCCAUUCAGGGGUUUUCUUGCGUAUUUUUUUGUUUUCUAUUCUGAGUUAAUUUAGGCAGUAAAUCAUAAUGCUGAAACUUUUUGUGGAAGCUAAUUGAAUUAUUCCGGAGCCAAACAAUUAAGGUUAGAAAUUUUUCGGAGCUGUUAAUUAAUCCAAUUCAAAUACACCGUGAUUUAAAUCAAAGACCAAAAUGUCAUGGAAAAUGUGCCUCAGCUCUGGUAGAGGUUUACGCCAGGUGCCAAAAUAAAUGAACAUUUUUUAAGGGCAUUACAUUGAGGAAAACAUAAUAUGUAUAAAAAAUGAAGGGUGGAAAAUGCACAAAAAAUUGGUGCGGCUGGGGACUCGAACCCAGGACCGCGUGGGUUUGUGGUGUUUAGGGCUGCGCUGGUAACCGCUAGGACAGAUGGCAAGACUUUAACAUAGGUAGGGAAGGAAGGUAUACAUAGUGAGACUGUGAAUUUUUAAAAAAAAAUAGUGAGACCGUGAAUGUUUGCACACGCGUGAGAGUGGUUUUCCUUUGUUUUGCACUUAAAUUUUGGAGGGUUGGAAGGUUAAAAAUGUAUGUUGCACUACCACAUGAUUUUGGUCAGAGUGGCACUUAGUUUAGGGUUAGAGUGGCACUUGGUUUAGGAUUUAAAGGGAAUAAAUUUACAUGUUAGUUCAUGACUUUUUGUUUGAAUGAAACAGAGGGCUUCUCACCCCCUACGAUUUUCAUUAAUGAAAACCACAAGUUUUUGAACUUCAUGACUUGUUUAGGGAAGAAAUGAUAAGUUUGGGCAUGGACAUUUUUUAACACACAUAAUGAGAUAGAACACACCGUACCAUUACAAUAACUUAGAUAAGUUCAUGGACAGUUCAUGGACACAUGACGAAACAUGACACGACACGACAUGACAUAGAAAAGCAACAAAAUAAAAAACCAAACAUGACGAGCUUGACUCCGGGCUUGAACAUCUUCAUCUUGACCUCCUUCUUCCACCUUGGCCGCGCGCGCCCCUUCAACACCAUCUUCAUCUUCACACCUCCUCCUCGUCGUCGUAGGGAAGGGAGUGCAUCUGGCCUGGAGCGGGGAAGAUGCGCUCGUAGUUGGUGUAGAUGUUGUAGAUGGUGAAGAAGAUGGCCUCGCAGCCGCACCAAAAGACUUGGCCGAGGAGCUCGCGCGCGUCAAAUGGGUUGGUGAAGGUGACCGUGAGCAGAAGGAGGAUGCCGUCGUGGUCACGAACCUCGUUGAGGGUGAACAUCCUCGGCGAGCCCCGUGGGAGGUGGGCAUAGCCGGCUCUGAGGAAGGCGCGGGUGAGUUCGACGGAACCCCUCCACCUUGAAAUAGCCCACACACGGAGCUCCCUCUCCACGAGCACGCCCGGUGGGUAGCGCAGCUCCGGCACCACAGGCAGACGGCGGAAGGUCGGCCCGUUGAAUUGCAUCUUCUUCACUUGGUCUCGCUUGGGGAGGGCUUCGUCGCUUGGGUGUUUGAAGUUGGAGAGAAUCGGAUCUGGCUUGUGGGUGGGAGAGGAAGAGAGGCACCCCAUUUAUAGGCCUGUGGGUGGGAGAGGAAGGGAGAAAGGAUGAGAACGGUGCGUGCGUGAAUCCGGACGCGUGUGUGUAUCCGUUACGUUUUGCACACUUAAAUUUUUGCAUGAAAACGAUGCAUCUUUGACCGGGCAGUGCAUGUGAACCGCUGCCCUGAACCACUGCCCUGAACCACCUAGCUCGCCUUGCUAGCCUAGCUCGCCUAGCUGGCCUAGCGCGCCUCGCUCGCCUCACUCGCAUGCAUGCACGUCGCCGCCUCCCGCGCAUGCGCAAACCCACGUAGCCGCCUCCAUGCAUGCAAGGCCUGGAAAGGCUGAGACGGGCUAUUUACUGCGAUCUCAGGCCCAGACAACGAGACGGCCCAACGGUCCAUCCAGCGCGUCCGAUAUUUGUUAAAAAAACAAUCUCCCAGCCAAUCAGAUUGCAUCUCGCGGAUCGCCCCCCUCCUCCCCGCAGAUUUCUUCUAGAAGGGUUAGAUCGACGGCCCUUGAUCACCGCUAGGGUUAGAUGAACGGUCCUUAUUCAGCGCUAGGGUUAGCGGGGUUUGGGAGGGGUUUGGAGCAGUCAAAGCUAUGUUUGACCAGAUUUCAAAUGAGCAUAAUAAAUUAAAUAAAAAUCAGAAAAAUGAAAAACCUGCGCACAUAGUCUUCUUAUGUCAUAUACUAACGNNNNNNNNNNNNNNNNNNNNNNNNNNNNNNNNNNNNNNNNNNNNNNNNNNNNNNNNNNNNNNNNNNNNNNNNNNNNNNAUUUCAAAUGAGCAUAAUAAAUUAAAUAAAAAUCAGAAAAAUGAAAAAUCUGCGCACUAGUCUUCUUAUGUCAUAUACUAACGAUUUAAAUUGAUAAACAAGCUUUACAUACAUUUAAAUGAUAAGUUCAUGUGUAUUGUAUGAUAUCUCGAGUAUCUCAAACUCUCUGGUAUGAAGUGAAGAGAAGUGUUUUGGGGAAAUGAACAUGAAAAUUUCAAAAAACUCACCACAGCUUCAUUUUGGAGUGACUAAGAAGGAUCCAUGCUUAGUUUUUCAUUUUGAUGUUUUAAACUUGUUUAAAUCUUGGUCAAAGUUAAGUUUGACCAGAAUUCAAAUGAGCAAAACAAAUUUAAAAAAAAUUCAAAAAAUGGAAAAACCAGCGCACAUAGUCUGUACAUAUAGAAUAUAUGUGUAGGAAAGUUAUUUGGCUGAUCUAGAUAAGGUCAACAAAAACCUUGCUUAGAAAUGAGGCCGUUUACCCUACCUUUGGACCCCUCUUUUUAGCACAUUUUUCAUGAAAAUUUCAAAAACCUCACCACAACUUCAUUUUGGAUUGACUAAGAAGUAUCCAGGCUUAGUUUUUCAUUUUGAUGUUUUAGACUUGCUUAAAUCUUGGUCAAAGUUAAGUUUGACCAGAAUUUAAAUGAGCAAAACAAAAUUCAAAAAAAUCAAAAAAAGGAAAAACCAUGUGCUCAUUCAAACAUCAUCCAACAGAUAUUUAAACAUCAUGUCAAACAUACUUCUAACAUAGGUCCAACAUCAUCCAACAGAAAUACAACAUGUCAAGUGAUAAAUGUUUCAUAAUACAACAUCAUUCCUUAUUCAUAAUGUUUCAUAAUUGUUCAUGGAUAGCGUUGGGGCUUCUGUCUGUUUCUUGAGCUUCUUGCCAUCACUUUGCUCCUCGUGCACCUUGUGAUCAUUGUUUCUUCUCUUCUUCUCUUGGUUGUCGGUACCUUGCGCGUCUUCUUCAAACCUACCAUAGAGCUGUGCAAAACAUAAAGGGUCCAAACAUAAACGGUAAUGAGAUCGUGUCAAGUGAUAGAUAUACAGUAGUAUUUGACCCUUGCAAGAUUUACAUACCUAGCAGAACUCCAUUUGGAGCCUCACUUGGAUCACCAUGAUCACCAUUUAGAGCCUCACUUGGAUCACCAUUUGGAGCCUCACUUGGAUCAUCAUUUGGAGCCUCACUUGGAUCAUCAUUUGCAGCCUCCAUGGACAACCCUCAGUCGGACAGUGCACUCUGUAACGUACUUGAUCGCUCUUGUCAACUUUGAAAGUACGUUCUACCUUGAUGCAGUAUGUCACAAGUGCAUUUCUACACUCAUUCAUGGAUGCAAAAACUGUACCUUCUUCCAUUUGAGGGUUCAAAGGGCCCCAUUCAACAGCUGCAAGGUCUUCGUCCUCACCCAUCGCGUCAUCAUCCACACGGACUGCAUUGUGAGCCUCAUCUUGGUUUUCAGCCCGAGGUGCCCGUCGUAAAUUCUGAAUAACAUCAGAAUAUAACUUCUCUUCAUCAACCCCAGAAUUGUAGCCAUCAGGCUCCACUUCAAGGGGGACCCUACUGCUGUUGCCCACACUUGUCGAGCCACCACGUCGUCGUGCACCAACUGAACUGUUCUGGCUAGAGAUGCCAUUACGACGACUUGAUUCUCCCCGAGAUGUUGCACCCGCCAUCCUAGGUCCAAAUGCCUGCUCAAGCACAUCAACUUGCAGCCUCACAUGAAAAUUAUCUUUCUCUUUAUGCCUAACAAACAUGGUAGCUAGCUCUUCAUCAUUACUAACUGUCACCCAAUUCUUUUCACCAUCAUAGUAUUUGUAUACCACUUCAUCAAGCAAACCCCAAGGAUAUUGGCUACAAAUUACCUCCCCAAAUUGUCUGAAACUCCAAUUACUAGCCAUUGGCAACCGAUAAUCAAAACCUCCUUGGUAUUUCUUCUUAUCCUUUGCAUCGAACAUGUACCGGUCCCUUCUAAUGUGCACCAUGAAAGCAAACCGCAACUCCAUCCUAACCGGCGAAAAACAGAGACGCAAUCAGCACACUAAUUGGGCAAACCUACUCGAAUCGAGUGUUCAAAUGCACAACUAAGCUCAAUCUAAACAAGAGGCGAGACUUACCCCUCGGGAACCCAGUCGUGGACGCGGCGGAUCUCCGGCCCGAUGCCUGCCUCGCCAAAUACUCCGGGGUCGCCGCUGCUCACCAUUUCGCCCUAGGGUUCUUCCUCCUAGUUCAAAUAGCUCCAGCAGCCCCCCACCUUUGAGCGCUCCGGCCGGGCGCACGGAAGGAGGCCGCGCCGCGAAUCGAGCAGGUGGCGGGCGCCCCACCCGUGGCGUCGCAGGAAGGUGGUGGGCAUCACAAUGAGCCGUGAAGCGUAGGCGCAGGGAGGUAGCGGCGGAGCAGGCCGUGCAACUGGUGGCGGGGCAGGUGCUGGCCGAGGCGCAGGUGGCGGCGGCGGCGGCGCAGGACAGCCGGCCGGGCGGAUGGGUGUGAGCUAGAAUGAUUUGGGGAUUUAGUUGCAGGGGCCUACAUGUCAGCUCCGGACCCACGUCCACGCGGUCCCACGUGUAAGCUCCGGACCCACAACUACUAACGCCGGCGGACGGAAUGGACUCAAAUAUGGCCGUUUGGCCUCGUCGUAGUUGCUGUGCUCGGACUAGGGGCAAAACUGAGGACAAUUUGCAUCUGAGGGCAAAACUGAGCACAUGGACACCACUGAGGGCAAAAGGAUAAUUAACCCUACAAAAUAAACAUUAAUACAAAUUGACAGGCACAAGCAUAAUCAGAAAAUAUCUACCAAGAGCAUACCGAAUGCAUGACUGUUAUUGUUUCAUUCAUAGGUCCAGCCAUGACUAUUUCAAGUUCUCUAUGGGCAACACAAACUCACCAGGAAAUGAUCAUCAUCAGGCAUCUAUGGGCAAACAUCACCUUGUUUGCUUUGUGCUCAACUACUUUCUGAAAUAGAAAUAUAGAAGUUUCAGCAGCAAGCAGCCAAGUAAAGUGACACAUUAGUAAGGCUGCUAUUUAUAUCCCAUCAUAGCAAAUCAAUCUAAGAUAUAGUUCCAACUUCCAAAUGCAAUAGUGAGCCAUGGGGAGCAGGAUUUCAAAACCAUGACACCGCAUAGGUUAUAUGAGUGCACAUCUUAAUCUUGAUUCUGAGCUCUGGUUAACCAAAAAGCAAAAGAAUUAAAAUCAAACACGAGAAGUUGAGAACAGGAAACCCAUGUGACUCAGAUCGUCCUGGACAUCUCUUCACAUGACACACGAAAUUAAAUUGUUAAGUUGUAUAGCAGAAAAAAAAUUCAGAACCAAAUGACACAGGCUAGGAAGGCAAAUUAAAGAGGCUGCACAUGAUUAAUAAGAGGAAGGGUUGAUUCUAUUUUUUCCAAGGUGGAUACAGAGAGAGAUCCUUUAUUCCAACUGUUCAUCCAAGUCUUGGACCGUUUGAGCAAACAGGUAUCACAUCCUAUCCUCUUAUGAGCAUGUCCCGAGACACCUUGUGGGCUGCUAAAAGGAUCACAUAUAUGAAGUACCAGAGAGCUCUGUUCUUUGAUAAUCUCUCAUUAUUAUCUCAUUAAAACUUUGUGGGCAUUAAUUAGGCAUAUAUAUUAGUAGUGACAAAAUAGCUAUGCACCUUUAUGUCCUCUGCUCCUCUACCUAUAGAGUUCACGGUCACCAUACAAAAAACAAUGAAACAAAGAAUAAUAAAGUACAUCAGCAGACAUUUGAUCAAUACGUUCAGCUAGCCUUCUACCUCAAUCAUCACAUCAAAUCUCUUUAUUUGGGUCAAGAGGAGAAAAAACUAUCAAACAGGGGAUAAUAAAAAUGGAUUCACCAUGAAAGAGUAAAGAAGAGAGUUGGUACCUACUCGUACGCAAGCGUGAAUUCUGGUGUUUCCAACUUUAAUGAUAGGCUAAUCGAAACGAGAGGCCAAGCAGUCCUGGAUAAUCAUUUUGAAAAGUCUAAUUAGACAAUGUUAAGUGCAAGAGAGGCAAGGUGACUAAUUUUGCUUGCUGCUUGUAGAAGACAACAUCCUUAACAUAACCACCAUCUAAGCACUCCGCAAAUGAAAGGCCAUCAGUGAUACAGGCUAUCAUUGUCAGCUUCACCAUUUUGAAAAGAUAACAAGACACAAGCAAAAGUGCCACCUGCAGAAAAAAGCAGAGGAGAGCUAGUAAAUACUUCUAACAUGUUCACUUCGGUAUAGAGGAUCCUACUUAUCCAAUGACCCAUAUAUCUCAAAUAGAACAGAUUAAUAUAUCUCAAGCAACAGUUAAUGUCCAGUAUGUUCUCCAAAGUUACAGAAUAUAACAGGUUCAGAGACUGUCAAGAUCAAACAAUAGUGAGGGGAUUUUGUAGCCACAUGGCAAAGCUAAUAAAAUUUCUUCUAAUUUAAAUCUCAGACAUCUCAAUUAAAUAAAUAAUUUGAUACAUAACUGAAACUGAACUCUAACCUUUUGUUGUUUAGUUGUCUUCUAAUGACUAUCAACACAGGUAUAACUAAAACUUCAAAAGCUUAAUGUUAACCAGAUUAGAAGUUUCAAAGUAUAAGACCAUAUUGAGCAAGACUAAGGUAAAAGCAAGAAAGAUUAAAAUUGAUUAACACAAUUACACAAAGAGACGUAUUUUUCCUUUUUCAGGCAACCAAAUCUAGCUCAAUGUAUGGUAUGUAUUUGUUAUUAAAUAUUUAAUCAGCAAAGUCUUGAGAGAGAUGGGGGGGGGGAUCUUACCAGUUGAAGGGGCCACAUGAGUGAGGGGUGAGGAGACGCUCAGAAGCAGCACCGCUAGCCAGCAGCAACUCAAAGGCCGAAGCCAAUCAACUGUACUCCUGAUGCUCACCCGCCCGCACUUGGUCCUUUUGCCUGUGACACUGUACAGCAGAAACACAUAAAAUUGAUCACACAGAGCUUAGAGCAAGUUUCUUCUUGCAAAAAUAAUAGAGCAUAUUCCUAACACACAUAACCGAUGCUAUUCAUUCACACCUCUUUACACUUCCUUGUAUAGUCGUAUGUGUAUAUGUGUUUCACUGUGUGGUUUGAUACAAUGAGACUUCACCUCCAAUUCAAGCAUAAGCAUAUGAAAAAUGGUAUAGUGAACCUGAGUUUGAUUCUCUGAAGCUCGGAGCCUUAAAUAUUUUAAUAAAGAGAACAUAAAAAAACUCUACUGAGCAAUCCUCUAUGGAGAUCAUAUUAUCUUUCUGGAGGAAGUGCAACGAAAUGGAUUGUGGAGGGAUAACUUCAAUAUGCAAAUAGUAUCACUUUGAGGAAAAAUUCUAGAAUCCCCUUGAAACAAUCACGUGAGUGUAUUGUAUGCGUAUAUCUUACCUUAGCAACAGGAGGAAGAGGCAAUCAUAACUCUCCUUCUUCCAACCUUCCUCUUCAGCUUGCCUCUUUAGUACUCUCCUUCUUAGCAACAGGAAAAAAUGGCAGUACAAGCAGAUCUUCAGUACUCCAAUUUAUUUCAGUUUUGACAGCUUAUUUUCAAUUUCAAAAUGGAAAAUACUCACAAGAGUACCUUGUACGAAUAAACCUACAGAUCAACAUGUGUCAGGAAAACAGAAAUUAAACGGAUAGAGGAUGCAACAAGGGAGGGCGUGGUGAAGGAAGGGGGAGGAGGAAGGAGUGGUGGGGCUACCUGCCUAUGGACCCGUCGGCGGCGCCGGGACUGGCAGCGGCAGGGAUGGAGGCGCUGCUGCCGGCCAGCCCCAUGGCCAGCGGGAAGUGGAGCCGCGUGUGGGGGCGAGGAAGGAGACAGAGAGGAGCCGCCAGAGUCCAUCGGAGCCGCACCGGCGACGAAGCAAGCAGCGGGAAAGAGGAACCCGCGUCUCCCUCCUCACCUGCUCUGCUCGGUUGCGCCAUGGCCGACCUUGCGGGCGGCUCCUCGGUGAUCUGGACGCGCCACCUGACCUGCCCGGCCACGGUGGCCCUCCCUGUCCUGGCUCGUGAUGAGGGAAGGAGGAGAGGAGAGGGCGGGGGCGCUCCUCUUGCCGUGUGCAGGCGAGGACGACCGCGACGACACCGGGGAAGUGGACGGAGGCGGUCCGGCAGGCUGGGCGAAGUAGACGGCGGCGACGGCGGGAGCUGCUAGGGUUUUGGGAGCAGAGAGGUGGGAGAGGGAGGUGGAGGCGAGGCGUGCCAGCCGGGAUCUCGAUCCAACUCCAGCCGGCCAGCCCUAUCGUCGCCGGAAAGACCACCCUACCCCAGGGCGCCUACCUCCUCCUAUCCUCCCUCCGCAUCUUCUCUUCUGCAGGGACGCAUCAACGGGAUCGAGAGAUCGGGGAAACGAGCAACCGGCCGCCGGAGGCGAGGCCCACCCCCACCAUCGAAACCCUAGCGGGGGAAAUCGAUGGGGGUGACCGCAUGAGGCGAGGAAAAGUAGAUCGACGCGGUGAAGCUAGUAGAGCUCAUCCAGGAGCAGCUGUGUGUGUGUUGGGUGGCGCCAAAGCUCGCCGGAGCGGCCGGAAUCGGCCGGCGACCGAGGCGGCGAUAGUGGGGAUCGAGAGAGUAGGCAGGAGGGGGGUGACGGGAGGAAGAGAGAUGGGCUGCGCGAGUGCGGGAGAGAGGUGGCUAGGGUUUCUCCAUGGGCGGCACGGCAAUUUAUACGCUUGUAUGCGAAAUGACGGAAAUGCCCUCGGCGGGGCAGGCUAUUUACACGCGGUGGCACAACCGGGGCGCGUCGGUCCAGAUCGGACGGUCUGCGAGCGCCGGGUUUCGAUCCGGCGGCUGAAAUCGAUCCGGAGUGAGAUCCAACGGCGGGAAUUGCAUGAAGGAAAUGAUCCGACGGCCAGAAAGCCCAAAUCGCUGAGGAGCCUUGUGCAUCCACUCGUCUCUUAUUUCUGGAUGUUGCUCUUGUGAAGAAAUACACUAGUAGAAAACGGAGCUUUAAACCCGGUUUGUAAGGGCCUUUAGUGCCGGUUAUGGAACCGGCACUAAAGUGUGGGCACUAAAGCCCCCCCCCCCUUUAGUACCGGUUCGGCACGAACCGGCGCUAAAGUGCCACCACGUGGCGUGAGCUCGCGCCCUAGUAUGGGGGACCUUUAGUACCGGUUGGUGUUACCAACCGGUACUAAAGUUUUUUUUUGAAAAUUUUCAAAAAAAAAUUUGAUUUUUUUUCAGUUUUUAAUUUUUCUGAAUUAUUUGAUGAUUUAGUCACUAAUCACCUCUCUUAACUGCUCAAGUGUGGAUCACUCAUUCCAAAUCAUCUAACUUGCCGACCGGUCACCCAUCCCUCUCACUACUCCAGCCCGAGCACGCUUAACUUUCGGAUUCUAUUCGUUUCCGAGUCUGCAAUUGUUGUUUUCCUGACAAUAGUAAGAUGUCAACCCUAUUAACCCUCAGGAGUUUAGCUUGAGCAUGAAGUCACACAUUUCACCAUUUGAGUUUGAAACUAUUAUUCUAAAAAAACAGUAAUUAUUUAGUAACGCUAAUAUUUCUUGAAUAAGUUUGACCAUAGUUUGACUAAAAUUCAAAAAAUUGAAAUAAUUAUUUAGUAACACUAAUAUUCUUGAAUAAUUAUGUAGUAACAUUAAUACUUCUUGAAUAAGUAGUUUGACCAAAUUUAACCAAAUUUUUUUAAAAAAACUCAAAUUUGACCAUAUCUUUUUUCCUUUUCGAAUUUGAGGAUUAUAAAAAAUUCCAAACAGGCCGUAGGCGGUCUCCAUCGGAUGUGGAUUUUCAUGCUGAAUUUUUUGAUAUAUUAUACAUUUUUUUCCGACAUCGUAUGCAAAAGUUAUAGCCGUUUUACAUUUUCCCUACACUUUUUGCAAAACAUGUCCAAAUUUAAGUUUUCAAAUUUUCCUAACUAGUAGAUAUAGUAAUAUAACUACAUCUCGAUGGAUUUUAUUUUUUGAAGUUUUUAUCAUUUUCAUNNNNNNNNNNNNNNNNNNNNNNNNNNNNNNNNNNNNNNNNNNNNNNNNNNNNNNNNNNNNNNNNNNNNNNNNNNNNNNNNNNNNNNNNNNNNNNNNNNNNNNNNNNNNNNNNNNNNNNNNNNNNNNNNNNNNNNNNNNNNNNNNNNNNNNNNNNNNNNNNNNNNNNNNNNNNNNNNNNNNNNNNNNNNNNNNNNNNNNNNNNNNNNNNNNNNNNNNNNNNNNNNNNNNNNNNNNNNNNNNNNNNNNNNNNNNNNNNNNNNNNNNNNNNNNNNNNNNNNNNNNNNNNNNNNNNNNNNNNNNNNNNNNNUAACACAAACCGGUACUAAAGGGGCUCGUGGGGACCCGGCCUGACGCCAGCCUGCCACUACCCCUUUAGUACCGGUUCGUGGCACGAACCGGUACUAAAGGCCCAACACGAAUCGGUACUAUUGAUCGCAGCCAUGAACCGGCACUAUUGAUCACAUUAGUGCCGGUUUUUUUACAAACCGGCACUAAUGUGCUUCACAUUUGACCCUUUUUCUACUAGUGAUAAGAGAUGGACAUGUCGUGUGAUGGUUAGUUAUCUACUCCCUCCGUUCCAAAUUACUCGUCGUGGUUUUAGUUCAAAUUUGAACUAAAACCAUGACGAGUAAUUUGGAACGGAGGGAGUAUCUAGUAGUAUACUCCUAGUAAGCUUGAUUCGAUGCUAGGUCAGAGCUGUCACUAUGGCUGUUUAGUUAGUAUGAAGUCUGAACCGGAACUCUAGCUAGCAUGGGUUAUUUACCUUACCUGUGGCUGUGGGCAUAUUAUAUGAUUUGACGUACGCUCUGAUGAAGGGUUUCCAUUCUAUGUAAUCAUAUAUCAUUUCACUGCUGAUUUGUAUCCGUUGCGUUAAUUGCUUUGCUGGGCGUGGAACUACAGGGGGAAGCAUCCAAGCAACUUCCUCCCGCGGAUGGAGUGGUCUUGUUGCUUUCACGCUUCCUGAAAUGGGCCUGGAGUGGCCAGCGGGAGAGCGUGAUGGUGUUGUUUCUCAGAUGUAGCACCAUUUUCUUGCCGCACACAAAAAUGAGGAAAAUUUCGAGCAUACAUUCCAUAUACGCUAUGGCUGACUGGAUGGCAGUGGGUUCAUGAUGGUCAUCGAUGCUUGUGAAGUACUCCCUCCGUCCGAAAAU
rnacentral:lncRNA from 1 species